UUUUUUCUUUUCUUAUUUUUGUCAUUGUGCUGUCAAAGAAUUUGUUCUUGGAAAAUCAAUCUCGAGGUUUGAGUUUCUUUAUUAUCCAACGUGGAAGCUGAAUGAUAAUUACACUUGAUUUUAAUAAAUGUACUGUCUUUUCUGUGAAAAAUAUUUUUUCUCUUUAAACUUUCAAGAACCGUACACUCUUUGAAGCAUAUUUUGUCUAUUAAACUCUUCAUUAAGAAAGAACCUUCUCUUUCCGUUCUUACUUGAGUAAUUAUUAAAGCCCACUUUAUGAGAGAAAGAGGUCUUGGUUGGAACUUCUUGAACCUGAAACGUUAGUUGACCUUGACAGGACAGAAAUUGGAUUAGUACUUUCAGAGAGACAAUUGAGAUGGUUAGAAAUUAAACCCCUUUAAUGGUUUCACUUACCAAGCCUGCAGUGCAGAGAAAAAGGCAAAAGCCAGAAGCAUUCUCUCUAGUAACAGCUACAUGGAAGUGUUGCACCAACAUUGAGGUUGUAGGUCCACAUUAUUUCCUCUAGUUAUUUCUGGUCAUUAUCCAGAUCCCAUUAUCGCUACUUGGUCAGAGCUCUAAAGAAAAAUCAGAGAAAAGAUUUAGAAAAUGGAGGGAAAAGUUUGGGUUGUAUCACAUCAGAUCCAACGGCAGAGCUCUAGAUUUAAGAUAGAAUGGUAAUGGAAAAUGGAAUCCUGAUCCGAGAAAUGAAGGCUAUCUAUUUGCAUUGUUUCAUCAUUCUGGUGUUACUCAAUGAAUAACCAUAAUGGUCCGAAUACGAAUAUUAAGGAAGGUUAGUCUAAUAAUUGAAGAAAUGCAUACACCCAAAACUAGCUGAUGGGUGCUGUUUUCAUUGCGAGACAUUAAAUUUGUCAAAGAUAUCCCACAAGAUCUUCUCGUCAGUUUUGGUUUGCUUGCAUCAUCAUUUUCAGGCUCUUUUCUCUCGCCUUUCUCUGAGACUAUAUCUGUUCAAAAGUACACUGCUGAAACAGUAGUCUCUCUUUUUUCACAUUUGAUUGCCUUAAGUUCUUAGUUGUUUGAUUCUGAAGAGAAAGUGUGAUACUUUGUUACUGUAUUACUCUUGCUUCUCAUCACUUUGGCUUUCUUGUUCAGAAUAGCUUAAAAAGAAAGGGACUGUCUGAAAAAUGGUGCUGAGAAGACCUGGCAGGAACAGGAAUUUCAACAGAGAGAAUCCAGAUAUUUUGAUUAUGAUGAUUGCAGUGGAUCAGAUAAUAAGAGGUUGUGAGCAGGACAAAGGAGAUGGCACAGAGAGGAAGGGGAUGGGCCCUUUAAAGCCUGCAACAAAGAGUGAGUGGUUUCUGCAUCCCAAGAGCUAUGGUCUCUCCUCUUUCUUGCUCUCCACCCCCUGGUUUUCUCUUGUGCGGCUGAUACUUCCUUCUAUCUUUAUUUAGUGGGUCCAUUUCCUCCAUCUCCACCUUCAUGCAGAGUCCUCUUUUUUGCCUCUUCACUCUCUCUCUCUUCCUUUUAAUGGUUCUCUGAGAUGGGUGUCAUUCAUUUUCCAGAGCUGUACGUAUUUUAGCUUUAAAGUUUGAGAACAGAGAUUGAGAUUAUACAUCUCCCUGCCGUUCAAUCCUCCAAACUUAAGCUUCUCGGGGUUUGAGCGCUUGAAGCUAUUCCAUUCUCCUUUUUUCAUGCAAAAUUUUGUAUCACUUUUCUUUUACCAUCGGCUUUAUGUUGUUGUGAUUUGGCAGAAGCCGGAAAAGUGGGAAUACAGCACCAGUCAUUAUUACUUCUUUUCCCCUUGUUUUUUUCUAUAAAAGCAAAGCUUCUCUUCCACUUUAUCUGAACUUUCACAAUGGCACCCUUUUCUGGAGAAACAAAAGAAACCAAGUUCUUUGAAUCUUCUCCUUUUUCUUUUUUAAGUUGUCUUUGAUCACCUGUGAGUGAAGAACCAUAAAGCAGUGAACAUUAUAGCAAUUUUUUUUCGUUUUAUAACUUGCAGGUUUAAAGCUCUUCACUAAGCCAUCACAUCCAUUUAAUUUGCUUAGAAAUUCAGGACACGGUCAUUUUUUUUUCAGGGGAUUUGGUGUGGGGCUUUCGCUCUAAGUUUCUCAUCCUAUAUAGGAUGACAGAGAUUCAUCAAAUGGAAGGUUGGUUUCUUUGUCAUUUUAUGCUAAUGGCUCAAUGUUUAUGUUCUGGCUGGUGGUUUACAGAGUGAGUUUUGAUGUGGACCUUUAUUUCUUCUGUCUUGUAUGAUGUUAUGUUUGUUCCCUCCUUUGUAUCGUGUGUCAAAAUAAAUUGAACAUCUUCAACGAAUGGCUUGUCAAUAUUAAUUUUUUGCUGGUCCCUAAACGUAACAUGCUUUUCACUCUUGUGGCAAUAGGUUCUGGAUAUGUUACAACUACUAAUUUCCCUUUCCAACUCUGAAUAAUAAUAAUAUAGCAUAGCCUGUCUCUAGAGGAAUGUGAAUUUGGAUGUCUGGAUUGAGCUGCAAGUUCAUUUCUUUUUCCAUUCAACUGAGAAGUUCAUUUUUUGUUUGAUAAUGCUAUAUUGACUUAUAAAUGCUAUUGAAAUCGCAGCUAAAAAGUGAAUGUGGUUUGAAUCGAGUAUGUUAAUCUCAGCUGUUGCUUUGGAUAAAGAAUGGUAGUUUUCCGUCUAGACUGCGUAUGGGUGGGCGAAUGAUUUGAUGAAUGCUCUGGUGGAUAUGGUAAACCCAAAUUCUGUUGUUGUAUGUGAAAUUCUGCCUCUUGGCUUUUAGAACUCAGUUGAUACGUCCAAUUAAUGAACUAAGCAAUAUUACAGCUGGAUUUCCUAUCUUUUUAAGUCUGCGGGAGUCUGGAUGCUCUGCUCUUACUAGUGCUGAUAAUCAUAUAGUUGAACAAUUGACAUUUUGAGGUUUUCCAAUGUCUACUGCCCUGCAACGAAUCGAUAUGGGAGAUGCUUGUCUGGGUCCCUCUGGUAAUGCUGAGUUUCAAAAUCAAUUGGCAGUAGCCAUUCCUAUUUCUCUGUUUCAAUCUACCUCUCUUGCUCCAGUGAAUGAUAUUCGUGGAAAUACAAAAGAUUCAGCAUUUCCAGACCCACAGUUCCAGCAAUUAGAAACCUUUAGAACGUGCUUCUUACACAGUUACUCUAAUGCUUCAAAUUCUUCAUUUGCAAGUUCUCUGAUCUGUGAAGGUGAUGAGUCUCUAUGUAAUGCAAAUAAUAAGUGGGAAAGCGAUAGGUUUCAUUGUAUUCAGCAACUUUCUGGGGAGAAUCCGGAAACAUCUGAUUCCCAGACCGUCUUGUCCAUGGAACACCUGCACCAGAAUGGCUGGAUGUCAUCUAACACUAUGAACUCUAAGUUAUGGAAUGAGCUUUCUCUAAGCCUUGCUACAACCGAACCCGUCCUCAGUGGAGGAACUGAUUUCCUGGACCAGUAUUCUCAGUUGACUUUUUCUGGUGCUACUCAACCUUGCUUGAACAGCACAGAAUUAGCCUCGAACUUAAAUUCAGGCAGCUCUAGGGACCUCUCUCUAAGUUAUGGAUGUGGUAAUUCUGUUCGCCUUUCUCGAGCAAUAGCAGGAUCUAGAUAUCUUUCGGUCAUUCAAGAUGUACUUUCUCAAAUUGCAAGCUAUCCACUGGAAAACUCAGAUCAAGUUGAUCAUUCAACUACUGCAACUGGGUUUGUGCCGUUGUCAUCAUCAAGUUCCCUGGAUGAUGCAACGAUUGAAUAUGGUUCUGAUGUUACUGGUAGAUACAGUUCUCAAAUGGAGCCGGAAUGGCAAAAUCUAUCUGUUGAUGCCAAGAAGUCCCAUCUGUUGACUCUACUACAAUUGGUUGGUUAAUUUAAUAUAGCGUUUCUCUGAUUUUUAUCUUUUUACCCUUCUUAUACUGAAAAACUUGAUAGUGUUUCAGAUUGAUGAGAGGUACACUCAAUGCUUGGAUGAGAUUCAUACCGUUACUUCUGCGUUUCAUGCUGCUACUGAUUUGGACCCUCGCUUGCAUACUCGAUAUACACUCCAGACGAUCACUUCGGUGUAUAAAAACUUGAGGGAGAAGAUUACCAGUUGUAUUUUUGCUAUUGGGAAGCAUUCUAACGCAACGUGCACCAAGGAGAAGGAAAAAUUCUUUGAGGCAACAUUCUUACAGAAGCAGUGGGCUCUCCAGCAGUUGAAAAGGAAAGAUAAUCAAUUAUGGAGGCCACAGAGAGGCUUGCCUGAAAAAUCUGUCUCCGUUCUUAGGGCAUGGAUGUUUCAAAAUUUUCUCCAUCCGUAAGAUUUUGUGACAAAUCUGGUUUACUUUUUGAAGAUACGUAUAGUAAGUUGAAGGAAUGUUUGUUCUUUGGUGAUUUUUCAGGUACCCCAAGGACACAGAGAAGCAUUUACUUGCAGUAAAAAGUGGAUUAACUAGAAAUCAGGUUCUUGCUGCUUCAAGAUUUCCUUCAACUUUCAUGAGUUCUCCUCACUUUUACUGAGUUCUGCUAUUCUGGACUUUGGACAGGUGUCUAAUUGGUUCAUCAAUGCUCGUGUCCGAUUGUGGAAACCGAUGAUCGAGGAAAUGUAUGCUGAAAUGAGCAGAAGAAAAUCCAAUCAAAAUGAGGAGGGAAUCGAAAGAAUUCAUUGUCCCAGAUAAGCAUUAGCAGUGAGAAGAUGUGGCUCGAACUGUGAAAAUGAUAGACAGUAUUGAGCACUGUAUGGAACUUGAAUUGAUUAGAAAAGUGUACUAGACUGAAUUAAAUUCAACUAUAUAUUCUUUUUGACAAUUUAACCUGAGAAAUUUCUUUAGCUUCGCAUUCCUGGCUACAUCAUAAUAGACAAUAAAAUGCAAUUAGUCAGCAGAGAAACAUCACCACAAACUUCAUUCUGAAAAGAAGGAAAAAGAAAACACGAUCAAUAAGCGAAGUUCAAUCUAAAAACAUUAUUUAUUAAUUGAAAAUAAAUAAUUCUGAGAUUUACAGAGAAUGGUGCCCUCCUCCUCAACUAACUCUUUUGAUUACAAAUGAAAGAAUGACAAUUUCUGAUUUCUGCCUAGAAGUUUUCACUAUCAAAUAUUCUGUUUCCUUCUUUAUCUACACCCCACACCCACACCUCUCAUUCACGAACUGAUGGAUUGCCAAAGAAAAAACAAAAAAAACUGUCCCAACUCCUCACAGUACAUAUAAAUACAAAAAGUGAUUAAUAUUUUUUGUUGCGCCUCCUUUCAUCGUCUUGUUGUUCUAGACUUGCAAGGAGAUUCUUGUUUUUAUCGGUUUCAACUUCAAUCCCAUACUUUCUGGUGACAGAAGCUCGGGAGCUAUGCAAGAAGGGCUCAAGGGGCUUCUUGGGCUGACGCUAAAAUGAGAUGGCCUAUACAUGCCAUAUCCCAUGAGAAAAUACUCCAUAGGUAUCAACAUUGCAUCAGGCUGCUCCUCUGUCACCAUUGACCCACAUGACUGAACCUAAGAUGUGAGAAUAGCCCCUUUUAAUUCAUAGUAGUAUAAAGCUCGGUUUAUGAUUUUCAUGUAUAUUUAAUCUCCAAAAAGGAAAAAAGAAAGUUCAACAUACUUCCACUAGGGCACUGUAUCUUCUGUCUAGUUUGACAGUCAUGUGGUGAGCCUCUGAAUGGAACGGGGACCUGUCCCCAACAAAUAUCAAUGAACGGCACUUUAGUUUCCGUAACCCUUCUGAAAUGUCGGGUCUCCUGCAUGAAAGAAAAAAAAAGUUUAGGAGGGCCUUCGACCCCAUAUGUGUAUCAUCUAACUAAUGUAAUUUCACAUCAGAGGUAUAGAGGAAAAGGACCCCAACAAUUGUCAAGCACAAAUUCAAAGAUUGGAGUUAGAUGCUUACCCAUUCAUUGCUUCAAGAAACCUCCAGACGUUUGAACUUUGCCUCUCGUCAAGUGACUGUAGAAAGAACAUGAUCAUAAUGUUUGAUCAAACAAAUGCUCAACUCUUAAAAUCUGUCAAGUUUUCCAACUCUGGAAUAACUGACAGUUUAAAGUUGCUAAAAGAAAACGAUGAAAAUGCUGCAGUACUCACUCUUCUGCAUGCUUGAACUAAAUCUGACUCUGGUACUUGAGAACAACCACGAGCAUCCUACAACCAGCACAGUACAAAUGUCUAAUCAAACUCAGUUGGGAUGAAUAACUCUAGUAAGAGAGUUUGAGUUUGUGCAAGUAAACCUGCAGUUGGUCUGUGUUUAAGUUGAGAAGAAAAAAGAGUUUAAAAGUUCACACGUUCAAGUGCAAUUUUCAUAUCAUCAAAUUGGUUUUGAAGGAAUAAAAACCGAUUUCAUGGUGAUUUUGAAAACAAAGCAAUUUUCAUUUUUAGACCUACCUUACUGAAAUACCGCUUCAGCAACAACUCCUUCACUACCCCACACAUGCCAUAGAAAUAAAGCAAAUUUGACAUCACCUGCAUAUGGAAAAUCUGUUAAUAAGAUGAUUCCAAUAAACCAGAAGACGAUCAUAAUAGUUCUUUCGUUCAGAAAGACGACCUUAUUAUACAACCAUUCUGUCCAACAGGGCGCUGUGCAUAUGGGAGAAAUCAAUAUCAAACCAUGAACACGAUGUCUGUGCUUCAUCUGCAACCAACAAGUGCAAUCAAUAUAUGACAAAAGUUUACAAGAGGAACUGAAAGAAAAAACCAUGGGGGGGAAGGAUAAAGUAAUCAAGUGGAUGGUGAACAAAGAGAAAAAUUACAGCAAAGAGAGUGAGGAUGUAUGCUCCAGCAGUAACACCCAUACACAUCACAGCACUAAGUCUGGGAGAAAGAUAAAGAAGAAGAGUAAGUCAUCAGAUCCGUGCAUAUUCAUUUCGGAUAGAGCUCAAGUGUAAAACAAAUAAAACAGCAAAGCAUCAGACCAGUGGAAUUCAAAACUUUAAACAAGUCGAAGUUAUUAAAAAAAAAUUGAAGAUAGCCAAAAGGAAUAUCGAAUUACCCAAAAUAGUUAAGAACUUCAGCAAUUUGAUCUGCUAAGUCAUCUGCAGAAAGUACAGGAUCAUCAGGGCAAAUUGCAGCAGCUCCUAACUGCAACUCUUGAACAAGGUCCCAUUAUGAGAAGAAUUCAUGUGGAAGUAAAAAAGACAACGUACUUGUUGGAAAGUUCAGUUUCAUUGAAGCAACACCAAAAAAAAAUUACACAGUAGAUUAUUUUGUACAUAGCAUAGAUUAAAAGAAAUUCACUCGUACAAAGUAAUUUAUUUUAUGUAUGUGUGUGGAAAAAAAAAUAAUGACAUCAGUAGAGAUAUUAGAACAUCCCAAUUAUACAAACCUCGUGUCCGGGAGGGCUGAUAUGAUAUAUGCAAAAGUUGUGAAGCAAUAACGAACAAGCUUCUGGACAAAACAUUAAUCCUUGGAAGCAGAACAUAUCUGAUAAAUAAUAAAACAUAGCACGUUUAAACAUUGGUAACAGGAAAAAUUAAAGAAAGAUUCUAAAAAUCAAAGUCACAAGUCAUAGAAUCAUUUCAUUUUAACCCCAUAUCACAAUUUAUUAACCUUACUAUCCUCUUUAAAUAACUUAUUUUUGUCUAUUUUCAAAGAAUAAGCUUGUCUAAUAAAAAUAAUGGAUUUCAAAAGCUACUAUUAAAAGAUUUAACAAUUAUGUGGGUGAAAACAAACCAAAAAGGCAGAUGUUCCAGCAAAAGGACUGUAGAUAAUAGAGGUAAGAAUAACCAAUAUUCUGGAUUCCAAAAAAUUCAACACGUUAAAUUUAAAACAAAAACUCCAUCUAAUCAACCUUAAACUCCAAAGUGUGUCUAAUUUAUUCAAAGACUCCACUUCUACACUCAAAAUCAUGUUUUGAAUAACAAUUUACAUGACACAUUCUACAUACUCACGAUUUAGAGCUAAAUCGGGAUAAGUGAUUAAAGCUGGCUUGUCCAGGUCUCCAACCACGGUGACAGAAACAACACCAUAACAGGUUUUCACAAGAUACUCCUGCCAAAAAAAAAUCGAUUGAAGAAAUAUUAGUUUUCAAACGUAGUCAUCUGAACUAGAGAAUGGACGCACCAAAAAAAGGCGGCAAGUAAUACAGAACCAUAAAAUGAACUACUAUAAAAAGGGAAUUGCAAAAGCUUAAAUAUAAGGAAAUUCGCAGUUGAAGACGCAAACAAUAAAACAGAUUAAAGAAAGUUAGUCUACUAAAAUUCAAAAUGUAUUUCUAAACUAGUAAAAAUCCCAACAUCCAUCCACUUUUGGUAGACCGUUGAAUUCCGAACGAAAAUCAACACCAAUUACCCUUAGAAAAUCUAACUAAAAUCAACAAUGCACAUCCAAAAACCUUAAUUACCUCCGUGUAAAACGAUCACUAAUUACACGAAUUCAUCCAAUAAAAAACAUAACGAACCCCAUGUUUCAAUUCAAUCCAAACUUCCCAGCAUGUUCUCAAAAAGCAAACAAAGCACAGUGUUCAAACACAUGAAACCAGACGGAUUUACACAAGCAACAGGAAAUGCAGGUACCUUUCCUCCACAAGAGAUCGACUCCAUAUCCACCGAAACCGAGUCGCUCGAAUCCCCCAUUUCCUUCUUCCCUUAUUCUCUCACCUUUCUCUCUUCCCCUAAAUCCUCCUUCCCUUAUUCGCUACUCAAUACACAGAAUGCUCCUUCUUCCUUUUAUAUACCACCAAAUCUCUUCAACAAUUCCACCACUACAUUAUUUGGGGGAAAAAUUUCAACUCGUCCCUUCGAAUCGUCCGAGUCAAUACGAGUCACCGACGCCGCGUUCCCCUUCCAUCGCACAUUGACAGAAACCUCACGAGCGCCCUGUAACGAACAAACUAUAACCCGAUACCCUGGUUGGUUUAACCAUGGUUAGGAAGCCGACAGUUUAUUUGAAAUUACUUAAAUACCCACAAUUUCCCUUGACAGCGACCUCCUCUCUUACCACAUGAAAAAGGGCGAUUUUCGUCUAUUCACGUUGAUUUUUUAAUUAGUAAUAAAGAGGGAAAUAGUAAGUAGUUAAGCUUUGACUAAGGAAGAGAUAAAAUGAAAAUAAAAUUAAUAUAAGGGAAGUGUUAUUUUUAUUUGUGGGACCUGCGUUUAUUUAAAGUAACGUAAUCAUUUAUAUUAUAAAGUAUAUAAUCUGUCACAAAUUUUGGGGAGAGGUUUUUCCUUAUUUUUCUUUUUUCAAUUAUUCCAUUUAUAAUAUGGUAUUGUAUUUUUGUUAUUUAUUGCAUUGCCUAAAAGUGGGGAGUGGAUUUAAUGAAAAUAAUUUUAGAGGAUCUACUUGUUUUUAAAUUAGUUUCUGUUUUUGUUAAUUUUGUUUAAUUACUUUUUUUUGUGCAUAAAUACAGUUGAGUUUUUAAUAGUAUUGUUGCACCAUUAAAGUUAAAACCUUUUCUUCUUCUUUUUCUUUUUAAUAAGGUUAGUUGUCAUAUACCAUAUUUUCUUGCCCUAAUAGAUUUCAUCCGUUUAUUGAAUAAUAAAUUAUUGCCUUUUUAAUUAAACUUUCUAUAAUACUCUAAAAAAAUAUCAUUUCGGGAUGAUUUUGUUUGGUAUAGGUGUGAAAAUGAUAGAUUGAAUCUCCAACUUAGUGAAGUAUAUGUGAAACAAAGUUCAACUGACAUUAGAUGUGUAUUGUCACAUUCUAUGUUAAAGGAUACCGAAUUCAUGAAUCUUCAAAACAAAAAACAUUAAACAAUAACAUGCAUCCAAACUAUUGUAAUAUUUUCGUGUGAAUGGUGUUGCUUGAGCGAACAUUUUUUAUAAAUAACAAUGAUGAAAUGUUACAAUUCUAAAAAAAAAUAACUAAAUUUUUUUUCAAUUUUUAUUACCCUUUAUUUUAUUAAAGAAAUACCAUUGAAACCCUUCUUAGAGAUUUUACUUACAGUGUCAAUUAUUUACGUAUAUACUUAUAGAACAAAAUCAUUAAAAUAUAUAAUUUGUUAGGUGUAAAUACAUCCUUAAAUGUUAUAUUUUUUUACGAAUUUUUCCUUAAAUUUGUAUAGAUUUAAAAAUAUUUGAUGUUAUAAGUUAAUAAAAGAAAAUGGUUGAAAAAUGGAAGAAUGUCCACGUGUAAAACAUAAGUAAAGAUCUCGACCGUGUAAUGUUUUAAGGAAUGCAAUCGAAAUAUUUUAUCUUUCAAAUAAAAUAAUACAAAAAGUAAAAAAGAUAUAUAUAUAAUAUAUAUAUAUAUAUAUAUAUUAAUAAUAACAUUAACAUAAUAUGUUUAAGAGAAGUGGAAGCAUAUAAUAUGUUAUCAUUCUUAUCCUCUUUUCUCUUUAUGCUUUACUCUGUUUUGGAAUUUUGGUCCACUAAAGAUAAGUGAAUGCUUCUUUCUUUCUUUUUCUUUUGAAAUAUUGAGAGAAAGAAAUGGUUGAUCAAAAUAUUAUAAUAAAUAAGUAAAAUACAACAUUUUGUUUUAUAUAUGCACGUUAUAUAUUUCACUAGGUUUGGAAAAUGAUGCGAUAUAUGUAACUCUAGAAUAUCAAACGUGGAGGAAUUUUAUUUGCUUAUUUGAUAAAGUUCUUUUAAGUUGAAAAGUUCACGUUAGUUUGUAAUUAAAACUUAAAACAUCGUAGUAAAGAUGAGAAUUAUCUUAACACAUGCAAUGUAGUGCAUCGUUUCUCAUCCAAACUUCAUUGUAUUGUUUGUUCUUCGUACUUCAUAUUGCAAGUGUAUUUUUAAGGUUUUUUUUUUCGUAAAUUGAUAAUACAAUUGCAUCAUACAAUUAAGCUAAGUUUGUUUGUUCUUUUAAGCAAAUUAAAAAUUAACAUGGUGUGUCUCGUACUGUUUUAAUUUUAGUUAUACUUGUUAAUUGAACAUUAUUAGACAAUUUAAUUCAAUAGUUGAUUUGUUAUAGGAUACCUUAUUUAAAUUAUAUAUUUAUUAUUUUGUUGAACGAUGAAUCGAAGACUAAUAUAAUACAUAUGUGAUUAUGUAUUUUUUUUCAAAAUGUGAAUAUAUUGCUAUAUUUAUUUGUUAUAAUAAAUCUAUUUACAUUCGAAUAAAAAUAACUAGUGAAUUUUGUAUCUUUUCAUUUAAUUUGUCUUCUAUAUCUCACAACAAUUGUCAUGCAUGGCAUGAGUUGGUCCCACGAAAUUAAAACAGUGAAUUGAUUGAGCAAAAUAACUAAGUUGGAUUUUGAUGGUUAUUAAGCAACGAUAAAUCACACAAUAAAUUAGAUAUUCGACGUGCUCUUAAGAGCAAUAUAGAAAGUAGAUAGUUAUUACAAGAAUAAACGAUGAAAUCACGUCAACAAAGUAAAAAGAAAAAGAAAAAACAACACAAUAAUGUUGAAAUUUUUGUUUAAUCAUAUUUUAUACUUUAUCAUGUCAAAAAUUAAUUAUGUACUCUCCAUCAACAAUCUUAAAACAAAGUCUUUAGUUUUGUAUAAAAAAAAAUUGAUUAAUAAAAACAAUUAAAUAUGGUAUAAAGUAAUUUAUAUAAUAAACCUUUACACAAUUUAAAAUUAAUAAUAAUGCAGUAAAUCGUGAUGUUAUUAGUAAAGGAAUGGACAAAAAAUCGCACGCAUGUGUCACGUGAUUAAUUAUUAAAUAGUAAAAUUAAACAUACCAAAUCACAUAAUGAUUUUAAGGUUGGAAAAUGAAUAUAUUUAACCAUAAAGUGUAGUUAGGUGAUGUUAUUAUUUUGGAAUUUAAAUGGGACAUGUAGUGCCUUUCCUUAAACUAGAAACCAUGACCAAAAAAAUUACUGAGGACGCAAAAAACUAUGCUAUAAAAUAAAAAGCAACGUCUGAAUUGAAGUUCUAAUGUCCUUCCCCCAUCAACAACAACCAUUAAUAGCUCCACCCCAACUCAACACCAAAAUCCUUUUCCAAGUUUAAUCCUUAGAUCUACUCAUCCAUUCUUUGUUAUACUAAACCUUUUUCACUGUUACAUCAAUUUUUUCAAAAGGUUCUAGAGUCAUCAUAUGACGUUGAAUUUUAUUUUUUUUCCGCUAUCUUCUUUAUCAAGUUUGAAAGGUGGUUCGAUUUUUCAUUUGGUUUAUAUAUCUAGAUAUCAAAUUGAACCAAGGAGAUUUGUUGUAUAUAAAAGAAACCACGUCGAUGUACAUAACAAAAUAAAAAAUCAACUUUUAUUCGAUUCAAUCGACUUUUUUCUUUUGAAAAAUUAAAAAAAUAGCAAAUUUUACAAAAUAUUUACAACUUAUAGUAAAUUUUGUAAAUUCUAGUGAUAGUCACCAACCAAUAGAAUCCAAAUUUUUGUUAUAACUUAUAAAAUAUUUUAGUUUAUUUUGUUAUUUUUAAAAAUUGUAUUCUUUUUAUUUAUCAAAAAGGAAAUAUAUGACUUUUUAGACUAUAUAUAUAAUAAUAACAAAAAAAGAGGGAGAAAUAAGAGAAAUAUGUAAUAAACUAUUUUUGUCUUCUUCCCAUUUAGCUUGCUAGUGCAUGUAACCUAUAUUCUAAGAAAUAAAGGGAAAAUAAUUAUAUUGGGGACUUUUGAAUGGAGAUAGCUAUCUGUUUACAUUAAUUUCAACAUUUACAAGUAAAGCCAUAAACAAUUAAUAUUGAUGAAUUUAUAUGUGAAAAAGCUACCAUAUAUAUUAAAUAUAUAGUUUAAAUUAUGCUAUAUAUUUAUGUUUCUUGAAAUGGAAAACAUGUUAGGAUGGUUACGUUAUUCAUUUUUAACUUUCCUCCUUGAUUUAUGGUUGCAAAAUUCAUAAUAUAACUUUUAAUAAGUUGACUAUAAAAAUCAUUAGAUGUUAUUCGAAUAAUAUCGGUUAAAUUAGAAUAAUAUAACACAUUAAAAAUAUUUGGACACACCAUAAGAUGCCCAAAUUAAAUGUUUAACUAAUACAAAUUAUCUUUUUAUUGUUUGACAACUUAAUUUAAUUUAAAGAGGAAAUUUCUAAUAUAAUAGUUUCAAAAUUGUUGACCACCUAGGCCGCUACUAAGAAUCGUGUGGAAUCUAUAAUUUAUUAAUUAUAAUAAUUAAUGGAAAUGGUAGGUAAUAUAAACUUCUACUAGUAUCUCUUAAAGUUUAAAUUUACUAUAAAGAAAAUUAGAAUUUGAGUGGAAAUUAAAUGGUCUUGAAUUUGGAAAGGUAAUUAAUUCACCUAAAUGGAUAAACAUCUAUAAUUUUUCUUUUUCUUUUCCUUCCAACUCGUAGGCACCUUACUAUGAUGCUAUAUCGAAACUAUACUAAAAUUAGAUGUACUUAUAAAUAUUUUCUAAUAUGCUCUCACUGAUUCCAUGUGAACCCCAAAAGGAAAAAAAAACGUUAAACUUAACCAAAAAAUCAAAAGUAAUUAAGUAAAAUCUCAUCGUCAAUUAAUUUCAAGUUUGGUAUCAUGGUCGAUAUCAGACCAUGUUGAAAAUUUCACACAUUGAACAAACUAAGAAAACUCACACUAAUACACAAUAUAAACCUUGAAUGAAACAAUAAGUAGAUAAAUAUCUCGUUACUCGAACAAAUCAUAAAUAGAAGAUGUGAAAGGGAAUUGAAUGGGAGGGAGGGAGUGAGUGAGAGAUGUUUUUAAAAAGGAAGAAAUAUUUUUGGGAAAAUGAGAGAGGGGGAGAAAGCAAUUAAAAGCAUGGGGGGGACAAUUAAUGACAUUAAUUGAGAGUAGAGGCAUAAAGGUAUAGAAGGAAAGGGGGAUUGGAAAGAAGAAGAAGAAGAAAUGCAAUAAUAGCCAAUGGCAAGCAUGUGAGUGUCCUUAACAAAAGCAUUGAAAAUUGAUUGCCCAAAUGAAAUAGUUUUACUUCUGAUUUGGCGCUCUUUUUGCUGCGGCUAUCGCGUUCACAUGUGCUUCUUCCCCCCUCCCCUCGCCCCCAUAUGUUGCUUACCACUGCCCUAACUUCAAUCCUCCACCGACACAUUUCAAGCCCUUUUUCUUUCCUCUUUUCAAAUAUCAUCCCUACCUCAUCUUUCUUUAUUAUAACAAAUUAUUCUAAACUCUAAUUCAAUAUUUAUAAAAUGUAAUAAAAUUUUAGAUUUUGUAGUGAUAAACGUUUAUGAAAGACUGUUACCGGCUUGAUGAUUUUUGUUAUAUUUGAAAAUACUCAACUUAAUAUCGCUUUUCUUUUAAUAUUUGAGGUUGAAUGUAUGUUAAUUAAUUCGUUUUUCGUUAAUUCUUAGACACUAACGUUAAACAACAAUUAGAGCUAGUAUAUAUUUAGUACCAACUACAAUUGAAAAAAAGUAUAAUAUAUUGAAAUUUUUUAUAAUAAUAAUAAUAAUUUAUAAUUUGUUUUCAAAUCCGAAUAAUUAAUAGACUAAAGUGACCAUUAAUUAUCAAAUAUUGGUUUGGGAAUCAAAACAGAGAGACGUAGAUUAGAUCACAAGUGUGGAUAGUGGAUAAAUAAAUUAGAAGGAUAGAAUAUUCAAUUCAUUCAAACCAGAAACAUUUGAAUAUGGUUCAUUAAUUACUCAUUAUAUUUUAUCUUCGUGAAAUUUAAAUUAACUAGUAUUUAACCAUUUUUCAGUAAAGAUUUGAUCGAAUCUUGAAUAUUUUGGUUCUCAACACAUACAAGUACCAAUUGAAUUUAAUUUUUAUGAAUGAUUCACCAAUAUUACGUUGAAAAAAGCGUUUAAAUUUGUUUCUUUUAAAUAUUGCAAAAAUAAAUUCAAACCAUAUACACUCCCUGUCCUCAAGUAUUUUUUAUAAACCAUAUUAUAUAUAUUAUUAUGUAUUUGUGUAAUGUGUCGAAUAAAUAGUUGGAUGAAUUUUUGCUAUAUUUAUAAUAUAUGGUUUGAAUGUUUGAUAUUAAUGGGUAUUUGAUGCAUAACCAAUCAUUAAAUAAGAAAGAAGAAAAAGGGAAAAAAAGGGGUUCUGCCCAUAAUAAAAUACGUGCCGACAAUUCAAUUCACACUCACCUCUCUAAGCUUCAGAAUAAUUAUUAAAUGGUGGGCUAAUGAUAAAUAGAAAAUAGUAAAACUAUCAAAUUUUUUUUUUUAAUUUCUAUCUCAUGCAUUAAACUAUGUAACAUUAUUAGUCCUAUAGUAACACCUCAACCAAAGCUUAUGAUAUUUAUUUUGACAUUACAUUGAUAUAUUUGAUAAGGUCUCUUAAUCAAGGAUUCUUGAAUGUUAGCUUUUAAUAUGUAUUUGCUUGCAGUGGAUUUUUUAAAUACUUUGUUGUUGUUGUUUUUUUUUUAUAUAAUUAAUAUUUGACUAAAUUGAAAAAGAACACUCAAGUAUUAGUAUAAGUUGAACAAAUUCCUAUUUGUUUUGAUUUAUUAGAAAAAACUAUGGGCCUGGCUGUAGCUCAAUCGUACUUAGAUUACGGGCCGUUCUAUAAGGCACGGUUGGCAGAGCGUAGGCCCAAUACUUGGUGCUUAUUGCUCUGCCUCUGCUUUGCGAAUUGUUUUUGUGAUCCAAAAUACAUCUUAAUUUCUAAACUUGAGGUGCCGAUAGAUAAGUAAUAUGUGACUACUGAUAUUCGACGUAGAGAAAAGUAGUUAUUGACUUACGAAUAAACGUUAGGAAAACAAAGAGUAAAAUCAAAACAAACAUUAUCAAGAAAUGAAAAGAAAAAGUUUGUAUCAAGUGUGUAUCGUGAGUCACUUUUGUAAUGUAAGUUGGCAACAUAGAUUAACAUUAACAUAGAUGAUUCGUACUAAAUUUUGUAGUACUCGAUAGUCAAACUACAAAAUCUAAAAGUGUUUUUUCUUUGAUUAAAUUUUCUAGAUGAUUGGAAGUAAGUUUUAUUCAAACGAGGCAAGAGCAAUAAUAUUACGAAACAUCGAUUUAGUGUUUGUCAAGUCAGUUUUGCAAAGUUUAUCACUACAAAUUGAGUAAAUAUAAUAGAGUCACGUUUUGAAGGCCAUAUGUUAUAUGAGUUAUUUCAAUUGAAUAUACGAAACAACCAAACUCGUAAAAUUGUAAUUUAUUUACACUUUGUAACGUGGAGGAAAGAAAACCUGGAAAAAAGAAUCUAAUGCCAAGUCAACGAUGAGAUGAAAAAUAAGUCAUAAGUUGUUAGAUACAUCAGGUAAAAGUAUCAUAAUAACUUUACUAUUUUCUCAUGGAGGAAGGAUAAGAUAAAUUCUUCCUAUUUCUAAUAAGUUAGGGUAAGAUUUUAUUUUAUAUUUUAUUGACUCGUGACUUAUUCGAUAACGUUAAAUUUUAUCUCGAACGCAUGCAAAAGUUAUAUAUGGUAUGGGAAUAUUAUUUUUAAAAAAAUGUAUAAAUUAGAACCGUAAAAUUGUAUACAUAAAUAUGAAAAGGGAAAAUAAAUGAUUAAAGAAAUAAGUGAAGUAAAUAUUUGAAGCUAAAAAAAUAUUAAGAUUAAGUUAGAAGGAAAAAAUAUCGGAAGAGGAGAGAGACAUAGAGGGCGCCAGCGGGAUGAUGCUAUAAAUAUAAAUUCCCUACGCCAAAGGCGUGGUCAUUUAUUGAAAGGAAACCCAUCCUCUUUCUUGCCGUCCUCCGCUUUUCUCUUCUUUUAGGGUUUCUCUCUCAAACUCUUAACAAUGGCUGACGAAGCUCAGUAUUCAUCUGCUACUGAUACUCCUUCCAACAAGCGCAAGUACGAUGACCAACCUCCACCCCGCCGUCCAACUGGCUUUUCCGGUCCCAUCACUUCCCCUUCAUCCGAUUCCGCUCCCUCCUACAACAACGUCCCUCCCCCUAUGGAUGAGAUCCAGCUCGCUAAGCAGCGUGCUCAGGAGAUUGCCUCUCGCUUGAUUAUCUCCAGCGGUGGCGUUGGGGCUGGUGCUGGACCUGGCGUUGGAGCAGAUGUCAAACGUCCGAGGGUUGAAAACGGCGGCGGGUAUGACUCCUACGACAAGGGUUUUAGUUCUGGUCCAGGUGAUUAUUGUUUUGAUUUUUUUUAUCUUUGUUUGAAUAUUUCAUGGUCUUGCGUGUUUGUCGAAGGUGUAUUGAUUUUCUCACGACUCAGUGAGCUUAAAGUGAGUCAGGUCUUGUAUAUGGGAAGAAAAUAAGUGGGAACACUCGGAGAAAAUCUUGUGGAGUGCUAGUUAUAUAUUUCUUGUUCACAGGGAGUGGGUUGUGUACAAAAAGGUCCAGUGUUCGUGAUUUUCUAGAAGUGGCGUGCACUUUCUUUUAUUGCAUUUGGAGUAGAGCAUACGUAGGGGGAUGAAAUGAAGGUUUCUGGAUUUCAGUUUAGUGGUUUAGAUAGAGCUCUCUCAGUUAUCAGAAUGCCUAUGUUCCAUGUUCUUUUACCCUCGUUUCCUGUAAUAAUAACUUUAAAAUGUGCUGGUGAUGUAUUACGGUUUAAAAGCAAGAAUUGUGUACAUGUUUGGAUGCUCAUUGGUGAUCUUGAUUUGUGUGGAUGCAGACCUGAAGCCUCACAUGUCAAAUUCAGCCCCUUCAGCGAUACCUAUUUCCUAUGGUUUCCAAGGGUCAAGCAAGAAAAUUGAAAUUCCAAAUGGGAGAGUAGGCGUAAUUAUUGGUAAAGGUGGUGAGACGAUCAAGUACCUUCAGCUCCAGUCUGGGGCAAAAAUACAAGUUACUCGUGACAUGGACGCAGAUCCCAACUCUACUACUCGGAUGGUUGAGCUAAUGGGCACCCCUGAUCAAAUUGCCAAGGCUGAGCAGCUGAUAAAUGAUGUUCUUUCUGAGGUUGGUCUUUUCUUAAUUUUGGAAUUUCAUGGUGUGCCUUUGGGAGCGGCAUCAAUAUAAGUUUGUGGUUUCCUGUUAUAACGUUGACAUGCCAUGUAGCAAUACAUUGGUUUGGAUGGAUAAUGGAUUGACUACAGCCUUACCAAGUUUACAACUUUGAACUUUAUUUAUGGGCAAUAUGUUAUUCAUACGUCCGAUGCAAAAUAUGAUUGUAGUUGAAGAUAAGACUUUUUACUUGGCUUGAAAAUGUGUUUGUCUCAUAAAAUUUAUCAUUUGAAACAGGCUGAAUCUGGCGGUUCUGGCAUAGUAUCACGAAGACUAACAGGCCCUUCAGGAUCUGAGCAGUUUGUUAUGAAAAUUCCUAAUAAUAAGGUUCUCAGAAACAUUUGUUUUGGAAUUACCAAGUAUUGCUUGUCUAUCUUGGGAAUGUAAUUCUGUUCACUUUUUGUACUUCUGAUCGUGAAAAUAUUAAUUUUUCUAGGUUGGCUUGGUUAUUGGUAAAGGUGGUGAAACAAUCAAAAGUAUGCAAGCUAGGACUGGAGCACGUAUCCAGGUCUGUUCUAUCUUUAUGUGUAUAUAUGUAUAUAUUACAUACGUCUUUUAGAAGGCUUCCCAAAGCUAACUUCCGUUCCUUUUUAUUUCAAUAGUGCAACUAAUUUUCACUUUCUUUGGUCAUGUAACAUAGAACAUUGUUUUGAAUUUUGAUUGUAUGGCAAUAUCUACUCUUCUUUUCUGUAGGUGAUACCAUUGCACUUACCCCCUGGGGACACAUCUACAGAAAGAACCUUACAGAUUGAUGGUUCAAGUGAACAGAUUGAGUCAGCAAAACAGUUGGUUAAUGAAGUUAUCAGCGAGGUGCGUUUGCAGAUCUGGGUUACAUAUUUAUUUUGCCUUGUUGUAGUUGGAAUUAAUACCUGGUUAACACCUACUUCCAUUUAUUUUUGUGUUUAUAAUGAUUUUUCCUGCUUGUCUUUGGUUAUUUUUUAUACAACUGUUGAUGCAACUGUUCCAUCUUAUUCUGAAACUCCUUUAGUUCUAUUCUCACAAAAAAAAACUCCAGUUUUAUUAAUUUUAGGGUUCUACCUCAACGCCAAGGUCAGCAUUAAACCAGUGGUGUUGAUUGGACGUUGGCAUAUUUGCUUUCCUUACCUUGUAGUUUACAUUAUGCUGUGAUAUGGGAGGCAUCUGGUAUUCAUUGGCUUAAAUUAUACCUCCAGUUUUAUUUAGAAAAUGAUAUCUGCUUCUUGUUCUUGUUCUUUUUUUUUUUUGGUAUUAUGUUUCUCUUUCAAAUUAUGUUUUCUUACACAGGCUUGUUACCUUGUUUUAUUUGUUAUAAUUUUGUAAAAUCAUUCUACAACAUUAUGCUGCUUUUUAUUUCUGGGAGGAAAUAGUUGAGAAAAAAUUCCCGUUUUUAUGUGGUUCUGUCGGACAACUGACUCAACAAGAAAUUGAUUUAUUUUUUUCCUUCACUAAUGGUACUUCUUGGCUCUUCUUAAUUUUACUCUACUAGUGUAAUGGAUCUUCUACAAUUUCUGGCUUAAACACUAUACAAUAUGCUCAGCAUAUGGUGUUCUUGUUCCUUUAACGAACUAUUAAUCUGCUGCUGUGUCUGCAAAUCUGCAAAAUCAUUUAUUGCUAAUGCUAAUGCACUCAUGCUCUGCUAAUAUGCAUUAGCAUUUUGACUACAGUAGGAAGGCUUGUUCUCUCACUGUGCUCAUACUUUCGUCUUUGAGGGGGGCUCCCUUCGUAGGUCUAUGGAAUCAAAUGCUGCUUUGUGGUUUCACUCAAGGAAUUAGAAACAUUGGAAUAUUUCAGCCUGUUAUACUUUUAGAUCUCUUAUAGAUUGAGACAGCUUUUAGGUCUUUUACCCCUAAUCGAUCUGGAUUUGUUAUUAUAUCUGCAAUUGUUUAUUCUAUAUAUCCACUAAUGCAGAGAUGGAGGACAUAAGGUUCUGGGAUUGGAAAGAGGUGAAAUUAUUUUACAGAUUACUGCUUGGUAAUUUUUUGAAGAGUGAUUAUUGUAUCAGAAAGGUUCCCAUUGGUGAUUUGCUGGCUCCUUUGGAUAUUUCAGUUUAUCAGUCAAAUAUUACUCUUAUUAGGUUGUUUAGGUUAUAUGAUAUCUCUCCUAUUUAAGAUGUUAUCAGCCCAUUUGGUAUUAUUCUUGGUUUUAUAUCUAAGUGUUAUAUUAUUGGGAUUAUGGCCUGUUCAACCGUCACAUGUGCUUAUUAAUUAUGUAUCCUGCAACUGAUAUUGUUAUUGGGAACUAUUGUAGGGUUAGGGUUAUUGGACCAUUAGUGACACCAACAUGGAAUCCUUUAUGUUGGUGUUCUCUCAACGUUGCUCUGGUAUGGUUCUGAAUCCCAUAUUAUAAUGAUAUAAAGUGAUGAUGUGGAGAGAAGUUGCAGGUUUAUCUGUUGGAUAUUCAAGGUCUUUAGUAAAAUUUGAAAAGUCACCUUACCAUUCUAUCAUUCUUUUUCUGGUGGUUUACUUUGAUUUGGGAGAGUUUCAUCUUUUAGUCUAUAAAUUAUUCAUUUCUUAAUUGUCUAUUUACUGUGCGUACCAUUUGUGAAAUUAUUUUAGUUUAAUAUAGGCAUGCGGGUUAAUUUGUUGGAUAACUGUACUAUGAUGUAUUUUUGGUACUAUCAUAUUUUAGUGGCAACAUCACCUGAUCGUUCAGUGAGUCCGCCUUUGAUGGAUAUUCCAGAAAGUCCUUUAGACUCCUGUUUUGGUUUAAUUAGUUAUUAUUAUAUGUUUUCCACCAAAAAGAUGAAUUCUCUAAUUAUUAAUUUUUUUACUUAAAUUGACCUUAACAUUGUUCUUGUAAUUGAAGAAUAUUUUCUUGUUUCAAUCUUUAUGGGCUAUCUUUAGUUACUUUGGAGAUUAUGGAUCGUUUCUUACAAAGGUCUGUAUAUGUCAGUGUCUUCUUUUUCAUCGUCCAAAUUGCUUUUCAGCUUUUUUGGAAGUAUUUUUCUUUACAAUAAUUUGCAAUCAAAAUUCUUUUGACUAUAAAAUAUUUUUCACUUCAUAUUCUAUUGGUGUCUGAAGAUAGUGUAUGGGGUUGUUUAGUUUUAGCUUGAUAUCCAACUAAUUGAUUAUUCUAUAGAAGAUUUAAUAAUUGGGGAAGACAUUGCUUUUGUUGUGCUUUGCUAUGAACUUCUUUGCCUUUUGGGGCAAUUAAGUUCAUAUAUUCUGUUCUGUAAAAGCUUUUGUAGUCGUCUGGUUCUCUUUGCACCCAUUCACUUCGAAUAGGGAGAGGUUGAGCUUCUGCUGGAGUAACUCAAUAACUCAUCAUCCAGUACGGUAUGUUGGUGUUUUAUACUCUUCCUAAUGCAGUAUAAGCUCCUUUAAUCCCUCUACAAAACAUACUGACUAUGGUUUUCUUUUUGCAUAUCCUUGAUUUCAGAUUUGGCAUUUUCUUUCCAUUUCGCAUAAUGCAUAUGAAUGUUGUGCUUUCCUCUUCUUACCAUCCCCUACGUUGGUUUCUUACGUUAAUUGAGAAGGAUUCACCUUUGUUUUCAUUUUUAUGUUUAAUCUCUCAGAAUCGCGCGAGAAAUUCAGGUAUGUCAGGCGGGUAUAAUCAGCAAGGUUAUCAAGCUCGACCCCCUUCAAGUUGGGGUCCUCCUGGGGCUCCACCAAUGCAGCAGCCUAAUUAUGGCUAUGGACAACAAGGCGGAUAUUCUGCUCCUUCGUCUCAGUAUAACAUAUCACAACCUCCUUAUCAGGGUUAUUCCCAACCAGCAUCUGGUGGAUAUGCUUCCAAUUGGGACCAGUCUACUGUUCCGCCAAAUCAACCUGCUACUCAAGGAAGUGGUUAUGAUUACUACGGUCAACAGGCUCCACAGCAACAACAGACAGCUGGAGGCCCUGGUGCUACCGGAGACAACAGUGGUUAUAGUUAUGGUCAACCACCAGCCACUACUUAUAAUCAACAGGGUUAUUCUCAAGAUGGCUAUGGUGGUAAUUACCAUGCACCUCAGUCUGGUUAUGGCCAACCGCCAACAUAUGAUCAACAGGGUUAUAGUUCUACCACAAACUAUGGUAAUGUGGCUAACGCCACUCAAGAUGGGCUCAAUUCGUAUGGCUCUCAAGGGGACUCAUCACAGACGGUCCCUCCUGCUGCACCACAGCCCUCUUCAGUGAGUCAGCAAGGUUAUAGUGCAAAUCAACAGCCUAGCCCUAACCCAGGGAGUUACCCUCCACCAAGUCAGUCGGGGUAUGGAAUGACUGCACCUUCCCAAACUGGCUAUGGAAAUCAACCUGCUGCUCAGGCUGCUUAUGGGGCUGCUUAUGGAGCUCCUCAGACUCAGAAACAACCUCCUACUAAUCCUCCAGCCUAUGGUCAAAGCACUCAGUCACCAAGCACCGCUAGUGGCUAUGGGCAACCUGCUGGAUUGCCAUCUGGAUACUCAAGUACGCAGCCACCCGCAUCCGGGUACACUCAACCAGAUUCUGCUUCUCAACGUGCUCCACCAUCCAGUUACGGCACUGCUGCAGCUCAGCCAGGGUUUGCGCCACCUCCAUAUGGUGGUGCUCCUCCAACAAAUCAGUCAGCUUACGGGCAAGCUCCACCACCUUAUGGUGGCUCUUAUGGUGCUGGUUACCCUCAGCCCCAUUAUUCAUCUGAAGGUAAUGCAGGUGGUGCUACUCGUGGGGGCUAUGAUUCUGCAUCAGCUGCUCAGGCAGCGACCCAAAGUGGGGUUGCAAAAGCAUCACCAAAAAGUUGAUAAUAUUGUAUGUGUUUGCUUAGGUGUGUAUGUUGCGGAGAACGUAGCUUUGUUUUUGUGGUUUUUAUUAGACAGGUAGUUUUAUGAGACCUCAUUAAUGCCCGAAUUCUUUACUGUACUUUGUUUUGCUAUGGUUAAAAACGGUUCUGGAGUUUUGUCUCUCUUGAACAAAACACUCUUUCUCUACAGGCGGUGGCGUCUCCUUGAUGAUUUUGAUUUUUGAUUGUGGCGUUGGGGAUUAAGACUGUUUAGGAUUAUUGUAACUUUAAGCUACGGAAAUGGUAAAAUAGCAUUUAUUAAAUAAAAUGUUAGAUAUGAAAAAUUCUUAUUUCAAAUGUUUAUAUGAACUUAUAGCAAAAUAAUACAAAUACAUCUUUUAACAGAUCUACUUAUUCAAAAAAUUAUUAUAAUACUUUUUUCUAUUAAAAUUUAUGCGUUGUAAAAUAUUGAUGUGUGAUAUAUUGUUAUAGUAAAGCUGAAUCCUUUACUUCCAUGUGUGAUACAUUGUUAUAGUGAAUAUAAAUACAGAAGUACACUUGGAAAAACGGAAAAAUGUGUAUGGCAGGUGAACUUCUAUUUCUUUUCUCAGGUAAAUAUAAGUCUAACCCAAAAAAAUUCGGAUCUCUCCCCGCUGUAUCCUAGAUUCUUGUAUAGUUUAAAAGAAAUUAUUCCUAAAAGCCAUGAAUGCUUUGGGUGAAAGUAACAAGAUGAACGCAAGGACCGAACCAAAUAACAAUUUGAUAGCAUAUAGGAAGGGAUCGUGGUCAUCUGCAUCUGUUGAACUUGUGUGGGGUGCCAAUGCCGUUGCGGAUGGAAGGGCUUCAAUUACUGCAUCAGCCAAAUCUGAAAUGAAUGAAGAAUUGCAAUUGAGGGCAGGCACACGGCCCCAGUUUUGGAUUCCAGAUUCAAGUGCCAAGUGCUUAUACUCCAUAUCUAUCUCCUCGAGAGUCUCAAUGUGCUCACUCACAAAGCUGGGAAGAGACAAGUAAAACUAUUAUAAACAAAACGCCACCAGUGCAUAAGAAUAUCCAACUUCACUUAACACGCUUCACCUUCUCCAAGUCUUUCAAAACAAGUAAAACAAAUUGUAAACACGAUCAAACAGCAUACUGCUUAUAACCAGUUGAUUGUUUUAAAGCAAAAAACAGUUGCCUUUUUUAAUUUUGAAGAAAAACCACGUAAACAGCCAAUCUUUUGUGAUGAAGUUCAAAGUUGAGGAACGACCAAGAAAGCCCAAAAUUAUUCAAAGCACUUUGGGCCUAAGGUUCUCCAUCAUUAACACUAGCACAAGGAGUUCGAAAUAUAUAAUUGUCACGUGAAUUAACUUCAUUAAUAUUCACUCUAAGAUCAUAUGAGAACCAAGAUGAGAAGGAUCCCCUGGAAUUAUGAAGCUACAAGGAACCAAAAACCAAACAAUCAAAUUAACAGUUCGUCCUUUUAUGGUUUAUGAACAAGCCAUACCUCACGGGAACGGCUAGGAGACUCUUAAUACCCUUCUGGCCAAGCUCAACAAGAACUUCAUCUGUGUAUGGCUUAAGCCAUUGUACAGGUCCAACACGGCUCUGAAAAAUGUAAUACAUAACAAGAAUAAAAAACCACACGGAUGUAGUUAGGAAAACAAUGAAAUAAAAUGAUAGAAAAUCUGAAUAGUUGUUGGGGCUCAAAAUGUUAAAGAAAAAGAUAGGAAACCAUGCCAAGCUUCAAAUUUAUUACUAACCUGGUAUGCAAGAGUAUGCUCAUUCCCAAUUCCUCUGGCUUUCAGCUCUUGCAUGAUUAGGCAGAUGCACUCUUCCAUUUGAUCUUUGUAUGGAUCUCCAGCAUUCUCAACAUAACUGACGGGAACCCCAUGUGCACUAAAGAAAAUCAUGACCUAAGGUGCAAAUAAGUGAUGCUAUAUUAAGAACUAAUUGACUUGGACAUCCAUUGCUGCAUAAAAAUAAAGCAUCUCUCUAAAAUAAGUUUCAGCAAAAAUUAAGUACCUCUUGAGGAUUGGCAAAAUUCUUCAGCUCUGCCUGCAUCAAGUCAGCCAUUGACUUAAUAUACCCUUCCCGCUGGUACCAGGACUUUAUAAUUGAAACAGGCAACGAUGAGAGAUAUGCAUCUUCCCUGAUAGACAACUCAUAGUCAAUAAGUUAAGUUGGUAGCAGUAAUUUUUUUAAUAAUAACAAUAAAAUCAAAAUAUUAUAAUACUAGACACGAUCAUCACCUGAACAUCUUCUGGAGAACACGAAUACUAGACCCAGUUGUAGAAAUAGAGUACUGUGGAUACAAUGGCAGCACCACAAGUCUUGUUAUCCCAUCCCUCUUAAUCUGCCACACACAGCAAAAGGAACUACCAAUUUUAAACUUCAUUUCAAACAAUGCUUCAAACAAAAACGUGAGGUUACAGGCAUAUUAGGAAAUCCCGUGGUUGGUAGUAAUAUAAAAUUCUUCCCUCCAUUCGAAUUACAAGGCAAGGGGAAUAGAUAAAACAUAGAGCGUACUUGCUGAAUUGCUUCCUCUGUGAAAGGGUACCAAUAGCGCAUUCCCACAUAGACAUUAGUAGACAUGUUUUUCUCCUCCAAAGCCAUUUUAAGCGCUUGUGCCUGCAACAAGUAUUCACAAAUUAUCAAUAUUGAACAUUUGUUUUAUACCCAACUGGGAUAUGCCAUGAUGAACAAUUUGAAGGAAAUAAGAGAGGUCAAUCAACCUGUUCAUCUGUGAUUUUACGCAAAGGUGAGCCACCUCCUAUUGAAGCAUACCCUUCUUUGCUUUUGGGAGCACGGUAUGUAGAUAUUAAUUUUGCCAAUGGCUCUUGGAGGAAACGGAACAACCUUGGGAGUCGGAUAAUAUCCUAUGCAUCAUGAAAAGAAGUAAGAAAAAAGAGCUAUUGGCAUGUUAAUUUGUUGUUAAGACUAGUUGCAUUAAUUAACUAAGAUACCGGAUCUGCAAAUAGAUUGUACAGAAAUGGUUGGACAUCAUCAAGCGUUUCCGGCCCUCCAAGAUUCAAGAGCAGAACUCCCACCUUGUCAUCCACUGCCUGAGAUUGAGAUUCUAAAGCAAAUUCACCAACGGUGAAAGUUCCUACUGAGCAACAUGCUUGCCCCAGACGGCUUUUCUUCUCAAUGGGGCCAGAAAGAUGUAACCCCUGAAUUACAUCUCUGUCACCAUUGGAGCUAGAACAAGAAACCACUAAUCCUGUAGACCUAUCACGAACUUGCAGAUUUCCAGACGUUUUGCAAGAGAAAGUCACGCGAGAUUUCGGCAAAGAGCAUAACCUGAAAACAGGAAAAUAUACAUUGAAUUCCUAACUUCGACAAUAUAACACCUAAACCCCCCCUUAAAAUAUCAGUCACUGCCAUGACAUCCUCCAUACAAUAAAAUAACUAAGAAACUUCCUUCACAUCAACUCCAGCUACUAGAAUCCACGAUCACAUAACUUCACAUUGAUCGAACUAAAAGGACUGAUUCCAAGUAUACGACACGGGGUAACUUCAUCCAAUAAUCAACAUAGAGUUCAAAUGGGGGCGAAAUUUUAAAAGGGUACAAACGAUAUAAACCAAAAUCCAGAUUCCAAAGCAAGAAGAAAAGGUCGGUUAAGAAUUAACCGAUAAGGAACAUGAAGAAGAAGUGAUAUAAAAGAGAACUUACGAUGAAAUUCUUUGAUCCGAAUUGAGGGUAUUGGUGGAACCGUGAAGCUUGAUAUUGGAGAGGGCGAGAGAGGAAGAGGCGGCGUCCAUGGAGUCGAAAAUUGGAAGAACAACGAUCUAAAUCCAAAACCCGAGAAGAAAUUGAGUACAGAUAUGAGUGAGGAAGAAUGGGAUUGGUCGAUUAUAAAAAUUGGAGAAAUGGGAAACGUGGAAUCGGAAGGAGGAAGAACGGUAGAGAAGUCAAAGUUGGGGGAGGGAAGGAUCCGGGAAAUGGAAGCGCCAACCACUCUCCCAAGUCUCACCAUUAUAUAUUCAAAGUUUGUUUCGUGUUGAAGACUCAACGCAUCUACGUGUGGGCCGUACUCCUAACUUUCUUUAAUUUCUAAUUUUCAUCCAUAUAAUUAUAUAUAAAAAAAGUUAAAAUUUAAUUUCCAUAUUUAAAAGUUAGGAUUAAAAUAGAACAUAUUUAGUCAAAUUAAUAACUCGAGUUCCUCUUAAAUAUGUUCUUCGAUAUUUUUACAAAUCUCAUCUAAGUUCGAUGGUACUUAACUUAUUAAGUAGGAGUAAAAAUUGCUUAUUAAUGCUACAUAUCGCUACUAAAAAUUUAUCGAUAUCUAAAGUAACUAAUAAUUUUUGUUGAUUUGCAAUUUUUAAAAAUAUUGCUCAGCCCUACUUACCUAAAUUUUAAUUUUCUAAAAAAGAAUUAUUCGAUUUUUUUGGUAUUUACACGUGUAUUAUGUAGGUAGUGCAAAAACUUCAACAAAAUUGGUCUAAAUUUGUAUCAAAGAAAUUUAGGCAUUUUUGGUACUCACUACAUAAUACAUUUGUUCUGAGUGGUUGUUUGAUCCUUAUCUAAAUUACGAAAAAAAUAAAAAGAAUAAAUUGAAAUAAUAAAUAAGUUUCCUAAAAUUAACUAAAUUCCUUCUUUUCACCUUUGUAAAAGGUCAAACGUGGAAUGAAAUAUUAUUCAUUAUGAUCCAAAGAAAGAAGUAAAGGUGUCUAGUGAUAUCUUAUAACAUAGAUCACCAUUGAUAGCAAUUGUUUAUAAGAAGAGUCCAACAUCAUUCUUUCCAAAGAAAAUUCUCAUCCUAUGUUGAAAAUAGAUUAUCGUUCUAGAUAUGAAAAAUGAUCUGUCAACAAAGGUAAUCCAUAUUCUAUAUGAAAUUUUAUUUUGUCUUUUACCAGAUGGGUUAAAAGAUUUUUUUUUCUUCAAUAAAUACACAAGCAACCAUUAGAAUUCACAUCAUUUUACCAAGUUGAUUAAAUCUACACUUCAAUCCUUCUAAAUUUUCAUGGGAUGGAAAUUAAACGAGGGGCGGAGGCGAGGGAAUCAUCCCAUCUUGGUCAAAUUCCAAAUAUACCAAACCUAAAAAUGACCAAACUUCAACUUCAUUUGGGAAAAAAGGGGGAAAACAUAUUAUUUCCAAAUAUAGAGAAAACAAAAAUGGCUGAUGAUACUAGAAAUCAUUGAUUAUAGUGUAAAUUUGAUUGGUUGGAGCAUUAAGCAGAUGUGAAACUUGUCUCAACAGUCCGAACACUACUUGGUCAAAUUCCAAAUUUCCAAUCAACAUCAAAGUCCCAUUCUUUCCAAGAAACUAAUGAGAUUCUCCACUUACUAGACAAAAAGAAGGGUAGGAAGGAAAUGCAUGUAAAUGUAACUCAAAAUAGUUAAAAGUGUUAGGAUCCAGUAGAGAUUAUACAGACGAAAUAUUUUAGAGAAAGAAGGAUACUGAGUAUAUCUUCAUUCGACAUUUGAAAAUCCGGCACCACCUUCCGCUCGAGUCCUGUCCAUGGGCACAAGCUUAGUCAUUUAGGGGACUGAUAGGGUACAAAAGAAAGAUGAGAACAAAGAUAAUAAAGAGCAAGAAAGUCAAAGUGAGCUAGCUCGAUGGUAAGUGAAGUGUGCUAGCUCGAUAGUAAUUGAAAUAUACUCAUUUCUCUUUAGGUUAGAGGUUCGAAUUUUCACAACCCCAUAUUUUAUACUAAUGAGCAUACGGAACUUUCAUCGACUUUUUGAAAAAGAUAAACACCGGAACAAGCAAUGGAUAAGAAACUGUUAAUAGCUCAAUCAAGGGGCAUCCUCAAAUAAGUUGAGUAGACGGAUGUGAUCAAAACACAAGGACAAUAAUUUGAAAGAAAAUAAUUAUAAACAAAAAAGAUGGAUAAGGAGAAUGUAUAGCUAUAACGUAUGCAGUGUCUUCUACCGUGGAGAUUGAACUGAGUGAAAGACACUUCAGAUUAAUGCCUUCUUGGAGCCAAAGAACAAGUAAAAUAUUAUCAAUACCAUCCAUCAAUGGAAAUAGCACUUACUUGUGGUCAGAAGGAUUUGGUGUGAUUUCGUAGACAAUUGUUGCAACAACAUCUCUCUUUAGCUGUUGAUUAAAAUGAAGAUAUUUAGUUAUUUAAAUCAACAAAAUCAUCAACUGAUUCUUGCCCACAACUUUACCUGCGUGGCUUCACCUUUCAACCCAAUGUAGUGUAUCUGAGUCGUGUCACCACCAUAAUUAUCAGGAAAAUGCAAAGUGAUGUUUCCCACACCUUGAAAUUUGGAAUAUCUGAUUAUGUAUAUAAAUUAGCUGUCAAAAAAUAGUUGUAAUCUAACAUUGAAAGAAUUCACAGGCUCGAUAAUUAUAAGGGGAAAGAAAAUGCUCAAUUUUUUUGCUAUCAAUUCAAACAUUUUCAGAUGAUCUGAAAGAUAUGUUCCUCUAUAAAACAUCCUUACCUUGUUUGGUACUCUAAUACUCCUUGCAAAUUCUCAGCCAAAUCCCACUCCUAGAAUAAUAAAAAAUGCGUUACAGUUACAACAUAUGGUUAGGCGUCAAAAUUUCUCCAUGAAUCUCCGCCAGACAUGCUAACAGGUAGUACCUGAACAGCUUGCAUACUUUGAGCAUCUGAGAAGUCAAUACCUUCUCGAUUGAUAAACCUGAUUAUGAAGGAUAACUUGCGUAUAAGAACUAACGCAGGGAGAGAACUAGAAGGGAUAAAACUUAAUAUUCACAUAGAAAACCAAGUGUGUGAAAGUUCCAGAACAUCGAACUUACACCCUCAUCUUUGAAGGACUAGUACCAUCUGGACCACCAAUGAUAGAUAUGCUUUUGAUCUUAACAUCUGAUGUAAAUCUAAUCAUAAAAAAAGUGGUAAUGAAUUUUUAAGAAACAGGGAGAGUGCCAGAACACAAAAAGCGCACACCACAUAUAAGCAAUGUAGCCAUCGCUGCAAAACAAAGAUACAGGCACAGAAAUCUUCAUGACAUAAUAUAAAUUUUAUUAUCAGAUAACUAAAAUUGUUCUUGUGAUAUCUGCUUUCGAAGUUUCAGACCAGCCGACAAACACAUAGAUUCUUAGACAAACAGUUUUCUCUUGGUAGGAACACGAAAUUGCGUUUAGGAAGGGUAUGAAUUUACUAGGUGAAAUGGCUGAGCACCUAUGGGAAUUAUUUAGGAAGGCUAGAAGAAUAAAAAAAAAGGGGGGAAGUCGUGAUAAUUUAUGUCUUCACAAAAUUAUUUAUUUCCAUAUUCGCCCUGAGAUAUAUAAAAGGGAUGGUUGAGAAACUAUAAAUUUUAUUACAUUAAAAUGUAAAUUACGAAUAACCAUUACAAUAACUGUACUUAUUAACGAGUACAUAUCAAUGUUAUUAAGGUAUCAGGUAUAGUUAGAAUCCAAAAGUACAGGAACACCUACGGGAUGAAAACUAGCAGUUCAGGAUCACCCUCGUUGCUUUCCAAGUGAUCCUGUUGUAUAAAAACGAAAUAUAUGAGGCUACUUUAUCCUAGCAAUCGGGUACAUGGCACUGAUACACGCAGAUAUAAAGGUAAGGUACCCCAGAUGAGUUUAACCGAUGCUCCCAAGCUUUAAAUACUGACUUCACACUUCCUGGAGUUGCCUCAUUCAAAGCUGAAACCUAAAAAAAUAGCAGAACCUGUGAUCAUAAAUAAAAUUUCCACCAGUUCCUUUGAGGGAAAAAAAAUUAUAAUACGUGUGGGUUCGACAUGCAAUCUACAAUAAGAGUUCAAGGCUCUUCCAUAAAAGUUACUCAUAAGAUUCAAUUGAUUCCGUCCACAAUUAUCAACUUGCAUGAAACAUGCUAUUGACGGAAGGGGCAAUUGUCAUCCUUGUGUGAUUUUAAGAGUAAUGCAUUCAAAGAAUUUCUCCAAUCUUAAAGAUGAAAAAACUCAACAUCAUUAAUACUUCCACAUAUUCACUCAUAAUCUAACCUCUCCGAUUUCUUCUAGCCUUAAAAUAAACAGGAAGAUUUAUCAGUUUCAUCAAUACUUCGCCCACAGUAUUCAUUCCAACGUCAGCAGACAAUUACUUGUGCCUUAAAAGUUAUGGGGAAAAAUCCGUCAGCAUUGCUAACAUCUACUCAUAAUUGUUCCAGUUAUUGAACAACUCCAAUAAGCUUGCAAGACAAGAUGGCAAUGGAAAAUAAUAUAUUUCUAACAAAGUUAUCAAAUCCCCUUAAUAGUAACCAUUGAUGUUCUUGCUAUGCGUGCUAUGUUUAUCUCUCGUAUAACUCAAAUAUGAAUAAAAUAGUGGAAAUAUUAGCACAAUCCUCUUCCAAUUUCUUCCCAAAUGGCUAGGCUGUAAACCCAACUUGGAAAAAGGUAAUGUAAUUAAGAUGUAACAAAAAACAACAAAAGAAGAGAACCAGAGAUGGAAACAAGAGAACAAUAUUGCACGGACGAUCAGCUACAGUUGAGUUUUGUGUUCAUUUGAAGUGAAAACUAAAAAAAUUAACCACUAAUGCACUAGCUUCUAUCACUAACCAUGAAAUUCUCCAACAUCAUUCCCACUAAGCCAUUAGGCCAGUUCCCUCCAAUUUAGGAGGCACUACCUAAAUUAAACCCAUCAACAUAAAUUAAAACUAAUUACAAAUUAAGUUGCACUAAUUCUUAACCUAAGAAAAACCCAAUUUGCAUGUGAGGAACCAUAACCAACGGCAGGAACAAAGAUUCAGCUCAUUCAUGAGAUCAUGGGCAAUUGCAAUUCACAUAAUAUUUUCCAAGCAGUGUAAUUGGGAAGGAAACUAAAAAAUUAUCAUUCAGCUAAUGGGUAUGGAGAUAAUUAAAAUCCAAAGCCUGGACAAUCAAAUUUCAUAUUGAACGAUGGAAAAUGAUUAUACGAAUAUGUUUGAAGUGAUACGAAGUCGUAAAACGGAUUGUCAAAGAAGAAAAUUCGUGUGCUAGAGGUAGAUACAGAUAUGCACUAACUCUGGGGAGGUCUAUGUGCUUGUAAAGAGACCAAUCAGAAGAACAAUCGUGAUCUUCGCAGCUGUGAUCGUGUAAGCAAGCCAUCUUUGAGGUUCCAGAACAAUAGGCAGAACGAAGAGAGAUUUCAGAGGUAAAAGAGAAAGUGCGAGAUGCUCAAAACGGCGCCGCUUCUGUACGUGAAGGAUUGUUUUCGCUUUGAUAUAAAGCCAUUACAAGAAAACAUCAAUUACAUUUUGUUUGUUUUUUAAUAGCCGUGACUAAAAUAAAUCAAGAGAUUAUAAUAAAUGAAAUUAUCAAGAUCAAGAUGAUAUUUUCUAAUGGAACAAAAAAAGAAAGAAAAAACGAAAAGUUGUAUCCUUAAUUAUACUAAAAAGGAAUAAUAAUAAUCCAUCAACACGUUAUUUGGUAGCCUUCAACAUAAUUAGUGUUUGCAUUCAAAAUGUGGAAUAGAAAUAGGAUCAUGAAACGUCGAAACAAUGAAAAAUUAGAGUUGAGGAUCAUGAAACGUCGAAACGAUGAAAAAUUAGAGUUGAGUUGAGAACCGUGGAAAUGAAAUCAGUUUUAGUAUUACAAAUUCAAUCCAAAACCAAAACAUCCAAUCCAAACUCAUUCCACGACGAGUCUCCAAACCACUGUAAUCGUAUAGGAUGUGUGUUAAAGGAACAAAUUUAGGGUUACUUUGUUUAUAUAUUUUUUUGAAAAAAAAUACUAUUUACAAAUAGAUUAUUACAAAGAUCAACUUGGAUGAGCACCUUCAAUGAACAACUUUGAGAAUUAUUUUAGUAACCAACUUCAAAAAACGACAUACGAUGCCGAAUUUUGACAAUGACCUUUUAUGAUAAUCAAUUUUGAUGGUUACUUCAUGCCACUAACCCUAGUGAAAAGUAUUUUUAUACUCUCCAAUACAAACAAUUACAAUUCAUACUAUUUUAAUUAAUCUACACUCUAAAUAUACAUUUCAUAACAUAGAUUCUAUUUCACAUAUUACAAUAACCAACUCGAAGUCACAAAGAAUCUCGUCUACAAAUCAAUCUCGAGUAGAUAUGAUUUUCCUUUUCUUCUCCGUCGUGUGAACACUAUGUGCCCCAAACAACCCUACUAUGUUGGAUUUCUUAAUUAACAAGGGAACUCAUUUUUGUCCCAUGUGUUCAAUGACGGACGUUAAAUGUACUUUUCAUUUAAACUAAGCAAAGGGAGAGAGAGGAAAAAAAGUUAAGGCUUCACCAAAAAAAUUUAAUUAUUGUUUAGAUGAUUUGAUCAUCAACUUAAUUGACUAAUAAUUUGUAACAAAUAUAUUGCUUAUUUAAAGCUUGAUUUCAAAAUUACUCAAUAAACAAACAGUACAAUCAAUCACAAAAAUUCAACCCUAAAAUGCAUCAAUCGUACAAAGUUUAGUAAUAAACAUUAAUUGAUAGAAAGUAUUCUAUUAUGAUAGUUUUGAGGCACAUAUUUUAGGUUGGAAGAAGCACAAUUCAUAGAUAUAUAAUAACUUUAAAUUGGUCCAUACAAUAUUUUAAUUAAGUGAUAUUGUUUUAGUUAAAUUAAAUUUCAAUCCGUGUAUGAAUUUACUUGAUCUCGAACUUAAAAAAUCUUUUUUGAAAUGUUUACUUGACAUUUCAAUUUGUAUUCAACAAUCUUUAGUUAAUUUAAUUGAUGUUUUUAAACGUUAGAGACUUAUAAUACACAAUAUUAAAAAUUUAUUAGACACAAGUUUUAAUUUUAUAUCUUAAUUGUUCAAUUAACGGUUAAAAGUUACUAUAUGUUAUAAAUUAAUGAACCUAUUAAACACAAAUUUUAAAAUCUUUAUAAAACGGAAUCUCUAUUUCUAAUACAAAAAUAGUUAUGGAUCAUGACAAUAUGUUUGCUACUAAGUAUGCUUAAAAAAUAAUAAGAACAUAUUAACUAACUAGUUAAAAACCAACACUAUUUUUAUAAGUUGUAGGUUGAAAAUUUAAUUCCUACCUUUACUAAAAAAAAUUAGAGUAUUGUUGAGAUGAAAAAAAAAAAAAAAAACCAUAUGCAUAUGGUAAAUUAAAAAGAUAUUUAUUGAUUGAAUUAUGGUAUAUAUCUGAUCUUAUAAGUAAAGUAUAUGAGAAUGGACAUAUUAUAUCAUAAUUUAUCCGUUCUAACUAGAAGACAAUUCAAGUACUUUGGUCAAAGACUCAAAGGUUAAUUAUGAAUGGAUUAUUUAUUAUAUAACUUAUCAUCCACAAAUUAUUUCACUUUUAAUGCAAUAUCCCUUUCUAUGAUAUUUUCUAAAGAAAAAAAGCAAUCACAUUCUCUGCCCUCUUUUAUCUUCUCUUUCUUUCUAAUAAUUAUCUGAUUCGUAUAACUAAAAGUUUAUUUUUCAUUCUAUUUAUAAGUUUUGCGAGUGCACGUUUGAGUUAAUAAAUUAAUCUUGAAAAGCAAUUGACAUGUACGAUUUAGUAUCGACGUCGAACUAAAUUUUACUUUCAAAACAGUGGUUCGAAACGAUACAACAUGAUCAACAAUUAUUUUGUCUACUACUACUAUAUUGUUUCAUUUUACUAGAAUUAUAAAAUAUAGCUAAAGUUAACAUUUAUUAAUUAGUUCUUAAUUUAAAUUUAUUUAUACUUUAUUAUUUAAAUAUACUUGCGUAAGAUUAUAUACCGUCACUGUAGGCAACGUAAUGAAAAACAUUUUGGUUAAUAUUUGAAUAUAGAUCUAUUCAAGAGCUUUCUCUUAAUGUAAGUGAUGAAUUUCUCUUGUUUAACCACGAACAUGAUUUUAACUAUUUUUUUUAAAAGGUCGGUCUUCCGUCUUUAAAUAAAACCAAUUUAAAAAUCACCUCCAUUCUUUAUUUGGAGAGUUUAUGAUUGAUCUCUUCCCAAACCACUGAUUAGGGUAAAUUUUAGAAAUAUAUUUUAAUAUCAUAACAAAUAUUAAUUAAGCCAAUAAUAAAGAUUUGAUUGAUAACAGUUUUACUAAAGUUGAAGAAACUAAAAAAGAAUGAAAAUGAUAUUUUAGUAUUAAAAAGGAUUGAAGAAAAAAGAUGAGAAAUGGACGGAUAAUAAGAUUCCACACCCAACCGCGAAGGAAUCUCGCCUAAUAUUGAUAUUUGCUAUUUAGUGGGUCAUAGCUUUCCCUAUCAACUUCAACUUGCAAUGUAUUAAAGUUGAAAAAAUGACCGCAACUAUUAUCAUUACACGUGUAAGGUCAGGAUUCAUCACCAGGGGCAACUAAGUCUUUUACAAAAACCCGCAAGAAAAUUUCCAAUUUUCUUUUUUAUAUAUAUUAAGUGAAUUUGUAAUCAUCGUUCUAUACCCACCGUGUAGCCCAAGUUUCCCGGCAACUUCAUGGCUCGAAUCCCCACCGGAGUUUUACUCUCUCUUCUAUUCCUUGCCGUAAUCGGUCUACCUGCCGGAGCCCGGGACCUUCCCGGUGAUUUUCUCCGGUUGCCGUCCGAGGCACUGAAAUUUUUUCGCGGAGGAGCUUCCGACGCUAGCGACGAAGACUCCGUGGGGACGAGAUGGGCUGUUUUGAUCGCUGGUUCUAAUGGAUACUGGAAUUACAGGCAUCAGGUUUUUUUUUCUACGAUUGAUAAGUUGCACUGACUUUAAUUCAUUUGAUAAGUUUGUGUUGUGUUAUGAUGUUGACCUUUGUGAUUGAUUGGCGUUUUCGUGUUCGUAUUUCAUACUUUUUACCCAAAAUGUCUGUUGUGCAUUAUAUCUGUUGCUGAUACUUGUCUGAUCCAUUUUCUCACUGCUUUUUAUUUUUAACCUAAACUUUAUCAUCGGUGAUUCUUCUUGGCGUGAGAUCGAUUUUUUUUUUUUUUUCCAGUUAAACUAAGUCUGCAUUCUUUUGAUCUUUACUCUUCGUCGUCUGCUUUUUUGAUCGAUUGACUUUUUUCUGUUUUUCGAUUAAGAAAUUGUAGUAGUUCUGUUCUUAUCCGUUUCAUUUUUUUCAAUACAUAUGUUCUUAGUUUAUUUUAAAAGAAAAAAAAUAAUUAAGCCUUCAAAUUAAUUAAAUAUUUGUUGCUGUUAAUAAUUCUUAAAAAUUGAGCUGAAAUUCUCGAAGAACAUGGUUUUUUCAACGCCCUUCCAUUUGUCGUUGCUACCAUGUGAUCGAUAUAACUUUUCGAUUUUGCUCCAAAAUAACCACGUUACCUGUAGCUACUCUCAAACAAAGUUUCCUUGUUUAUAAUUGUCAUGUUGAACGAGUAACUGAGCGUUUAAGGCCUAACUGCAAAAGUUUAUUUGAAGGCACUUUUGAAAAGUUUUAUUUCUUGUGUUUGUAGUGACUUUUUUUUUAUUUUAACAAGUAACAGUUAUUUUCAGUGCUCUAUUUGGGUUGCAAAAUCUCAACUCCAUACUAGCCAUAGUUUAAAUUUCUUGGUACUAAACUGGAGUAAUCUUUUAUACUUCCUAUGUAUAAUAUAUAUGUAUAUAUAUAUUCAUGAAUAUCUGGGCUAGCUGAGGCACACAUGAGCAUUUGGGUGUCAAGGAAACAGGCAGGAUAUUAAAUUCUACGUAGGUGGUCACCAUGAAUUGAAUCCAUAACCUCUCAACCAUUUUUCAAGGUCAAUAUAACCAUUUAUUAUCUUAAUAAAAAAGAGUUUGUGACUCCUCUAUGGAAAGUAAAAAAGAGCUAUAAACACAACCAGUAAUUAAAGUUACAAAUCAAAGGAGAGAAUGGAGAUAUAAUUAAGAAUUAAUAUAAAUUUGUUGAACAAGCGUAAGUCAACAGAGUCUAGGUGCUACUAUUCUGCUCUCAACCUUGUUUUAUUAUGUGAGUGUCGUAGAUGGUUUAAUUGAUUAAAAAGGCUUAGAGAAUGCUGAACUCAUUUUCCACCAGGCUGAUAUCUGCCAUGCUUAUCAAUUGUUGCGGAAAAAUGGGCUAAAAGAUGAGAACAUCAUAGUCUUCAUGUACGAUGACAUUGCCUUCAAUCCAGAGAACCCAAGACCUGGUGUCAUCAUCAACCAUCCAAAGGGUUCUGAUGUUUAUCAUGGAGUCCCGAAGGUUUUCUUUUUCUCGUUGCCCUAUCGAUUCUAAUUUUACGCCUGAUUCAUCUGAUGGUAGCUACUUAUGCACUCUACGUUUUGGCCAUGGCAGGAUUACACUGGUGAAGAUGUUACCGUGAACAACUUUUUUGCUGCCAUUCUUGGAAACAAAACUGCUCUUACAGGGGGUAGUGGGAAGGUUGUUGACAGUGGCCCUAAUGAUCAUAUUUUCAUAUACUACAGUGAUCAUGGUGGUCCUGGUGUGCUUGGUGAGUGGCUUGUUCUGUGUAGUUCGCAUACUAUUUGAGGUGACCUAUCAUGCUUAUCUGGCACCAUCUCUUUGGAUAUGUUUGUUGCUCGAUGUGCUUGAUUUAUAUCUGUAAACAAUAGCACGAUUAGUUUACAUUUCCAUAUUAUCUUUUAAAGGCAGCCAACCAACCAAAAUUCAAUCUUAAAAAGCGUGCUUUGAUUUGAAACUGAUAGUACAGCCUCAUUUACCUAGGAAACACUUAUUGGUAUCAUUAUUGUAAAAACAUUAAUCGAAGAUAAACUUGUGUUAGAUUUCUCUAACUAGUUUGUUACUUGAUGGAUAAGAAAUUUCUCAUCUCUGAUAUAUCUUGUUCAGGGAUGCCUACCUAUCCUUAUAUGUAUGCUGACGAUCUUAACAAAGUUCUAAAGAAGAAGCAUGCUGCUGGAUCCUACAAAAGUUUGGUAUAUUAUUGUACUGUUCAUUGCUUGAGACUGCAUCUGUCCUUAUAAUGUAACCAUAUAUAAUGAGAGUGGAACUGUUUGUAAUAUUUUAGGUAUUCUAUCUCGAAGCUUGUGAAUCAGGAAGUAUCUUUGAAGGUCUUCUUCCUGAAGGUUUGAACAUUUAUACAACGACUGCAUCAAAUGCUUAUGAAAGCAGUUGGGGUACUUAUUGUCCAGGGGAUUAUCCUAGUCCUCCACCAGAGUAUGAUACUUGCUUGGGUGACUUGUACAGUGUUGCUUGGUUGGAAGACAGGUAAAAAGAUAAUAGUAGGCUUGUUCUAUUGUUUUUAUACUUUGUUAUUUUGUUAUUUUGUUGUUUUUGUUUUUGUUUUUUGCUUGGUGUUUUAAUUUAUCAGUAAAAGAAAAUGAUAUCAAUGCCGAAAUCCAAAAGGUAAUGUUUUUUGAUGUUGUGCAACUUUGAUUUUGGGCAUUUGUUCUGAUUUCCAUGUUCUCAUCGUUAUAUGUACUGCCGCACCAUACUUCUGGUGUCUAGUGUUCUGUCAAGCCGAAGAAUGAGUCUCACAAAAUUAUUAGAUCCAAAAGCAGAUUAUUACCUUUUAAAUAAGGGAUCCAAACGCAAAUGACGUGAGUUAAAAUAAUGAGGAAGUGGUUUAUUUUAUUCAGAACCUCAAGAUUUUUACUUUCGUGCUGUAACAGUGAUAAUCACAAUUUGAAGACAGAAAGUUUACGCCAGCAAUACGAACUGGUAAGAAUACGUGGACCUCCGUUUUAGGAGAAAUCAACUUCCCAAGUUUAAAUUUGGUUCUUAAAAAUGAAAAAUUUUCUACCAGAUUUUUUCAUCCUUUUGUAAUUGUACUAAAUGUACCAAGUCUAAAGGACAUUUUAGUGUGUUUAUCAAAAUGAAAAAAAAUCCCAUUAUGCUCGUUUGAUCUGAUUUGAACUGUUGGUUUCUUCAGGUGAAAAAAAGGACGCUAAGUGGCCAAUAUGCCUAUGGUUCCCAUGUCAUGCAAUACGGUGAUCUAAUGCUCAACAAGAACGCUUUGUUCUCAUAUCUGGGUACUGAUCCUGCUAAUGAGAACAACACUUUUGUCGAGGAAAACUCCUUGAGGCCAGCUACAAAGUUCACCAAUCAGCGUGACGCUGAUCUGGUCCACUUUUGGGAGAAGGUUAGUUUCUUCUUUUUCUAUUUUCAAAUGGAUAAUAUAUGAACCCUGCUUGGUAUACUAGUAUAUAGUAAAUAAGUGAUAUUUUGAGGUUCGCCAAAUUGAUAAUAUUUCCUGUUUUAGAUAGUGAGAACAAAGCAUUCUUGUGCGUUAGAUCCAAUUUUUGAGACUUUUGUGGCAAUUUUUUAAAUACUACACUUGUCACCUCUCUAAUGUAGGGAUUGUAGUAUUUACUUGUUAAUCUUGGGUUUUUUCUUGCUUAAAAUUAAUUUUGGUUUCGACAUCAUUCAAGACCCUCUCACCCCAUCCGUGCUUGUUGAUCUUAGUUUCGCAAAGCUCCAGAAGGCUCCCUGACGAAAGUCGAAGCUCAGAAGAAGUUCGUGGAAGCAAUGUCCCAUAGAGCUCAUAUCGAUAACAGUGUGAAGCUAGUUGGAAAGCUGUUGUUUGGAAUUAAAGAAGGUCCUGAGGUGCUUGAAGCCAUCCGUCCCGCAGGAAGACCCCUUGUUGAUGACUGGAACUGUCUUAGGAAUAUGGUAUAAUUUCAAUAUAAUUGGAUACUGCACAGCCCAUUUCAGUCAACCAGUCAAAUGAUGUUUAGUUAUAUUUUUACUCAGUAUAAAAGUUAGUUAAUUCUGAAAUGAUUCAAUACAAACAGGUUAGGAGCUUUGAGGCACGUUGUGGAUCUCUGUCUCAGUACGGAAUGAAACACAUGAGAUCCUUUGCAAACCUAUGCAAUGCUGGAAUCAGCAAGGAGCAGAUGGCGGAGGCAUCGGCGCAAGCUUGCAUGAGUGUCCCUCCGGGCCCUUGGAGCUCUCUACUCAAGGGCUUCACUGCAUGAUGACGAAACCCAAGUCAGUCAUCGGAUUUGGAAGUACGUUUCUCCCACCAUUGUUUAUAUCACAUCUAUGUUCAAAUGGGUCUGUCGACGACAAGUCAUUUGUAAAUAGAACCACAGGCCAUUGUGUUAGGUGAGAAAAAAGGGGCAUAUAAUUGAAAUGUUGAACUGAAGAAAUACGCAUCUGUUUAUAAGAAGAAGGCUCUGGUUGUGUUGGCAAGAACGAUCAAAAUUCCAAAUGUAUUGAUUGUAUGUAGUAGAAUUAUGGUGUGCUUUUUACAUUGAAUGACAAUAUAUUUUCACAUGAAUACAAAAUUCCAACCUCCAAAAGAAGAAAAGUGAGAAAACAAAAAUGCAUGAUUGAAAUAUUGGUGAGAAAAGGCAUAAGAGGUGGGCUAUACUUAUAGAUGGGAUAUGGGUGAGAAGGGUAGGCUCCACUCCUUUCCUCCUUCACUUGUUUAAACUUUCGUCAAUUUUAAAAGUAGAAUGGGGAGUUUGUGGGUUGUGGUAGUUGAAAAUGGUUAGAUGUUUUGGUAUAGAAUUUAGUGGGGGAAGAGAUAAAUCCACAUAUUGGGAUUAUUGGGAUACUGUUUGUGUGUGUGUGUGUGUGUGUGUGCCCCCAUUCUCCACCUCCCUGGAUCCACAUUCUUCUAUUAUUCCCACUUUUGCACGCUUUGUUUCUUUCCUUUUAUUAUUUUAAUACCAUCUAAUUUCAUGUUCUUUAACUUUAUUGUUUUAAUACCAUCAAUUUAUAUUGUAAAAAAAAAAAAAAAAAGAGUUCCUUUUGCAUCUUAUCUGAAUGUGAAUGUUGGUUUCUAUACUAUAUUUGUAAUUUUUUUAAGAUAUAAUGAAAAUAUGAUUCACUCUUUCAUCAUCUUAAUAUUGAGUUUAGUUAGAUAGAAUAUGUAACAUUUGUCAUCUUAGUAAUUCUUUUAAUCGUGGCUUUAAAUUUACUUUAUUAUUUUCUCGUUGUUUAGUAAAGGGAUGGAAUAUCAAUUAUUGAAACUCGAUUUGGUUGUUUUGUUUAAACCCCAAAUUAUGAAUCAGAAUUGGUUCCAUACAUAAUUCUCAAAAUCUCAUAAUUCUCCAAGAAAAUAAAGAUUUCAAAUGUAGUUUCUGGUCUAUAGAACUUUAAGUUUUUUUACUUUUAGGCUUCAAUAAUUUUUUUGUUUGUUAAAAUAGUAUUCUUUCAAUUUUUUAUUAUAUAUAUAUAUAGUUCCUAGUUGAAAGGAAAAGUUGAUUAAGAGGUAUAUGUGAUGAUUUAAUAAUUUAUUCGAAUGAUUGUGUUUGAAGAAAUUAAACUAGUUGCCAACUAUAUGAAUCAAAUGAUUUUGAAUUCAAAGGUAAUAGUUAGGGAAUUGGAUAUUUUUUUUUUUCUAGUGGAGCAUCUAAUGAUACCUUUUUCAAUAUCAUUAUUACGGAGAUGAAAAUAAAAAAUUGACUCUUGAAUUAGAAUUAUGUCAAUUACUAACAAGCUAAAUUCACCUUUUCAUUAAGAGUCAACGAGACGAAAACUAAUAUGGAUACAUACUUUUGUUUAAAUUCAACGAGUAUGAUUUGAUUAUUUUGUUUCUUUUAAAAUGAGUAUGAUCUUAAUAUUACAAAAUACAAAUGGAUGGACAAAAGUUUCUUAUUAAAAAAUCAACCCCACUACUGAACAAAGGCACCAAAAGAAAAAGAAAAAAAAAAGAAGAAAAUCUUCUUCAUAUGCUCUCUCAUUUGGAAAAACGAAAAGGAACAAAAGUCUUUUUAUCUUUUUCUUUUUUUCCUUCUUAAAAAGUAGAUAAAACUUCAAAUAUGGAAAAGGUAAAUUCACAUAAUGACUAAAAGCAUUUUUAUUUCAUAACCUUUAUUUAUACAUAAAUACGCAUGUGCCUUUAUUGGUAAUCUUUCUUUGUUUUUGUUUUUUAAUUGGUUUUUAAAAACUAAAGUGUAUUUGGUAACUAAUUCACUUUUUAUUUUUAUUUUUUAAAAAAAAACUUUUUUUAAAAUUAUAAAGAAAAAUUGAAAAUGAAAGGACAUCUUUAAAAUAACAACAUUAUCAAAUAUAUAUGGUUUUUAUCUUUAUAAAAAAUUAGAAAAUAGAAAAAUGAAAACAAAAAUAAAAAUUGAAAUGGUUAACUAAACCUGUUCUAGAAGUUUAAAAAUAUAAUGAUAAUUAUAAAUAUGUUUGGAGAUUUUUAAAAGAAGAAGAAGAAAAUUGACGAAUUAUUUACGUAAUCCACUAAAAGUCAAAAUUUAUACACUUAUUUCUCUACUAAUGAUAAAUAUUCUAUUUGUAUGGUUUUUCCCUUUUUUCUUUUUUUGGUAGAGUGGGGGCUCGAAAAUGAAGUUUAAAUAAAGUUAUGUGAUGAACUAACAAUAGGCUAAAAAGAUAAAAUCUUAUUAAAUUUACAUAAUGUUUUUUAAAAAAACGAACUCAUUUAUUAAAUUUGAGGGUACAAUGGUGAGUUUGAUGUGAUUUUUUAGAAGUUAGGGAAGGAGUGGAAAGUGAAAAUAAAUAUAAGCUUAUAAUUAUUAAUAAACAUGAGAAAAGUGCUUUGCAUUAUUAGGAAGUUUACAACAAACUCUAAUUUUUAAUUUAACUUGUUUGUUUCUAAUUAAUAUAAUAUCAACUUGUCAAUAUUUGAACUUUUAUAUAACAUUUCAGUCCUUACAUAUUCUUUUAUAACUUUUAUAUUCUCCAUUUAAAUCCUUUGACUAAUUAAAACUUUUAUUAUGUAUAAGGAAAAUUUUAAAAAAUAAAAUUUAUAAUUAUUAAGUAAGCAAGUGAAUGGUACGAAACAUGUAAGCCUCAAAGUUAUUAUUUCAAUUUUAUUUUAUCAUCUUUUAAAACACGUUCGAUGUUGAUGAUCUAAGCUUUUUACAGUUCUUGGUAUAUGAUUGCAUGUGUAAAGAGUUUAAACCUCGAGUAGGGAAGUAGUUAUACUUUCCUUGAGGUCUUCAAUCAUGACAAGAUUUUUAAUUUUUAAAUUUUUAGAAUUAAAGUUUUCAUAUAUAUAAAAUAAAUUUAUUAAGUAAUUUUGUAUGAUUGACUCAAACGAAUGGUGUCUCGUUUAUAUAAUAUUAGGAUUUGUGGUAAAUAAUUUAUGGGAUGGUUUUGGAGAUGAAAAAAAAGUAAAAGAAUAUGAAGAAAUAUAGAGUUGCAUUUAAUGAUUGUAUUGUGGUGUUUUGAAACAUCACGACUCUCUUCCACAAAACGUUUUCUAAAAUCACAAUGGAUAAAGUCAAAUUGUUGGUGAAGAAUCCUUUGUUUUUUCCAUUAAUAAUUGUAUCUAUCAAAUUUAAACUUUAUCCAUUUUUAUAUUUUACAAAAAUCUACCUACCAAUCAUAAAUAAAAUUAAUUUACAUAUUAAUCAUAAUUAACUAAAAAAUGCAAUAAUACAUUAGAACACUACCACUACAGGUUUUAACUAUGCCAAAUUAGUUUUAAAACUUUGAAAUAUAUGUAUAUACAUUAUAUGGUAAAGUAUUGAGGUAGAUUUGUUAGAAUAUUAAUAAAAUAAAGUAUCUAAGUUGAAAAGAAGGUGAAGGGGAGGAAGACAUGCAAGGUGAUUGGAUUACAAACUAAUUACAAACUAGAUUUGAGAAGAAUAGUUUGAAUUUUGGGUAGUAGAAAAGGGAGAAGGUAAGAAUGAAUGGUAGAAAUAAAUAUUUGGUUAAAGGAAACCCUAAUAUAAAUGUUUAUAAAAGAAUGAAUUGAAGGGGUCAUUGAUUGCAGUGAAAUGAAAGUAUUGAAAGUUCAAUAAUUUGGAGAGCCCCAUGGGACGUAUAAUCGGUUUGGGUAUUGACCGGAUACGACAUUACGAAAGCACUUUUAUUCAAAUGCUUUAACCAUGGUUAAUACUCCAAACUAACCAUAGUUAAGUACCCUUCCCGGUUCUAUCUAACCUCUAACCUCUAACCUCUAACCUCUAAGCUCCAAAGCUCUAAAGCUCCAUCACAUCGGCGGUUCCACACGAAAACAAAACUUAAAUAAUAAUAUAAAAGAAUAUUUUAUUUUAUUUUUGUUAGGAGAAUGAACGGACGUUAAAGAUUCCGUCAAAUUGGUUAACGCGGGGGGAUAAACGUAACGGUCGAUUGGAGAAGAGAGGAAGGAGCGGGACUCUCAGUGGACGGAAAAGCAGAUGAUGAAGCAGAGCCGGACGAUGGUUUGAUGGACGGUCAUAGAUGGAUAUUGCUGAACGGUUUAAGCGAUGUGGGACUUGGAAGAGCGUAUAAAAAUAGAGAGUUGAAAGGGUGAGAGGCCAUUUCGUUGUAUCAUUGAGGAAGGACCUCUCUGUACUACUUCUCUUUAAACUUCCCUUCUAACUCUUUCUCUCUCUCUCUCUUUCUCUUUCUCUUUCUCUUCUACAUAUUUAUAUUUCUUUCUCUUGAUGUCUCUGUAAUUAUUUCCUUCAUUUGAAGCUUUCAAAACCACCCAACAGCUUAAAAUUUUGAUAGUAUUACUGGGUUAAUCGAUCUAAGAUGGCUCGGGUCAUUGACGACUUUUAAGGCAUUGAAAUUGUUGUAAGAGAUGAGAUAAUCGACGGGGGGGAAUUUGAAUCUGGGGUCUGUUUUCUUGGCUGAUUCUGUAAUUGAUUUUUUUUUUUUUAAUAAAUUCGGAGUUGAAUUUUUGGAGAAGAGACUUUGAGUUUUGAAGGUUUGAUAAUUGAAAUCAAUUCACUGUUUAAGGUCUUUGUUGUUCUGGGUUUAGAUCUUAUCUUCUGAAAUUAGUUUCUAACUCUUGAAAUUUUCGUUGUGCAGAUAAAUACAGAGCGAUUUUAGUUGUUCGUUUGAGGGGUUUCUAAGAGAUUUGUUACCUUUUUUGAAAGUGGAAGAAGAAUUGGACUGAGAAAAAUGCAAGCGAUUAUCGGACUCUGGGAUUCGGAUUUACAUUUCGCUUGUUUUCUGCGGUGAAAUAAGCAGAUUUCUGUUCUUUGGAAGAGCUGAUUCUUGGGGGGGAGGGGGGCAAACCCAGAUCAGAAAUUUCAGGUACUGAUUGGUUAUCUUCUUGGUGUAUUUUGUAGGCUCUGUUCUUUCUGUUCUAAUUAUUUUCGUCCGAAAUUUCAGGUCUGAUUUUCUUCCUGUUCAUUGCUACCUUCAGCAUCCAAUAGCUAUCGCUUCCUCCUCUGUUCGAAUUCUUAGGGUCUGAUAAUAUGCUUUCAGAAUUUAAAAAUUCGAGUUGCUUCUUCCAUGGAAGGAUCUUCUAUCUCUCUGUGAGCCAUUGGGAAAUCUGGAUCCCCUGUUUCCAUGUGAAAUUCUUCUUGUUUCUUUGAGUUCCUCACAUUUUCAAGAUUUUCCCUCAAAUUUCCUCUUAAUUUCAGACCCAGCGUCUUCCCAAUACUUUUCUUCAGAAACCCAGACCAGUUCGGCUUUUCAAAUUUCGUGAAUUCCGUCUUCGGAUCAUCGAGAAAACCCCAUGUUCUGGUCUCUGACUGUUUGAUGUUCUCCUCGAGUAAAGUUUUUACAGUGUUGAUGGCGAAAACGUCAUAUUUCAGUGCUUGAAAUUUCUAAUCACCUUUGCUCUGUCCAUUUUUCUUCGUAACUUCGGGAUUUUCAUCCGAAUCCAAUUGACUGCAGAACCUGCUUUUUAUCCAUUUCCCCUUUCGUUUCUCUUUGCUACUUUAAUUGUAGAAUCUUCUGAGUAAUCUUUCUUCAGACUAACCCCCUUUUGAAAUGGGACAGGUAGUGUAUAUAUAAUUAAGCAUAUGGAGAAAGAAAAUCUCAGAAUCAAUAGCCAUGGCAAUUUCGUUAGUAAUAAUCUCAACGGGAGGGAUAGAACCAGCGUGGACAGCUCGCUGUUGUUGCGAGCGAGAUCCGAAGCCGCCGUUGUCGCCGUCGCAACGAGACCGCAGCCAACGCCGUCGGAAUUUGUGUUACAAUGGGGAAACCGGAAGCGUCUCCGGUGUAUGAAAGUUCCGGUUAAGGCCAAGGAUGUUUCCGCCGCAGCACCGGCUCACAGAACCACCGUCCGAGUGGACCGGCGAGUCGUUAGAGCCGAUAAAGACUCGAUUAUACAUAACCACCAACCAACUUCUAAUCAUAACCUUAAUCCGAGUAAUGGGUAUUUGAAUCUCCGUCAACGGCCGAUUUCUCCUCAACCGCCAGUUCUACCGCCGCCGCCAGCUCCAUCUCAGCGUAUUCUAAGGUACUCUCUGUUUCUCUCUCUUUUCUUCAACGCCAAUCUUUCGUAAUUUCUUUUUUAAUCUCUUUGAUCGUUCAAAUCUCAUCCGAUAUUUGAGAUUCCUUUUUCCCGGCUAUGGGAUUCAAAAUCCCGAUGUAUUCUUUUAAAUGGGCCUUUCUAUUUGGGCUUUUAUUUUAUUGGGCUUUUUAUUUGCUUGCUGUAACGCACUGCAUAUCUAAAUAUCUAAGAAACAUAUUAUCGCUAUUUAUAUACUCAUAUCAUAAUCAAUAUUUGACAACAUAGUCUAUGAUUAACACUUAUUGGCUACAUUAUUGUAAAAAAAAAUUCAAUAAUCUUUCUUUUUCAAACAAUAAAAAAAUAAUUGUAUAAAUGCAACUUGGUAUUGGAAUCUGAUGAAAUGAUGAACCAAACAUUGAAGGACGCAAUUUAGCCUCGUUGAUUAGGACACGUCUUCCAUUUCUUCCACGUGUCGUUUUCACUGUGGAAUAAUAGCCGUCGGAUCAUCAAUCGCAGUGACCACUGGUGUCCCCAGAGUGUCUCCAGAUCGGCUGCCCUGGAGCGGACACGUAAUCUCGAACUUGUAGAUCCAAAGGCUGAGGUUGGGGCGAGGUAGUCAUGAUUUGAAAAGACAGGUUUGUCCUUAAGAAAAAUCUAAGCCAUUGAAUGAAAGAAUAGAGACGAAGUCCCCCAUUUUGUACGCAAAUUCUAAGCCAGAUUUCCCCCAACGAACUCCAACAUCCUCCAAGGUCAUUCCCGUAAUUUCAGCCCACGAACGUAAAUAAAUUAAAUUUGCUUUUCUUCUUUUUUCCCUUUUUUUUUUUCUUCUUCUUUAAUGAGUAAUCUUUCAAUCUUUCGUGAGAUUUGUUCUUUAGGCCUUUUGUUUUGGUAAUCUAUGUGUGUAUGUCUUGUGGGGUUGGGAGUCUUUUUUUUAAAAAAAAGAACUUUUUGGUGAAACUAAGUAGUAAACAAACAGAGACUGAGUUUUUGUUUUUAAAAAAAUUUGAUUAGGAACUCUGAGAUUUCCGGUACGAUGAGAGCCCAAUCCAACGGCGGUGUCAGAGCAAUUACUUCUCCGGACAGGGCAGCGCCGGAGAAAAAACCACCACCGUCUCAUCACGACCACCACCAUAAAUCCGCCGCUACCUCAGACACAAAAAAAGGUGGGUCAUCUUCCGGCAGCGGAGAACCAACUGCACCGCCGCAAGCGCUGCCGGUUUGGCCACCGAAGUUCGUAAUAGCUUUAACGAACAAAGAGAAGGAAGAAGAUUUCAUGGCGAUCAAAGGGUCAAAACUGCCUCAGAGACCUAAAAAACGAGCAAAAAUUAUUCAACGCACCAUCAAUGUAAGCAAAACACCAAUCCCCCCGUCUUUACUUUUCCAGAUUCGUUCUCUACCUUUUCUUUUAUUGGUUUUAAUUACUUUUUCUUCCUUAGUUACGAACUGAUUCUCAUGCGCUAUAAUUAUUAAUUAUUAAUUAUUAAUUAUUAAUAUCAUUAUUACUUCUGCUUUAAUUAUUUAUUUGAACCCUAAUUUUCUUUUAAUUUUCACCGAAUAUUUAUUUCCUAGUAAUUAUUCAAUGAGAGCAUUAAUUGAAAAUAAAACGAAAAAGGGGGGUGUGGGGGUGAGAGAGAGAUAUUAAGGGGAGAGUUGUGGCAAUGGAAGGUUGAUGGAAUGCCACGUGGAGAGAUAUGGUUUGAGUGUUAUUUACCGGAAAUGAAGGCAUUGUGUGUGGGUGAAUGAAUGGUUUAACCAAUUACUAGUCGACAGAUAGACAAUCGCUGAGUUGUCCCAUCCUCGCCUUCAACAGUUGGGAGUCCUUUGGGUUUCUUUUUCUUUUAUCUAAAUAAUCAUGUUCACAUUCAACCUUACUUUUUGUAAUAAAUUCUUAAUUUCCCUCUUCCCUUUUACUUUUCUAUAAAUAAUAUUUGUAAAAGUAUAUUACAUUUUGUUCAGGAUUUAUUUAAUUUGUGUGUUGGUUUGGUGUUUGGUGUUUGGUGUUUGCUAUUUGGUGGUGGCAGCUGGUGAGUCCGGGGACGUGGCUAUGUGAUUUAACGUUGGAGAGAUACGAAGUAAGGGAGAAGAAAAUUUCUAAAAAGGUAUGUAUUUUUUUUCUUCUAUUUUUUGUGUUUAUUAAUUUGUGAAUUGUAAGAAUUGAUUCUUGUUAUUUGAAUGUGUUUGGGAUGCAGAGACCAAGAGGGCUUAAGGCAAUAGUGAACAUGGAGUCGGAGUCCGAGUGAGGAAAAGAGGAGAGUUUCUGAUCACAUACCAAAUUAAUUUAGAACCACUGUUUUGUUGUGAUUUUGUGGAGAGGAGGGGAAGAAGCUUUUAAUUAUGUGAAUUACAUAAAUAUAAAAUAUAUAUAUAUAUAUAUAAGUUGUAGAUUUUCUCUUGGCUAAUUGAUUUUAUUAGCAUAAUGAAAUUGUAAUUAUUCUAAUUUUUUAGUUCUAAGUUGAUCCUUUUGAUAACGGUUUUCAAGUAGAAAUUACCAAUUCUUAGAUUGAAAAUAGAAAUGAGGGUGGAAGCUACAUUUGUUUAUGGAUUAAAGAGCUUUUUCUUUUUUUCUUUUGUGUAAAGAUAUAUUGGCUUAUCAACUAACUUUUAGAAAAACAAAUCCUCCAAGAAUGAAAAAAACUCGGAUUAUCACUUUACUACAACUGCGUCAGUUGAUUCUCUAUCUUUUUUUUUUUCUUUCUCCUCAUCCUUCUUCACAUACUAAAUCAAAAGCCUAAUUUCCCGAAGUUCCCAACUUUAAUUUCCCACACUUUACACCCACCCCUUCCUCUCCUUCAAACUAUUUCUUUCUUCAACAUAUUUUUUCUUAAAAUUAACACAAAAAAAAAAAAAAGUUUCAUACAAUAACUUAUGAUAACAACUUACGUAAACAGUAGAAGGUAUUUCCUUUGGUUUGACAAAAUCAUAGAGAAUAAUGAAACUAUUAUUUUAUAAUGAAAUUCUUCAAAUGGUAGAGACUAAACUACAACUCUCUUUGAAUCAUAUUUAUUGUUAAUUAGCUAGUUUUAUGAUUUAUAAAUAUAUUACAAACACGUUAAACAAAUUUUAAAAUUAUAAUCUAAUUGAAUUUGUUUCCAAACACAUAUUUAAGAUAAAACAUAAAACAUGAAAUUAAGGAGAGGAAGAACUCUAUGUUACCAAAAUACUUUUCUUCUAACUUUUACAGAAAAAACAUUCUUAGAUUUAAACAUAAUUUUAAAUCUAUAAUGGCUGGAUUGCCAUGGUAUUAAAAAAUUAAAUGUAAAUCAUAAAAAGCUAAUAUUGCAAUAUUUAGAAUUGUAAAUUUCUUGAAACAAUCAAAUAAACUUCAUGUGAGUUCAAAAGGGUAUGCAAAAUAAAUUCUAUCGAGUAUAUAAAAUAAAAAGAAUGAAUAAAGAAAAGGAAAAAAGAACUCAAAAUGAAAAUAUAUUUGAGUUGAGCAUCACAAAGAUCACAAGUAGACUUUAUUAGUGGACAACAGAAAUCAACCAAUAUACCAUUUCAUUAAUAUAAAUAAUUCUCUAUAUGCUUUGGAUUCGUCCUUCUUAGAGAAGAAAAAAGAAAAGCAAAAAAGGCAACCAUGUUCUUGUCAUCAAUUCUCUAGCUGUAAAAAUUGCCAACCAUAAAAUUAUUGGCACCUUUCCCUUUCGGGUUUUCAUUAUUCAUUGCACAUGCCUCGCUGCCCCACAAAUUCUACUUCAAUUGGACUUCUGUUGGUCCAGAUUUCAAAUUAUUAAAUAUGCCUUACAAAUCUUGGAAUUCCACAAUUUAAUAAUCCUCAACUUAAUUCGGUAGUACACAAAAUGAUUUCUGAUGGGGUUUUUUUUUUCUCUCUCUCUCUCUCUCUUCAAGAAGAAAUUAAUCAAUCAAUUACAGUGAGAAUUACCAAAUUGUUUUGGCUAAGCGAAGAAUCUCAAAGAAAUUGUUGCAGUUAGAUAUAAUAAGCGAGUGUGUUCGUAUGAAUGAAUGCAUGAAAGAGUAAAGAAGAAGAGAGUAUUUAAAAAGAACGAAACAAUUUAUUUACUAAUCAUAACCAACAAAAUAUAGCACAAUCGUGAACAAACCAACACAACCUGCAUUCUAUAUAUAAGAAUGUGUAAACAAAAGAGGUCGUCUGUACCAAACGUGUAGAAAUUAAAGUCCCUUAGAAAAACAUCUAAAACAAAUUCCUCCGCGGCGCAAGGUUUUAGUUGAAGAGAGAAAAGAAAAAGAAAAAGGAAAAGCAGACCAUCACAAAUACAUGGAAGAGUCCAUGGCAAAAUCAAUCACCACAUCCGAAGGCCGGUAGCUCAGAUCCUGAGAGUAGAUCCGAAGGCGAGAGCAAGGAAAGCAGCAAGGCAAGCGGAGACGGCCGAAGGAGCAAUGGAGGUGGCAGGGGAGGCCGGACUGGGAGCCGGAGCCUCCUGAGCGGCGACGGAGGAAAGGGCGAAGAUGAGGGCAAUGAGAGCGAGGAGAGAAACUUUGGAGAGGGCGGCCAUUGGGUAAAAGAGGUAAUGGGGGCGGGGGGUUAGGGUUGAGGCGGGAGAGAGGAGAGAGGAGAGAACCGUUUGAUUGGGAAAUGAGAAAGGGAAAUAGUAGAAGGAGAGAUAUAUAGAGAGAAACGGGGAGGUGCAAGCUGGCGAAUGGUUGAAAGACAGCUCAUAUAUGGGUGUGGUUCCCUUUUCCACAAAGAGCAUCGACGGGGAAUAUAUGCAUUCUCUUUCCACCGCACAACAUUUUAGCCAUCAACAACUACACAACAAAUAUAAAGUAAUUUUUUGUUUUUAAAUUCCAUUUUACACCUUUUUUUUUUCUUUCUUUUUCAACGGAUUUAUUCCAUUCAUGCUUUUUUUUUUUUCUUUUCAAUUUUAAACUUUAACGUUUGCUGUAUGGUUAUAUAUAUUAUCACUAUUAUUUUGUUUUUCUUUUUUAAGCUUUUGAAAAGUAGAAAAAAAAUUAAUACGUUAUAAAUUUGAAAAGCAGUAAGUUUAAAAGUAAUAAUCAUCUAAUAACCUUUAGAUAAUCGUUUCAUAUUAUUAAUUAUUUGUCAUAGUUGUCAUAUUCGAAAUAUGUAUAAAAAAAAAAGGUGUGAACUGUUUUAUUAAGUUAGUACGAUAUUUAUCAGCUUCAUUAAGAUAUUUAUACUUACUAAUAUUACGUUGCAAACUAUAGGUUUGGAAGGUCUUUGGAUGAUUUUCAUCCAUCCUAAGUUUAUUAGAUUUUUUAUCAGUAACAUCGAUCUCAUCUAUUCAACAACUUUUAUGGUACAUGUACUUGUUGGGAUGAGAUUAAAAUAUCAAUUUUAAAUUAUUUAUUGACGUUUUAUCUACAAAUUUACACUUGAGAGGAGUAGUUCAUCUAUCUUAUAUGGAGUAUGAGUCACAUUGUUUUUUCCAAUGUGAGACUCUCAUCUUCUCCAACAUGUCCCUCAAGACAGUGUCUGUUUGAGUUAACUUAUAUUGGAUCAAAUACUCAUUUGGAGAAAAUAGAGAAUCGGUUUCUUACAAAUACUCUUGUCUUCACUCUUUAUUUUGGUAUUAGAGCUUGAAAAAUGGCCAACGCCUUUUAUGCCUCAUCCUCGUCGAUGAUUUCAAACUUUAGCAAUCCUCCCCUAAAUCAACUACUAAACCAACAUGUUCCCUCAGGAUGAUGCUUAUUUGGGUUCACCUAUCUUUAACAUAAGGUGACUAUAUGUUUAGAAUCACAUUUUCCAUGAAUUGAAUAGUAAUUGAAUAGUAAUGACUCAUGAUCAUAUAUUUUUUUAAUAUAUAUGGGCACUAAUCAAACAUUUUAGUUCAACAAACGUUUUUUUCAAAACAAUAAUAAUAAACAAUGGACAUUAAUUUUAAAAUUAGAAUAAUGAUAUUAAAUAUCUCUUUACUUCUCAGCUUUUAUAUAAGGUCCAAAUUCAAAGGAUGCUAUUAAAGUUUCAAACAAAAUACUUUUCUUUUUGAGAGAGAUAUUCUUUCUCUUUAAAAUAAAGAUGAGACAAUGGAUGUGAUAGAUUAUGUAUAGAAAUAAAAAUACAUAAACAAAAUUAUUUACAACUAUAAAUAAAAUUAAGAAAGUUAUUAGCAUUAAUCUCAUCGAAUUAAUUUAGCUAACCAAAAAGAAGCAAAACAGCGUCGUUUGGUUCAUAACGUUAAUGAGUCCGUUGUAAAAGUGGAAGAUUCUAUUUGGUUUAGGGUUAGUGGAAACCAUGGGGGAAAUAAUAUUGAAUUCAUCCAGAUGCGACAAUGGCGCGUGUUAUGUACGAUAAGCAUCGAAGGGAUGUGAGAAGAUGGGGACGGUGGAAAAUUAGAGCGUGGAGUGAAGAAAACCCAAAAAGGGAAAGAAGGAAAAGUAAAAAUGAUGGGGGGUGGGGCCGACAAGCCAAUAAUGGGAAAAAUAGUUGUUGUGAACGUGGGGCCCAGGAUAGAGUGACCGCGCUGUGUUGUUAGGAAAUGACAGGUAAGAGUGAUUGGCCACUGGCUUCUUUUUAAUAUGGUUCCAGAAACUUCUUUUUAUGCACGCCAAUAUCGUCCUUUCCACACAAACUCUCUUUUAAUAAGUAAUAACCACUUUUUUUUUUUUUCUUUCUUCUUUUUUAUCAUGUAAAUGCUAUUAUUGUUCGACUAUAUCAGCUUGUUUGUAAACCUAUCAAUUUACAAUUGAUAAAAAAAAAAAAAAAAGAUAAUGAAGAGUCCAAGUUAUGUUAAUAAUCUUCAGUUAGUUCAAUAGUAUCUAGGGUGGUAAAGAUUUAAAAUCGAGUUCAACACCAACAAAGUGAACCAAUUAAGGGCAUUUUUGGCAUUGUAAUUAAAUCUCGAAUGAGAUUCUGUAUAAUCUAAUGAUGCAAAUUUAAGUAGUGUUCGGGUGAAGGAGCGAGAAGUAUUGAGUAAGGAAUGAAACAGUAAAAAAAGAGAGAAAUGGAGGAUUAUGGAAAACAUGUCCUUGGUCAAACGAGCGGUGAAGUUUGGACUAUUUAUCUUUUUGGAAUUUCGAGAACUAUAUAUAUAAAUAUAUUCAACUAGUUUUGAGCAAUACAUAGGUUGAAAAAAAAGAAAGAAAGAGAGAGAGAGAGAGAGAGAGAGAGAGAGGUACUGGGAAGAAAAGGAAACAAAUAAAGACCGUUCAUGCCAACUCCUCAAACUUCAUUCUUAUUUAAAAAGAAAAAGAGAACAGAUAGAUGAGGGGCAUUCAAAUAUGAUCAUUUUCUUUUACAGUGGGAGAUAUAAUAAUUUGCAUAUAAUUAUCUCCUACUUUAAUAACUCAAAUUUGGCUUCUAGACUGGAAAUCAUGACAGGGCAUUCUCCCUUCUCAUCAUACUCUGCAUACUCACCUCCAUUUAAGUCAAUAUCCUCAAAUUUAGUCCCCUCUAUCUGCAAACAAAACAAGGCAACUCAACUUUAGGAAUAAAUCUGUAACAAUAUAUAGCCAAACAAUAUUCUUCAGAAUUCGUAAGUUAAAGCUAAACUAUAUGCCAGCAUGAUUAAAAUAAAAGAGCAAGUAUCUAUGCCAUAUUCUUAAUUUUUUUAUCUAGUUGUUAACCUUGCGUGCCUAUAUUUCGAAAAAUAUUAAUCUUCAAGGACAGAGAGAGAGAAGGGAAAAAAAAUUCUAGUCUCAUGCCAAAACGUUGUGAAUCUGCAUGAUCAACAAGUUAUAUAUGUUUGAUUUUGAAAAAAAUGAAGUUAUACAUGAUCGUGGAAUUCAAAAACAGGUAGGCCGUGUUAAAUACUUCAUGUUCAUUAUUAAUUGGAAGACUUACAGAUUCUACUUUCCAUCCAGGUCCAAAUAUAAAGCCCAUAGGAUCAUAACCUCUGCAGUCAAAUAACAUCAACGGAGAGAAACCCCCUGAUUCACUUAUUUCCUGAGUCAAUGGUUUACCUCGCCCCGGAAUCAUUGUGAUAGUUCCUUCCCUCCCACAGAACUUGCACUAUAAGAUAAAGAGCAUUAACAUUGUAGUUGAGUUCGGAGGAAAUCUUUAAGUGCAAAUGGAAACUAUUGAACCUACUAUUUGAAAUAAAGCAUAAUCUGAUACAAGACAAUCAUCUUGGACAACUAAUCAAAUUUAAUUUUCUAGCCAUUUCCUUAAAAUUGCCACAAGUUCUUAAUUUCAGAACUAAAUUUCACACCAAACACGAAAUGCUGAAAAAUGUUAUAACUUCAUGGUCAAAUGAUAUUGGAAAACAUUAGUUUUCAGAAAACAUAUCACCAUUUUCGAUUUCCACAUCACUUAAGAACUGAUAUCUUAAUGUCAGUUUGACUAUUGACCCAAGUUUUCAAAUACAACAGCAGUGGCAUACUGCAUUAUUUUAUUUUUCUAAAAAUGUACACCAAUAAUCAAAUUAAAAUAAGGAAUGGAUGAAGCUUAAGUAAGAAACAAAUGCUAAAUUAAGUAUUAGUCUGUUUUCUUUUGUCCACCUGUAAUUGCCAGGCUAGGACUAACUUGUGCACAUCUCCGCCUAUUUUCAUGAGACCAACUAGAGCUCGUUCUCUCCAAGCCUUUUAUUAUUCACAUGGACCUCACUAAACACUAGGUCAACCGUGGUGGUGAACUAAGAAUUAGUGAUCUUGGGUGUCAAUUUUUUCUUUUUUUCUGUUCAAUAAGUGUGGGUGAAGGACUUGAACCUCUGAAAUCUUGGUCGAGAGCAUAUGUCUUAACUAGUUGAAGUACACUCAAGCCAACCGUGAGCGUUAAAAAGUUAAGAAUACCAGUGACUGGAUCCUACUAGUACCAUUGCUUUGAAAAUUGAUUGAAAUGAAGGGCCACCACAAUCUGACAAGAACUUUAUAUUAUUGUAUAACUUUAAAGUGGAAUUACAAAAAUCAAAAUCUACUUCUAAUGGUUACUAGAGGACAACCACUCAGUCUCAUACACACACUUCUUUAAAUGUAUAGAAGCCAGAACUUUCCUACUAUUUCCCUUCAUUUUCUCAUCAACCUGGAACGACCAUCUUUAUGUCAAUAACUGAUCUACAUACUUUCCAGAAUAUGAGCAUCUUUAAAAGAGAAUUACCUUUUGAACGAGAUUAGUAGUCCCUUUACCCGCUUGGAGAGGAAUAGUUUCACCCAAGGUCACACACGUUUCUUUCUGGCUCACCUCCCCGCAUCUCCCGCAUUUCACCUUCAAACGGAAGAUAGCACACAAAUAAUACAAACAAACAAGCUCAAUUAACACAAUCAAGGAGGAAAAUACGGUAAAAACCAACCAAUAGCAGCUAGAAAGAGAAGGAAUCCAAGAAUCAUCACCAAACAUGAUGUCCUCGGAUCAAUUCCAGGGAUAAAAAUCCGAAAACGACAAUAUAACAUUUCAAGUCAAGAGGAGGAUGAUAAAGUGGAACAUGCAGACAUAUCAAAUUCACUUCGAAUUCGACAAGUACUAGUGAAUAAGUUAGAAAUUGAAAAAAGGAUUGAAGAAAUGUAAUGGAAAAGAAGGCAGGACGUUGGAAGAGAUUAAUGAAACAAACUCAAGAAAAUUGAAUGAUAUUAAGAGCCAAGAGGAUUACUUUGAAAAGGUAAGGGAAGUUGGGGUCGUCGCAACCAUCUUGAGGCUGAAGAUUCGUGAGGUUCUCGAGCUCCGCUUUGAUCUUAAGCAAGAAGUUCACCAUUUUUUUUUUAGCGGUUUUGCAUAAUCACACUUCCCGUGCGUGGAAUUUUCGAUUUUAGUCUUUGGGAAGACGGACUAUGGGCUCGGGUCUUCUUUCUAAAACGGAUGACCCGAAAGGAGUUUUCCUAAAUGAUUUUCUUUUUCUUUUUUAAAUACAAAUCUAAAAUAUCUGAUUUGCUAUUCUAGUGUUGAUUUUUGUAACCUUUUUUAUUAUCAUUUUUGCUAUAGAUUUUGGAAACAUUCUUUUUUUUUAAAAAAAAACUUAUUGUUAUUAUUUGAUUAAUUUUUAUUGAAGUUCAAAAUUGAGAAAAGAAUUUCCAUGGUUCAAAAAAAAUUUGAACAGUAGGAGAAAUGUGUUUAUAUAUUCGAGAGGGUAGGAUAUAAAAUUAGACCUUUAAAAAUGCAAAACUAAAAUGGUAUAAACACCCAAAACUCCAGGAAUUUGAAUGUUUAAGUUAAGUUCAAGUUGAUUUUUUGACCUCAAAUUAAUUUUAAAUAAUUAUAUUUGUGUAGAUUAAAUUCUUUUACUAAAUUUCUUAAAACAAUUAUUUAAGAUAAAGUUUCUCUCUAAUCAAACAAGAUUAAAAAAUUUGAAAUAAAAAUUGGUUACUUACGUUUUGUAUUUUGUUUUAUUUUGAUUUCAAUUUCUUUAAAAAUGUAAAAUGUCCUGUUUAGUCUCUAAAAUUGAAGAUGACGUAAGUCUAUAUUUGAAUGGUUAGAUUAUUUAGAUAUUAAAUUACGUUGAUAAAUAACUAAAAAAAUAUUCUUAAUUUAUUAUAUAAUUCUUUUAUGUCGAUGAAAAACAUAAUCAACACAAUAAGCUCAAAUUAAAAUCUAAUUUUGAUCUUAUUUCCUCCCAUUUAAAAUCUCUCACGUCGCUCCAACUUGUUUGUUUCAAAAAUUGACAUUGAAUAAAAUAAAAAAAUAAAUCGAUAACAUCCAUGAUAAAAUAAAGUCAAUAGAAAAUUAAAACUCUACAAAAUUGUAAACAAAUAUUUACACGCUCAAUCACACAAUCCAGAAAGAAAAGGAAAUAACUGGGAAUUGCAAUUACCAUAUUCAGUAAUAUGAUUAACAAAAUAUUUAAUUGAAAAUUAAAACCCCAAAUUAUUUAGGAUUUAUAUUAUUUGACAACUUAAUCAUUAGUAUACAAAAUUUGAACAAAAUAGUAUUUAAACCUAUAAUAUGUUUUCAAAUAAUAUUAAGCAAUCCUCCCUAGCUCGUACAAUUGAUGGAAUGGGCAUCGUCAUCGCCAGUACAAGUGAGAGUGAUAGGAAUUAACAUGAGAAUUGCCCACUUCAAUCGGAGCUUCCUUAGUCUCCGCGGGCGCUGCCAAUUUCUUCACCGGAAUCUCCUUCCCGACAUCUGAGACUGGGGAUGAGGAGAGGCAAGAAGGGAACAAACGGAAAAUUAGAGAGAAGAGACUCAUUUCAAUAGAUGCCCUAACAACUUUUGUCCUACUCGAGAAUGAGAUAGUACACUAUGUUGAUGUUUCUGUGGAAAUUGAUUAUGAAUAACGUGAAAUUAUUUAUAGAGUGUAGAAGAUGAAAGAAUGAGAAGAUCCAAUUGCUUGCUGUACAAGGACCUGCCGUGGAUCCCAAGCACCUACACCACCCACCCAUGGCGGCUUUUGCAAAAUCAACGUGGGGAGUAACUAUCAUUUGUUUAUUUAGGGUUGAAUUAUAUAUAUAUACAUAUAAUACCCAUUUCAUUUGUAUAUCCAAAAGUUGUACUCAUUUUCUUCCCUAACUUUUAUAAAACUUUAAAAAACAUCCAUACACUAAAAACAAAACUUUUUUUUCAAAUAAGGUAAAUAGAGAAAGUAAUAACAAAAAUAAGGUUCGAAACAAAUUAUUGACAAAAAUAUGAAAACAUGAGUCCACAUAUAUAUGAAAAAGAAUGUGAGACCCACAAUUAAUAUAAAUAUUGAAUAAAAUAAGAAAGUGUAGAACUGACAUGUAAUAUAUAUAUAAAUAAUUAAAAGCCCAAAACUACUUUACUUUUGUAGAUGAUUUUUUCAUUUACCUAACUUUGAGAAAAAGUGAGUAAAAACUCUUUAGAAUUUAAUAGAAAAUUCAGAUAUCAAAAUGACAUAUAACACUUUUUUGUUUGUGGUUAUCACUACACCCUUUUAAAUUCCAAUUUCCAUUGAACUUUUAGCAUAGUUAAAAUGUGAGGUAAUAUUACCAUUUUUUAAAAUAUGAAAGGUAUUUUAUUCGUUAGUAUUUAUUUGGGAGCCUUCUUAAAAGUAGCAAAAUAAAUUAAAAUCUUUAUCAAUUAUAGUAAAUUUUUGAGUUCUAACUAUGAUAGAAAGUGAUGGUCUACCAAUGUCUAUUAUUGAUUGAAUAUGAAAUUUUGUUAUAUGUUGUAAAUAUUUUGUCAAAUUUGCUAUUUUUUAGAAGGGUAAUUGUAAUUGAUGAUCAUUUGAGGAAUAAUAAUUAAGGAUAUAGCAAUAUUUAAAAAAAAUUGCAAAUAUAACAAAAUCAUCGCGGAUAAACUUGUAUCACCGAUAGACUCGUAUGAUCUAUCGGUGAUAGACCAAUUUUUACAACAUGAUCUAUCAGUGAUAGACUCUAUCAUUAAUAGAAUUUGACAAACUUUGCUAUAUUUGCAAUUUUUUUAAAAUAUUGCUAUAUAUUUAAUUAUUUUAAAUUUAAUUGCUAAAUAUGCAACUAUCCCCUCUUAGAAUUAUCGGUUUAUCUAUUUAUUAGUAUUUAAUUUAAAAAGAAAUGAAAAGGUUGAUUUAAUUCUUAGUUUAGUAACCAUUAGAAUUGGUCCUCAGUAAUUUUCAAGUUUUAUUUUUGUGUUCAAAAGUUAACUAAAAAAAUGAUUGGUUUUUCUCUUUUAGCUUAGCUUGGGAUAAAGAAAGGUGAAAUAGUGAGAAAAAAAAAUCAAACAGACAUAAAUUUUCUCUAAUUUUGACUUUAAAAAAUAAAUUUUAGUCCCAAUCUUAAAAAAAAAUGUUAGUCAUUAGGUUUUGUUGGUAUCAUUUCAUUUUCAACCACAAAAUUGUAUAGGUAAAAUUAAAAAGAGAGAAAAAAAAAAGUAAAAUGUGCUACACGAAUGAGAAUUUUCUCACUAUAUUGUAAAAAUUAUUUAGUCAUUAAUUAAAAAUGAUCAUAGAAAGAUAAAUUAAUCAAUAGAAGUUGACAUAAAUGAAAAAAUAUACUUUAGUCUCUAAAUUUUAGAAUAAUAACUAUUUUAAUCAUUAUCAUUAAUUAAACAUUUAAAAUGAUGGAAACUUUAAAUAUUGACAGAAAAUAAUAAUAAAAAGUACUAUUAUAUUUAAGGAGUAAAUUAUAUGGAUUAUUGUUUUUGAAAAACAAAAUUGUAUUAGGUAACAAAUUAAGCAUAUGAUUGCUUAUAACUUAGGAAUAAACAUUCUAAAACGUUAGGUGUUGAUUGAAGUUCUAACUUGUAACUAUUUAAGUUGAUUUGAAAAGUAUAUGACAAGAAGUGGUUUGAGAGAUUCUAUUUAAGAAAGUAAUGAAAUUUAAUGGGAAAUGGAUGAUCAGAAGUUAAGUCAUGCAAAAUAUGUAAUUUAGGCAGAGAUGUCAUGCUAAUAACAUACAAAACAGAAGAUGCAUCUUCCAUUGCUAUUUAGAAUUUCCAAACUACUUUGGUAAUGAUGUUAUGUUUGAAUGAUUUCUAAGCGAAAGUCUACAAGAUUUCCAUUUUGCCCUCCAUUCCAUUUACCCUCUGUACUCAAUCUGCCUGUUUUUAGUGUGAUUUUUAGGAUAUAAAUCAGUUUUGGAUGUUUUAUUACAUGAAGAAUUAUGUUGUGUUGCACCAAAUUAUCUCUGAUCCAAUGACUCUUAAGCAAUUCAAAAAGCAUAGCUUUUAGCCAUUGGUGUUUGUGAUUUAAAGGCAUCAAGAGAAACUCAGAGUUUGAUUUGGUGAGAGGUUUUCGAUGGGGAAGAAUGUCAUUUGUAAUGGUUUGAUGUUCAAAAUGUUGGUUGGGAUAUUGACAGUCAUAGUUUGUGGAGUUGUGGAGGUUGGUUCACUUUCUAAACUUAAGACUAAGAAAAUGAGCUCUCUUAGGAAGCAAGCAACUAAAAGCAUUCAGGUACCAAUCUCAGUUUCUUAUUCUUCUUCUCAUUUUGCUCAUUCAGUAUUUUCAUGAUUCUCUAACUUGACUCCCUUUUCACCUAAAGAAAUGAAUAGAGUUACUACAACCACGAGUAGACGAAAGACUAGUUUAUUGUUAGAAAAGAAGAGUUUAUAUAGUACACUCCUACGAACCUUAGAGCCAAAAUUAUAGAUAGCAUAACCAAGUACUCAUGCCUCUUCGGCUGCAUUUUUCUUUAUGUUGCUUGUAGAGCGAAGAUGGCGACAUUAUUGAUUGUGUUAGCAUCUACGACCAGCCAGCUUUUGAUCAUCCUGCUCUCAGAAAUCACACCAUCCAGGUCUGUUUUUUUUCUCUCUAGUUAUCAAUUAGAGUACUGAAAUUUGGUUUACAAGUUGAAGAAGAGGGAGAUUUUUAUGCUAUUUUAAGCCAUUCACCAUUGGUUUGGCAUAGAUGGCACCUACUUAUGAUCCCACCAUGGAUAAGCAUUCAAAGAAAGCAACAGCAGAAGAGGAAGGGAUGGGGGAAAAGAGUUCAAUGGGUGUGAAACAACCAUGGAGGAAAAGUGGCAGUUGUCCUAAAGAAACAAUACCGAUUCGAAGGAUCCGAAAACAUGUCCAACUUAAAGCUAAUUCAGUAUAUAGCUAUGGAAAAAAGAGACCGACGCCUUUGCUCGAAAUUGCUCAGCUUUCCAACAGCCGAAGUUCGCAUUUUCUAUUAAAGAAUCAUUCGGUUUGACCAACAAACAUUUCUUUUUUCCUUUGAUGAAUUCCAUGUUUGUCUUUCUCAAUCUUACCAUCUACUUGACAAUGGUGCAAAACAGAAGGCAAUUCUGCUUGCUGUUGGAGACAACUUCAACGGAGCCAAGGGAGACAUUAAAGUAUGUAACCCCAACGUCGAAUUUGAUGAUGAAUACAGUACUUCCCAAGUGGCUCUAUUAACCGGCCCUUACUAUAACUACGAGGCCAUCGAAUCCGGAUGGGCAGUAAGCACCACUUUAUACUCAACAACAUAUUUGUCUCUCAUUUCAAUUUGCGCUGGUUUUAACAUGUUUGUAUGGUGAUAUCUUAAACCUUCCAGGUAAAUCCAGGUGUUUACGGGGAUCGACAGACUCGACUGUUCGUGUAUUGGACUGUAAGUUAAUGCAAACAACAGACUGUCUCCUUCCCUUGAAUGUCAUCAGAUAGACAGGAAUGUUAAUUAUCUCUAAACAGAACUAACUUAAAAUUGUUUUCUUUCGGUGUUAUUAGGUUGAUGCUUCCCAUAAAACAGGUUGCUUUGAUCUAACUUGCCCUGGUUUUGUUCAAACAAGUAAUGAAAUUGCUCUUGGUUCUGCUAUUUAUCCAAUCUCAACUUCAACUGAUCUUCCAUUUGAAAUAACUAUGUUCCUUUUUAGAGUAAGAAAUGAUUUGGUUUCCUUUUCAAAUCCAUUUAUAUGCUUCUUUUCAUAUAUUAUCAUCUUCUCCAUUCUAUCUUCCCUCUUCCUCUUUCCUUUCAGGAUUUCGAGACCAAUAAUUGGUGGGUACAAUAUGGUGAAAGCAUUAACAUAGGUUAUUGGCCUUCUGAGUUAUUCAAAGCUCUAAAAUAUACUGCAGAAACAGUACAAUGGGGAGGGGAAGUUUACAGCACAAAGUUGGGAGGACCUCCUCAUACUGGAACAGGUAUGGGCAAUGGAAAGUUUCCUGACUACAUUUCUGGUGAUUCGGGUUGGGUAAAACGAAUAAGAGUUCGAGACAACUCGAUGAUUUUGAAGUUUCCUAAUUUUGUUGAACACUACUCCGAUGAAUAUGAUUGUUACGAUGUCGAUUUUAUCCGAGAAUAUUUAGACGAUCCUGAGCUAUACUAUGGAGGACCUGGUAAGAAUUGGAGGUGUCCUUGAAGGGGACUUUUACAAAAAUAGGAUAUCCAUCAAGUACAUUAGGAUCCCUUCAUGUAAUGAAUAAUAUAGUACGGUAAAGAUGAAAGUUCUUUCUUUUGUUUCAAAUUCUUACUUGCAACUUGCAACAGUGUUGCCUUCCUUCCUAGCCAACUUUUCCAGCAUCUAGAAAUAAAGAACCUUAUAAAUUGAUACAUGCCCGAUUCUCUAAGACAUAAGACCAAAACAAAUAGGAUUAGGAUUUAUUCAUAUUUCAAAGUGUUCGAGUAUAAAUCAUGUUAAAUCAUUGAUUUAUAAAAAAAGAAAUCAAGUGUAUUAUAUCAUCUGACACGCUUCUCACGCGUGGACUUAAAAUAUGGAACACUCAACAAGUAAAAAGCGAGUUUAAAUACAAGAUUUCUUAGACCAUCUGCUCUGUAUAUUUAAUGUUAUAUCAUCCGCAAAUGUAAAAAUUAGAUAAAUUAAUAUUUGAAUCGUUAUCCUCAAUUAUUUAGUGAUAAUUAGUAUCAUGUUAAUCAACUCAUCCAAGUAUCAAACAAGCAUGAAAUGGACAUUUAGGAGGAAAACUCCCAAACAAUUCGCCUAAGCAUUACAUCAAAAAUUUCUUUCAAGGUCUAAGUUGAAGUCCAAAUUCCCAUGACAGCACUGAAAACUGGGUUUGAAGUCUCAAUUUAGAAUAGAACUCGUCGUGCAUGUGACAGACAGAUGUGGUUAUUUCCUUAAAAGAGCAAAAUCCAGAUGCCAAAAGUGUAUAUAGCACACUGUGAUAACUCACUCAUAUUCCCAUGGCAUUGACAUGUAAAUCUCCAGAAAUGUAUUUACAUAUGAAUAUAAACUGUUCUGAGGUAGGGGAACAAGGGGGAGAAGGUAAACAAAACAUUAUACUCCAAAAGCAGUGUGUAAAAUAAACUAAUAAACAACAUAGUGAGACAAUUCAAAGAUAAUUGAGGUAAUGGAGAAAGGAAAAGGGGAGAAGGAACUUGCUAAAUUGAGUCAUACUGUUUUCUCUCAUUUUGAAUAGAUUGGAAAAUUCGAGCAGCUGAUUCGUUUGCAGAUCUUCUAUUGUGUGGGACAACUCGAAUUACACGUGUUUGGUCGGAGUCUGAAGGUUGAGGACCUUCCUCUACAAGCGGCUGAGCUACAGGGAAAAGUGAAAGUACAUUGUGGCUUUCAGCAGUUCGAUUGACCUUAUUUCCUUGCACUUUGCUAGUAGGACUACAGACAGGACUGCUUGCAGUACUUACUUGUACUUCACUCCUUUUAGGUGCUUGAGACUUGGCAGUUCGUGAAACAGUUUGAUUUUCAUCUCUAUCUCUCUGUGUUGAAACAUCAUAUGAAGUUUGAUGCUGUAUAUUGGAAGCGGCCACACCUCCUGAUAAUUGAUUCGGAUCUCCUGUGUACCAGUUAACUUGAUCGACAGCAAAACCUGACAUACCCGGGUUCAUGACUGGCAUGCCAUAAGGGGGGAAGAAGGAACCACCAACCAUGGGAGUGGUAGGAAGGGCUCCAAUCCCUUGAUGAACAGAAGCUGGAAAUCCAUAGGAUGGGUUCAUCAUUGGAGCCAUUGGACCAUAAGGUCCACAUCCUCCAUAAAUAAAUCCAGGCCCAGGGUAAGGCUUAUAGAUGAGUCCUUCAGAAGGAGACAUUACAGGGACCAGCCAGUGAUGUGCUGAUGUCUGGUACCAACUGCUUAAUUUAUUAUCAGAAGAAACAGAAGUUGGUUGUGGAUUUACUGAAUAAGGCCCAUUAGUUGAAGGCUGGCAAUUAAUUGGCUCAAGAGGAAGAGAUGUCUUCCCAACAGCAUUUUCUGCUGAACAUUCCACAUUGUGUUUUGGCUUCUUAGGGUCAUCACUGGGCUGAAGUUGCACAUGUGAUUUGACAGUGUAGUCUGACCUAAGUUUCUUUGCAGGAAGAGGGCUUGGAGAAGAAUUGUCCAGAAAGACACCAUCUUCAAGUAAUAGAUGAGGUGAUCCAGCAAUUAACCGUUGGACCUGUUUGCGUCAUAGAGAGAGAGGUAAAUCAAUAAUGCGAACCUCAGGGCACAAACGCUCUGCUAUCUGAAGAAACUAGAUCAGUUUACCUUGAUAAGUCUAUGCAACUCGAAUACUUGGACCUCAAACACUCUCUGUUGACUGCAGAGUAAUAAAAGUUCAAAGAGUAAAUCACCCAACAUCAUAAGUGAAAUCAAACGCCACAUCUUGAAGUUGAUAACAACAAUUAAUUCAUAGCAUUGAAAUAGAAUCAGCUCAUAAACAUAUUGUUAAAGUAGUUGCCUGCACGUCACAAACGCUUAGCACCGAACUGACGCUUUGCAAAAUAGCUCAACUAGCCUAAUUGUGGAAAACAUAACAAUCUUGCUGCAUACAGUUAUUAUCUACAAGACCUGAACUGAUUUCAAAAUUCUAUGUAGCCUAUUCAACCACAAGAUUCUCUAACCUCCCAAAGUCAUCACAACCUUAAAAUUCCCUCUAAUUAAAUUUGCUGCCAUCACAGCCAUGAUGCUCUCUAUAAAUGAAGGCAACCAUACCUAGGAGGAGUAUAUGACAUCUACGUACAAUGCUUUUUAAUGUGCAAGUAUCGAAUCACUUUCUUCAGGGAUCUAGUUAAUGUUUAGUACAAAUGUGAAAUGCUUAAAGGAAUCAAACGCUCAUGAAUAAUAAAAGAUAAAGAUAAAUAUAAAAUAUCCUCAUUCCCAAUUCUUCCAAUGGUAGACAUGCUCCAAAACUGCCCUAAUGCAUCACCAAAAAAAAAAAAAAAAAAAAAAAAAAAAAAACUCAACACGUGAUCAAUGAACAGAAAAAUCAGAGUUCUCAAACAGUCAACUAGGACUUCAUGAAUUAACCCCAUCAGCAAGCAAAUCAAUAAAAUGGAGACGUGAUGCCCAGAAUAAAUGUGAUAUUCAUUGGUAAAACAGAGUCCUUUUCUUUUUUCCCCUUGAUUGAAAAGCAUGGUAAUAACAAGAAAAGUUAGCAAAUAUACUCUUCUUAAGUGGUGCACUCAGUUGUAGAAGGGAAAGAUCUAAAAAGAACACUAAUUUCAUCCAUAAAAUCGAUUCUACUAAAUCUAAAGAAGUUCUGUACUGUCAAAAUAUCCUCCAACGAAUGCUCCUGAAAUCCUUUGGAUGCUCCAUUUCUGCUCUCAUCCCCCAAGUGCCAUCAAAGGAAACUUUCCACGUGAUUACAGAAAAAAGGAGACUGAGCAGUACCCAACCGAGACAGUCAUACAUUUACACGAAGCAGAAUCCAAUGGACAAUGAAUGAUCAGAUAAUCAGUUGUCUCGGAGGUUGCCCAGCACAAAGUAACUGUAUGCACAUUGCAUAGUCCCUGCUAAAAGACGAUCCAGUAGCCAUGUCAAAAUAUUAUUGAAGGCCAAAGAUUCACUUAAAAGGGAACCUGAGAUUAUGAGUUCUUACCUUUACUAGGGCAUAAAGUGAUUCGUCAUUCAAAUAUAUCUACUUCUAUACUUCCAACUUUAGUACUUGAGCACUUAAUUAAAUGAAAGAACGAUGUGAGCACAAAAAAUCACAAGCAAUUAGACAGAAAUGAAAUAGUUCAUUGAAAGGAAGUGCUGGUACUUGAAAUCCAUAUCAACAUCUAAAUUCUCCACAGAUUCAAAUAAUUUUCAAUUUCUACAUCAGUUAUAUAAUAAUCAUGACAUUCAGAUGCAUCACCCCAGGGAAACAGAAAAGACACCUACAAUAGCAGGCAACUUACUUGAUAAUUGCUCUUCUGGCUUUCCAGAAAUGUUUUUGACCUAUUAUUCCUACAACGUCAUCCGGACAGAUUUCCGAGCCAGAAAGUGAGUCAACCAUUGAAUUCUCAGAGACAAUGUCACUUUUGUCCGCAUUUCCCACCUGCAUGGAACUAUAAGUCCUUUCUACAUGAUUCUCAACAUUGUCAACAGGAACAAUCAACCUCUCAUUCUUUAGUGAAGAAUGAGUGUCCACUCUUGAGCAGGGAACGCUAUCGGCCUCCCCAAAUCUUGUAGGCUCAACUACAUCAACGACACAUCCACUCUCAUCCAAUUGAAUAUUGGAUCUUGAAUGUCGAUGUAGCCGAACAUCGCUAUCUUGCAAUUUGUCAAAUCUGGUAUUGGAUUUAUCUUGAAAUAUUUGAUCUUUAGAUAUAUUGGUUUCUUUCUGGAGUCCAUCAGUAUUUCCUCUGUCCAAUAAAUUUGUUGUGGACUUUCUAGGAUGGACCCUACUUUUUUCAUUCACCUUAUUCCCAUUUGUUACUUGUCUCGAGUGGGCACUAGAGGAUGUAAGAUCAAGAUCAUUUUGACCUUUCUCAUAACCAGCUUGCAAAAUUGUAGAACAAUCAGAAUGUUUUGGUCCAGGAGAAGACAAUUUUUCCUUGUGGUCACUAUUUUGAACUCCACUUAUACCCAUCCUCGAUUGGUCAUAUACUGGUACCAUGAAAUCAUCUUCAUCUUCUGCUUCUGUUGUCUGCCGACUCUGCUCAGGCUGAACCAAUGGAGGAUUCUCAUUUACUUCACCAGAUGGAAGAGCUUGAGUAUUUCCGACCUGACUAGUAGAAGUUGGUGAAGACAGAUUUAAUGGCAGGCGCAGAUUUCCAUCAGCUCCUGUACCCUGAAAAGAUUUUCAUUUGGGGUGUUAAAAGCACCAUUUUCUGAACAACCAAAUUCUCAUGGUUCUAGUAGCUCCUUAUAUGCGAACACCAAUUUUCACUAAUGUAAGUAAUCCGAUGGGAAAAAAUAAAACCAUUGAACUCCAGUUUGCAAUGAUUAGUCUGAUACAAGAUUGUUAGCUAGGAACUAAAUAAACUAGGAGAAGGGAAUAACGAUUAGGCAACAAUAAACUUACAAAAUAACCGGUAUAUUUCAUGCUCCAGCAAUAAACAAACAUCAAUCCAAAUGAUCACAGUUAAAAAGUAACAUAUCAGACUAUUGAAAUUGGUAUCCUUCGGUGGUCUGUUCACUACAGAUAAAUUCAAGAAUAUGUUGUGAACGUCCCCAAAUCCCACAUGAUAUAAAACUAUUAAAAAGCUCAGAUACAAAGGUCAAUUUUCAAACAUAUCAAACACGAACUACUAUCUACCUGGCUUGAGGAUGGUAUGGCAACUGGUUUACUGGAGAUGUUUGUCUUGAGAGGCAGAACCCCGGGACUCGAACGUUUGGAUGGCACAGUGAACUGUUCAUAGAGGGCCAUCUUAUUCCUUGGAGGGGCUCUUGGCCAACCUUUCUCGGUAUCAUUAACAUGGAGCCUAGGAAACAUAGGUUCCAUCGUCUUCUCGUCAUCCUUUCCUCUCUUCAUUGUUUCGUUUCCCAAAUUCAACCCAAAGUAAGGUUACAAAGACAUGUAUUCCCACUCAUUUUGACCUCCAAAACCAAAGACAAACUUCAGGGAGCUAGAAAUUAACCUCGCAAGUCAAUUAAGUCUACAAAAUAGUCUAACUUGAUUCAAACCCAGAAGUUAUCGUCCUGAAAUCAGCUCGGAAAUAUGCAAGGCAAGCCCCCCAGAAACGAGCUCAAAGUCUAGAAGAUUUCCUAAAACCAAGCUAUCAUAGCCCAAAAUACAAAUAACCCAAGUGAUGAAAUUGAAGUCGGUUUCUUGUAUGUAUGAGAACCAACAACAACAACAACAACAACAAUAACUUACCCGGAAUUCAAAUCCAAUCCGAUCGAAUUGAGGUGGAGCUUCAAUCAGACGGAAAUGGAUGGAGAAAGAAAGCAAAAGGAUAUGAAUCGUUGAAGAGAGUGAGAAGAAACGAUGAAAGAGGAGAAAUCGAUAAGAGAACAAGGGAAUCGGGAAGAAAGAGAAGGAAGAAGAAGGGGUAAGGAUUAAUUCAUGGAUUUCUCUAAAAUCAUAGGAGUCAAGAAGAGAGAAAAGGGGCAAAAGUGCGAAGGAGUGGGUCCUCUUAGGAUUGAGCUAGAAGAUCCUUUUAGAUAUAAACCAUGAUCUCCGUUUUCUACCAAACCCAAAACUUAGGUAAAAUAUAAUUCCAUAAAUACUUCACCCAAAAUCCUACAUCAUUUUUUUUUCAUUGUUAUUCUUUUUUUAAAAAUCAACCUUCUUUUCUUCACAUUGGAAAUUCUCCUCACACUAUUUUUAAAUUUUAAUCUAUUUGUUUCAAAUUCAAUAUUAACGUCUUCAAAAUAUUAAAUUUAUCUAUUUAACCUCUAGACGGAUGAUAAAUUUAAUUUUAAUUUUUUGAAACCCCAAUAAAAAAAGAGACUAUAUAUUUCACUUUUUUUUUUUUGAAAAUGCUUAUUCUCUACCCAUCAACUUUUUAAAACAACUUUUAAAGACAUUAAAAUAUUUCUAAGCAUCUUACCCAAAAAAUUUUAAAAAAAUAAUAUUCAUUUUGAUAGUAUCUUAUAGUACAUGAGAAUCAUGAAAAAUACAUUCCUUAAUUAUUAAUUAUUAUUAAAUUUGUUUUGAUAAUUAUAUAUAAAAGAAAAAACUGUAAUUUUAGAAGCGAAAUGAAAAUUAAUUACCUGAGUUAUUUAUAGAUUUUUAACUAAAAAAGUUAGAUAUUUUUCACGACUGAGAGAUAUUUUCACGAGUUUCAAGUAACAAGGAAAAAAUAUCUUCUAAUAAUUUAAGUCUUUUUCUUUUUCUUUUUUUCUUUUCUUCUUUUUCUCUUUUUUACAUCUCAUUACUGAAUUCAAUGUUUAUGUAAAAUAUAAUAAUUUGGUAAUAUUGAAUUUCAUUCAUGAUUUCAUGUGAAACAUAUAUCAUAAAUAAAUAGAUCCAAACCCCUAAUUUAUUAAUGGUGAUGAAGAAAAGUGAAAACAAAUUUGUAAGUAACGUUAAAACAGUUUUAUAUGUGGGAGUUUUGAUUUUAGUUUCCAUAAUGUCUAUGGAACAAAUUAUUAAAAAAUCAAAACAAUAUUUUACUAUUUUUUAAGUAUAUAUAUAUGAGAUUUGAACUAUAGCAUUGCGUGUGAUUGGUAUCGUUAGUACAUUCUAACGUCCUUUAAGCUUAAACUCAUAUUAACAAAUUAGACGAUCAUUUUAUAAUAUAAUAAAAAUGUUGAUCAUAUAGCUCAUGUUGAUGUUUAAAAAUAAUAAUUAAGUAUGUAUAGCAACAUUUAAAAAAAUUACAAAUAUAGCAAAAAUCUAUCAGUUAUAUACUUCAAACACUCGUACGUAUGUUAGUAAUAGAUCGGUAUUUACAAAAUAAUCUAUUAGUAAUAUAUUUCUAUGGUCAUUAGACUUUGACAAAUUUUGCUAUAUUUUGUAAAAAGAAAAUUAAACUUUGUUAUAUAUUUAAUUAUUUUAAAAUUUAUUACUUAUUUAUAACUAUUGAUGGACGCACUGUUAAAAAUACAUAUAUUUUCAUCACCUUUGAAUUUAUCAAGAAACUGAAAUUAUAUUUAUUGUUCUUGAAAAAUAGAUGAUAUUUUAAAAAUAUAAGAAUACAUAAUUCUCUAAUUUACAAAUUACAAUGAUACAUUUAUUUAUGGUCACAUUGGCUGAGGCACUGAGGUGAAAAAUAUCUUUUUUAAAAUAAAGGCAAUAACGUAGAUAUAAAUUCCAACGGUUUCUUAUCAAUCUAACGGCAGACGAACUUUCGAUCUUCACCGUCCAAUUUCAUUUAUUGUCCUUUAUCUCCUUACGCAUCUGGACUCCCGGCCUCCACGUAAUACAUUGUUUAAUUUUAGUUUCCACGUGGAACCUUUUAUCCGUACUCGGUGUCUCACAGCUGGCAGCAGCAAAAUACUGAUUUUUAAAUACCUAUUUUAGUGUCUAAUUUAAAAAAUAUAGUAAAUAAAUAAACAAGGAUUCCAAAUAUAUUGAUAAUAUUAUAACUAAGAAUAAUGAGGAUAAAUUAAAUAAGGUUUAAUGAUAACAGAUAAGUUGUGAUUGGCUUUAGUCAAAAGAAAAAAAAAAGGUUGUGAUGGUAAGAAAAUGACAACUAAUAAAGAAAUAUAUCCUUAGUAUUUAUCUAAUUUUAUGUCUAUUGGUACAUGUCAUCAUUUAGUCAUAUAAUAAAGAGAAAAGGUAAAAAUUAGAUUAUUAUUGUUUUUAAAAAAUAAUGAAAUAAGACUUGUGAGUAUAGUCAAUAAAUAAAAUUAGUCAAAUAAUAAAUAAAAAACCCACGUUAUUGUAGUUUAAUGUAUUUAUCAUUUGUAUAUUUGAAAUAUUUUUUAAAUAGAUAUUGAUAAAUUAAUAUAUAUCAAUAUCGCAUUUGAAAUGAAUUGUAAAUUAAUUAUUUAUGUUAUUGACGUAAUAAUAUUGUGUCGAGUAUUUAACGUGUAAAAUAAAGUAAAUUUAUUGGUAAUGAGGUGUCUAUUGCUAUUGAAUAAAUGUGUUUAGUACCUAGAAAUAAUUUAAUAUUUAAAAAAAAAAAAGUUAUGACUUUUAAUUUUUAAAACAAUUAAGAAAAAUCUUAACAUCAAGUUUUAAAUAUGUUAUUUCAUAAAGUUCACUAAUAACUUUUAAAAUACUUUUAAACUUUAUUUUAAAAAAAGUUAUUGAAAUAGUUUGAAUAAAUAUGAAUAUUUAAAAGAUUUUUCUAUCUCUAAGUAAUCCAAAUAUAUGCUAAGAACACUUUAUGAAUUAAAAAUUGUCACUUUCCUUUCUUUUGUGAGAUUACAAGAAAAUAGUAUUGUUACAUAAGAAAGUUUUAUUUAGUAUUUAACACGUCUUUAGAUAAUAUAUAUUAUUGUUAUUUGAUGAGUGAUGUGUAAUUAUUCAUAGUUAUUUUUUUGUAUCAAACAAAUGGAAGUAGUAUGAAUGUUUUUAAUACUAUUAUCGUGGAACUAUAAAUUUUUUCAAAUAAAACUUAACAUUGAGUUGACCAUAUGGUUAUCAUUGGGAUUUUACUCAUGAAUUGGAACCUAAUUUUAGUUUUUUAUUUUAUAUAGUUACAAAAUUUUGAUUGAAUUACAUUUUUCAAAAGACAAAAUUGAUUCAAAUGUAUAGUUUUCACACAAUCCAGUUGAAAAAUAUCUGUUUUUAAGAUAGUAUAAACUACUCGAACAUAAUAAAAAAAGUGAAACAAAGUUCCAUUUGACAAAUCGAAAAAGGAGGUUGAUUUGAAAAAGAAAACCCACGACAAAUUCCAACCAUUACCAAAUUACAUUACAAUACAACGAACACAUUUGUUGUUAGAGAACCCAUAGAAAACCUCGUCAAUAGCCUUAUACGAGUGUCUUAACCUACCUGUUUCGAACUUUCUUUUUUUGGAGUGGAAUAUUUAUGGAAUCCCCAUCCAUAUCCGGCAAGAUUAAGAAUGCCUGGUUAUAGGGUCCUUGCCAAACUCAACAAAAAAAAAAAAAACAAAAAUGAGUUUGAAUCUUUAACAGAAUCCGUAUACUCAAAAUAAAUCAAAAAUUUCAUUAAAUAUGUGUAUCUAGGGGUAAUUCACUUUGAAGCAACUAUUCCCUAGAUACACACAUCGUGAUAUUUUAUUUAUUUCACAAUUGAAUCAAUUUAAAAAAGACCUAAAGUUAGGGAUUUAUCAAUCGGUAAUGUUGCUCCAAUACCCAAAACUCUUCGACAGAAUCAACCAAAAUCACAAUCGAAACACCACCACCUUGAAAAUCCACAUAGGUAUGUAAGCAUAGUAACAUUCAUAUAUAAGAUCACACUUUGAUCAUCGUACAUACAAAUUCACUAAUGGCCCAAGUCGAUCACGCAUUAUUGGUACAAAAAAUCAAAACAUAUAUAGAAUAAAAAAAGAAGAGCCUCAAAGACCGUACCCAUCUCGUUUCUCCACAACACAUUGCUUCUUUGAACUCUCGAGACAAAUCAAAGAAGUUUCUCAAAUAUGAGUUGGAGAAACGAUAUUAAUAAAUUGGAAGAAUUGACUAACAAAAACUCUUCCAUAGAAAAAAAAAAAACAAUACCAACAAGAGAAGAAUCUAACAUUAACUAUUUAAAAUUUUAAUUAUUACUAUGUAGAAUCCGUUUGUUAUUUGUUAAUUUUUUAAAAAAAUAUGAGUUAGCAGAAAGUAUUAUAGAUUGAAUUUGUUAAUUACCCUAAUGUGCAAUAUCGACAAAUAUUCAUUACCAAAUUUAGAUUCCAAGUAAUUAAAAGCAAUAAGUUCGAAGAGAAAAUUGAAUGAUUCGCUCAAAUGGCGAACACUCCUCCUUCUCACCAGACGUGUAUUCCUCUGCCUUCGGACUCAGGUCACUCUCUAUUUCCCCUUUCUUGCCUUCUUUCGGAUUGGACUUCCAUUUUCAUUCAUCAUCAAUUUCAUUUUGUUUUGAUCUGUCUUUCUUCCUCUUAAUCCAUACUUACUUGUUUCAACUUCUGCCUUUUGGAUUGACGUCCAAUUCUCCGUAGCCUAGGAGGACAUUGUUUUCUCUCUUAUCCAAGCUUUAAUUUCUGUUUGUUUGUCCAAUGAGGAAUCGCGGAAUAAACUCGAUUGAUGUUGGAAACUGAUUUUUGAUGCAACAGAAUCACAAUGAUGUAAUUAUCCAUGGUUAGAGUAGAAGAAUUUUUUCCGAAUUUUUUAUAGACAUACCGCUCUUUAUGUCACUUCGUUUUAGUUUCAGCUCAUGCGGAUAGGUUUCGGCUUUCUUCAUUGCUUUUGCCGCGUAUGGUUUCCUGAUUGCUUUACCCGCGCGUGUUCCGUCGAGAAUUUUAGUUAUUAUGUUCAUUUUAAAAUUGGGAUGAUGGAAUGUUUUAUAUAGUUGAUAUUUUGCGCGCUGUUUAAUGUUAAAUGGAACAGUAGAAGAGCUUAAUGACCAUUCGCUCCUCAGCUUCUGUAUUCAUAUUUUCAUUUCGUUUGAAGAUUUUUUUAUCAUCUUCCAAUGAUUUCCAUUUCGUGUGGGUGUUAGGUGAAAAUCAGACCGAUCCUGAAGCCAACGCAACCUUGGUUCCUAUACAUAUUGUUACUCAUGUAUCUCAACUGCCUAAAGAAUUUGUUGAACCAUCACCUGAAAAGCCUUUGGUAGUUGGCUUUGAUUGUGAAGGUGUUGACCUGUGUCGCCAUGGAAACCUAUGUGUCAUGCAGGUAAAUAAAAUACUAAGAACAAAUCAAAGUUUUACCAUCCUUGUGGAUAGUAAUAAAUUUUAGGGCAGAGGCGUGUGUGUUAGUUAACCUCUUAACUAAGGGAGUCGGUGGUUCUAGUUUAUAAUUUCAAUUUUUCUAACCAUCUUGUGAUAGUCAAUUGAAUCAAUUCAUAAUCCAAGUUGCGGCCUUGCAAGAAAAUGACUAAUGUCUAAUAGUCUAAUAUUCUGUUAGAAAACAGUGAUCGAAUUAGUUGAAUUUACCUUUCCAUCUGUGUUCAUUUCUUGCCAGAUUGCAUUUCCAGAUGCUGUAUAUCUGGUUGAUGCUGUUCAGGGAGGAGAGGAGCUUGUGAAAGUCUGUAAGCCUGCUCUUGAGUCCAAAUAUGUCACAAAAGUUAUUCAUGAUUGCAAACGAGAUAGCGAGGUCUCUUUUGGACACUGUUUUCACCAUGGAAUGCCUUCACAGCGACAUGACAUGUUUUAGCUAAUAUUUACUCUACUUUUCCUCCCUCUGUAGGCAUUGUACUUCCAGUUUGGUAUCAAGUUGAACAACGUUAUCGAUACACAGGUGAUUAUCAAUUGUGAGAAGCCUGACACUCUUCACUUGUUUACACCAUUUUAUCAUGCAUUAUAAUUAUAUCUUAUUUUAGAGGGCUUAGCCACUUAGCAUGCCAAUAUAAUGUUACUAAAGCAUAAGUAUUUUUUGUAUUUUUCAUCUUCUACGUUUUAUUAUUGAACUUGAAACUGCCAUAUAAGGCCAUAUCAGGAGAGUGGAUCUUACUAAUCCACAGACCAUGCUCCCAUUGUUUCUAAUCUAGGUUUCUUGAAGUUCUCAUGAUGUUGCGGUGUAUGAUUUGAAUCUACAAUCUGAAGUGUUAUUAUAAUUUUUUAAGUAUACAUAAUCAUUAUGAAGGUUUAUGUGAAUAUGCAUAUAUUCAAAAAGAAGAGAGAAGAGAGAGUGUGGUUAUCUUGUGACUUUUCAAAUGCAACUAAAGAGUUUGCUUAUUGAUUUAAGAAGUGAUCUAAACAAUUUAUUUUAAGUUUGAGCUACCUUGUAAUUGCUUUGGGGUUAAGCUGCAAUAUGGAGGAAGGCUGAGUUAUUUGGACCUUCCUUCUUUAAUUUUCAAUUGUAUUACUUGAUUCAGAUUGCAUAUUCACUUUUAGAGGAGCAAGAGGGACGGACAAAGACACCAGAUAACUAUAUCUCAUUUGUUAGUCUUCUUGCAGAUUCACGUUAUUGUGGUAUUAUUUUAAUCCUAGUACCUAGAUAUUCUACAUUUUUUAUCAUGGAAAUUUAUGCAUACUUUAAUUUUUUGGAUAAAAUCACCUACUCACUCAAAAGUAUUAACUGAUAAUUGCUUAUUAAAAGGCAGCAAAGCUUGAUUUAUUACUUGGCAUCUUCAUCUAAAGACAAUUCCAUAUUUCCUACGCAUUAUGAUGGUGGUGUUUCCAUGAGCUGCAUGGUUGGGGGAUAGUGAUCCACACAAGUGAAUGCAUACCUUAAAGUUUAUUUCAUGCUAAAAGAUACACAAGGCUGCCACCGGAAAAUGGGAAGCACGUCUUUCCACCUAAAAAAAAACUAUUACAAGAACUAAAAGAAAGGAAAAUACCCAACUAAGGACUAUUUCACAACCAAAGAGAGAACAAGAUUGGCAGGAUAAGGCUAAGAAAAUCAAGUUGUGCCUAGUCAAAUAGAUUAUCAACCAGAAGAACCUCCUGUCUGAAAAGGGUAAAAGAGUAGAAAUUUGAAAUUGAAAGGCAAUAACAAUCUUAUUUACUAUCGUAUACUCUGUUUACUUUUUCUUACUUUUGUUACUCUUUUCUUGCUACUGAAAACGUCGGUGGUUGCUGCUUGGUUUCUCAAUGUAGAAUAUAGGCUGCUGGAAAUUCAGUGCAAUGUAGUAAAUCCUUGCUGAAUCUCUUGUUAGAUAAUUUAUGAGAACAAACUUUGGUGCAGUUUUCAAAGUAAAAGUCCCUUAAUAUGUGGCCUUUUACUGGUUGACCUUUUCAAAUACGAAUCUAGUGACUGGAUUAAAUAAGGAAUCAUAAUUUGCAAUUGCUAAUUUGCAACCUCAUAGAUAUGUUAUUGCCAGAUGAUAGAUAUCGUUCGCAUUCAUUCUGUCCUUUCUUCCUCAAUAUGUUGGAGUUGCUUGUGGGGAUUGCAGAUUUUAUAGUUCAAAUUGUAGGUGUGUAAGAUUUGAAAGUGUCGAUCGAGAGUUAUAUUUUUUGGUGAAAAAGGCAAAAGCCUUUUUUCUGAUUAGACUUAUAGGGAAAACUUUUUUAAGAGUGUUUCUAGCUCGUUGGACUCCUUAUCACUUCCUCAUACCUUGUGUUUGAUUUUUUUUUUUUUUUGGUCUCAUCUCCCUUCUACUUUUUUAUUUGAAGUAAAGGGAACAUUAAAUUCCUCUCCAUGUGUAUUUCCUUUUUUUUCCUUUAAUAUUUGUACGUAGGAUAUAAAUUGUUUGACUUGCUAAUUGAAUUAUCAGAAUUUUCUGAAAACUGCAUUAUAGAAUCUACGUCAAAUUCUUAUUAUCACUGGUGAAAUUGAUAAGCUUUUGUUAUAUGAAAUGCGUUCACUUUUUAUUUUAAAACUUAAUACGUUUUGCUGCUAAUGCUGCCAGUGUGCCAUUUAUUCUGACUAACCAAUAUGUAAUCCUCACGCUUAAAUGUAGGUGUAUCAUAUGUGGAGAAGGAAGAGGUCCGGCUCUUACUUAGAAAGGUUAGUUUUGUCAUAGUUUUUAUUGCUGUGGAGAAUAUUGUAUCUAGGCAAGAAUUUCUGUGGUUCUACAUAUUAAGCAUUGUUUUUCGUGAUGGGGUGCUUUGUUGGUCAGAUGUGCUUGAUUCAUAAAUGUAAUAGUCUUUUAUUUUGGAGUAGCACAAGUAUAAAUAUAACGUAGAGACAGCUCAAGUCUUUUUAGUCAACAAAAAUGACAUGUAAACAAAGAUAAUUACUAUGCAAGUAUAGUAUAACUAUGACCGUAACAUGAUAAGAUGCAAAAUGUCAUCUUAUCAUAAUAUUAAUAUGCAGGUAUAGUAUAAGUGUUCUGCAAGUUUCAUGUAUCUUUGCAUAAAACCAAAAUUCUAAAUUUAUAUUUUACAGGACCCCAAGUUUUGGACCUAUAGACCAAUGUCUGAAUUAAUGGUCCGUGCAGCUGCGGAUGAUGUACGCUUUCUGCUUUACAUCUAUCACAAGAUGAUGGAGAAAUUGAAUCAUCGAUCACUGUGGUAUCUUGCAGUGCGUGGUGCUUUGUACUGUCGCUGUUUUUGCAUCAGUGAUAAUGGAUAUGCCGACUGGCCUCCUCUCCCUUCCGUUCCAGGUUUUCUUUAAGAACACACCUUACCAUGUUUAUUAUUUCCAUAUAAUUGGAUGAAUACUAAAUUGAACGCUCUAUAUUUUAAGUUGAUUAAAUAUAACUGCACACUUUUCAACAUGUACAGUUGCUCACAAUGGUUUCCCCGUAGUUUUUCCUUAUUGUUGGCUUCUUUUAUGUUAUGAUAACACCAUUGAUAUUGGGUUCAAAAUUUAAAAGGGCCGUUGAGCUAUGUGAGAAACGUUGGCUUACCGUGUUUCAUUCAAUUAUCCAAGUACUGCUGGAAUCUUCUCUAAACAUCAAAUAUGUUAAAAUUUCAUUAAUGUUUUAUUAUAUGUUUAAGGGUUCUUAUAGUAGACUACAUUUCAUUUCAGAUCUUUGAAGAAAAAGAAGAAAAAACAACUUUUCUAAAUUUGAUGCGUCUAAAACCUUUUGUUUCAUGGUCUCAGUCAAUCGAUCAUUUAUAUUGGAUUAACAUGUUUUUUCAGAUAACCUUGUAAAAGAGGGAAAUGCUCCUGAAGAAGAAAUUCUUUCAGUCUUAGAUGUUCCUCAUGGAAUGAUGGGUCGCGUAAUUGGUAGGAGGGGAGCCUCAAUUUUGUCAAUAAAGGAAUCUUGCAAGUAAUUCCUUACCGCCAACAUAUAUCCUUUCAACUUCAUUUAUAUAUCUUUUAGGCUAAAAACAAAAAAUCAUUUCCAUUGUUUCUCACCCACCUUGGAUUUUUUUUUAUAUAAAUGCAGUGCGGAAAUUCUCAUUGGCGGUGCCAAGGGCCCACCGGACAAGGUUAGUCCCUUCUCAUCACUUCAAAACAAAAUACUAUAAAGCCCAAAAAAUUUGAUGCUGUUCUUUAAACAUGGGAAGAUAAGAUAGAUUAGUUCCUGCAUUCUUCCCCAUUUGCUUCAAAUCCCACAGCUUAGACUAAAACUCAAGUACUCUUUUCAAGUUCUUCGUUCCACGAACAAACAGGGCUCAUUCUCCUUGCUUUGAAGUUUCGAAUAUCAUCCAAAAAGCUGUUGAAUAUUGAAAGUUAGUGUUGUUUUUAUGUAGGUACUCAUCAUCGGAUCGGUGAGACAGGUGAGGAAGGCAGAAGCUAUGCUAAGAGGAAGGAUGCUUGAAAUAUGAUUGAAUGAAAAAGAGGAAAAAAGGGAGAGAAAAAAAAAUAUGAAAGAACGAAAGAAUGAAAGAAUGAAAGAAGAAAGAAAAAGAAAAAAGAAAAAACCUGUGUGAUUGUGAUGAAAAUGAACUAAAAAUUGAAACAGUAUGGUGUUUUGUGUAUUUGGAAGAAUGGAUAGGGGAGGAGCCAAAAUGAGGGGUUUGAGGCUGUGCUGCCAUUUUACUACUCCCCCAAAUGGAAGGGGAUUACUUUACAUACUCUACUAAACUAACUCAAUCGUAUCCUAUCGUGUCUCAUCUCUCUAUGUAGGUGGAUGCACUUAUCUUUAUAUCGAAACAAAUAAAAUAAAAACCUAAAGCGAUUAAUAUAUACAAAUAUAUAAGUGAAGCACACAUAAAUAUAAUCAAUAAAGGUUAAUCAUUGAUUCGCUUCAGCCAUGUGUUUCGAUCAAUGUUACCUUACCACACCCUCGAUAAGCUAUUAUACUUUUUAAAACUGUAUAUAUAUAUAUAUAUUAAAUUGGAAAGUUUUUGCAUAUGUUGAUUGGGUUUUGAUUGUGAUAGUUUUGUCUGAGUUUUAGGUUGAUAUUUGGGUUUUGAUUUAUACUGUUUGUUAUCUGAGUAAUGAAGUUUUGUAUCACCCAAAUUAUUAACGAGAAAUUUUUACUAUUUUAAAUCCUAUUUUGUGCAGUCCAAAAUUUGAGUUUGUGAUUUUACUUUUCUUUCAUAUUAGUUCCAAGAUGAGUUUUUCAUAUAAGCAAAAUGGAAAGACUUGAAUAAGGCUUUUUUUUUUCUCUUACCCUUUUCUUUUUGUAUUUAAAUAAUAAUAAGAAACAUUUAAAUUAUGUAAGGUAAAAUAUACUUUUGGUCGUACUGUCUAUUUGUUAUUUGGGAUUUAGCAUGAAAAAUAGUUUUAAAUGAUUCUUUUGUUAAAGUGACCAUUAGGUUACUAACGAAACGAAAAAAAUGAUCAUUUUGUUAAAGUGACCAUUAGUUUACUAACGAAACGAAAAAAUUAUUUAUCACUAAAAUAACUAUUAUUAUUUUUCUUGUUUUUCUUCUUCAGCUCCCCAACUCAAAUGUUUCUUCUCCACGUGGUUUCUUCUCCAUGUAGAUUUUCGACUGGUACACUUUUUGUUGUAUGUUUAGUUCAUUACUCUCUUUAAAAUUUGUAAUUUACAUAGGCCACUUUUUCUCCAACUAUGUUUGUUAUUCUAUUAUAUAUUGAUAUUGUAUGCAAAUAUUUGUUAUUCUAUUAUAUAUUGAUAUUGUAUGCAAAUAUUUGUUCUCAAAGAUGACUAAAGUUUUGACAAAAUAUUCUCUGAGCUUGAAUUGUUUUGUUAUUUAUUUCUCUAUUUGUUUAAGUUCACAGGCUAGAACUCCUUUUAUGAACAAAAGAAAAGUGGUAUGGGAAUGAUCUAGAACUCUUGUUGCCCGUUGUUCACCGUUAGUUUCUGUUAGUUCGAAAAUUCCUCAAUGACCAAUUGCUCAAAGUUUUGCUCUUAUUAUUGUUUUUUAUUAUUUUUGUUCACCAGAGAUGAAAAACGUUCUCAGAUUUUUUAGGAUUAACAAAUAGAUAAGAACAAGAAACAAAAUAAGAAUUUGUUUUUUUUGUUCCAUGUUUUAGGUGAAAACUCGUAAGGAGUGUAAAAGAGAAGACUAAAAUGUUACUUUUAAAAUCUCAUAAACCAAAAUAGACGUAGAGACUAAAAAUGCAUUUUGCACAAUUAUUUACAACCAUGCUUUUGCUUUUGAGACACAAUGGGAAGAUGUUCUAUUCUGAAGCAUUCAUGAAUAGAGUAAAUUUCAGUUAAGAUGUGAACAGAAGUAGAGUUUUUCUUGGUAGAGAAAUUAUCAUUCCUUCACUCACAGAAACUCAGUAGUAAUUAAAGAAAGGGAGCAACCAUUUUAUAAUUAUUCAAGGCAAAUUUCCUCGAAUCAAAUUAAUGAUGUAAACGCCACUCAACUCAUCGCACCCAAAAGGCUCAAAGGUUUUCCCCCACACGCACUUUGUAGAUUAUAAGAGGAAGAAGACGGCAAAAGAAAAGAGGCAGAGGGCUGAAACCCUAAACAAUUUUACUUCUGGAAACCACCAAAUUGGUAUUGUUGACCAGAAAGUUGCGAAAAGAAAUCGUCUCCAAGAGCCUGCGAUCCUGUCCUACCAAGACCAGACCCUGCACCCAUUGCUUGCCCCAUGUGAUAAGUGGGUGCUGGUCCUUUCUCCCUCUCGUCUGAGAAAUCGCUCAGUCCCCCCACCACACCCACGUCCACCAGGGAAACCUUCUUGGCUGCAAUGCAAAGCAAAAGCAAGUUUUGUGUUAAGGGGUGGUGGUGGUUGCAUUCAAACAAACCAAAAGUUGCCUUUGUGGAGUAAUUAAUUAAGAAGGUUUCCCUUCAUUUCUCAUCAUGUUUGUUUGUGUCUAAUGGGACAUCAAAGCAUCCAAACAGGUCAAUAACAUACUUAAUCAAAAGUCGAAGGACUUUUUACAUAUUUUAAAGUGAGACCUAUUCAACACAAAGUUUACGAUGAUGACUUAUGAAUGACUAAUUCUGUAAUAACCUUUCCUUCGACCACAACCUAAUAUAUUUAAUUCAGCCCCCAUCCCAUUAAGCAUUAGCAUGCUUCUAUUCCAGAGAUCCAUCUCAGAACAAAAUAACAAUAAAGUACAUUCUAUUCCUAAAUAUUGUCUAUGAAAUGUCUAAAUUUAAUUAGCUCAAGAAGAAAGGAAAGAAAGGGGAAUGAAAAACAGGGUCAGUAAAAAGGAUUGUGAUAGAUAGUUAAGAUAGACUUACGAGCAGAGAUAUUAAGAUCAAUCAACCCUCGACUAAGUGAAUCCGCCCAAAUCCCAGAUUUGACCUGGAAAGUAUUCUUCUUGGCUGGAGCUAUUGAACUGUUGAUAGAUUUUCCAUCUAAAUUAUUAGAUGGGCCACCGACAGGACUCUGAGAAGGCUGUGAUGAAACUGGUUCGGAAUGCGAAGAAGGUGCACCAAAAAGAUCUGAUCCAUCAAAAGAGUUAAGUGGAAGAGCAGCAAAUGGAUCCACAGCUUUACUGUCCCUUGCUGCACUAGCAAAGUUAGUUUCUGUUUUUAAAACUGGCUCAGGAGAGGCAAAUAAGUCAACCGGUGCAGAAACUGAAGAAGGUUGUGAAGCUUUAAUGUCUCUUGCUGCACUCACAAAGUUAGUUUCUGUUUCGACAACCGGCUCAGAAGAGGCAAAAAAAUCAAUGGUUGAAGAAUUUGAAGCAGGUUGUGAAGCUUUGCUGUCUCUUGCUGCACUAGCAAAGUUGGUUCCUGUUUGUACAACUGGAUCCGGAGAGGAAAAAAAGUCGACUGUUGCAGAAACUGAAGCAGGUUGUGAAGCGAACAAAUCAACCUCUGUAGUCUGUAAAGAGGGUAAGAAACUUCAUUUUAAGAAAAAAGAGAAAAAAUUAAUGAUCAGAAGGAGGAACUUAUGGAGUCACUUUCAUGAAUAGAAUUUUUUGAUGAGAUAAUGCUUAUACUUUCCAUGAAUCAAAUACUUUUGAAGAAAUAAUGAAUAGGAGAAAAACAACUAGAUCACUUUUAUAACAUCAAAAUGCCUUUUGAUAGAUAAAAAUAAAACUCACUACUAUUAGAGCAGGCUAAGCAAAACUGACAGGUUUUCAGCUUAAUUCCACAAAUCGAUCUUGAACAUAUUCCAGGCCAAAAAAAUAACAGCCAGUAGCCACUCAAGUUCUCGGCAAGCCAACAUAAAAGCCUCAGAUAUUCUAAGGACAGACCACCACUGAGCGGUGAGGGGCACGAAAGAAACAGGUGGUUUAAAUUCUCAAGCUUCUGUAGGCAAGAGAACCCAAUUUUUACAUCUUCGAAAAAUCUGCUGCUCGCAUCUUUAUGAUAGACCAUAAUUUUUUUUUUUAAAAAAAAACUUCACUUUCUUGGGGCAUUUGAACCUCCAAACAGCGUUGAUGAGUGGGGCUUAGUGGAAAAUUAACCCCCCCCCCCAAAAAAAAAAAAAAAAGAAAAGAAAAGAAAAGAAAAGAAAAAACCAACCUAAGAUUUCUAAGGAACCCUCAUGGCCUUCGACUACAAUAGUUCCCUCUGCCUCAACUUUUGUCUCCAAAACCCUUGUGCUCUUGGUGAUUUUCCUAUUUUUCUUCUUGGCUACCGCACUACCUUUGGGCAAAAUUGGGGAGUUCAUUUUUUCGUUGUUGUGUGUGUGCGGUGGGGCAGGGUGGGGGGGUGUUAGUUACUGAAAGAUUAGAUUUCAAUGACACGUGAGAAUUUCAGAAAGAUUAGGAAAAAAUGCAAGUGCAAUAGAACAAGAGCCAUGAAAUAUUUUGAGCUAAAUGUUAUAAUAUUCAUGAAAUGUUUCUUUUACCAAAAAGAAUAAUAAAUAAAUGUUAUAGAUAUUAUUCUUGAAACAAAAGGCAAUUUUUUAACUUAGCUAAAUGCAAGAAUGUGAAUAUUGCCGUAACCAAAAAAAUUUGUUUCUUCUCCUUAUCUAUAGAAGCACAUUGUGGAAUUUAAUGGCACUACUGAAAAUCCUAAAUUGUAGCGAACCUUUAAUGGGGAAUUGGGUUCCUUUUCCAUUUGCGUUGGAGCUGAUACAAAAGUAGCAUCUGCAAACAGAUCAACCUCAGGAGAACUGGUGUCCGGCUUUCCAGGAGGAGCAAGAGCUGGGCCAUCCAUGAAAUCUCCUAGUAAACUGUCUCCAAAAAGAUCCACCCCAUUGGGGCUUGGUGCAGCAGCUUCUGUCAAAAGGUUUAACUCAUAAUGAGAAAAUUCCCUUAUUCAUUUGGUUUUCUAGUUUAGGCUUUUUAUGGCUUAACAUGGGCUAACUAAUUUAAUCAUCAAGAAUAUUUCAUUUUUCUACUAAGGGUAAUUUUGAUUGUAGAUCACAAGCUUUUUCUUUUGAAAUUUAUUAUUUAUUACUGGUACAGUUUACUUUACCCCUCCAACUCUCAAUUUCAGGAUCUUCCCUUAAAUGAAAUGAAUAAGGAAGAAGUAUUUUUACUCAUCUAAGGAAACAUCCAUGAAGUGAUACCAAUUUGAUGGAAACCACAAGUGAUACGGAAUUUCCAGUAUUAUUGAUAGUAGUAUAGGAAUGAAAUCCUUGUUACAAUCUCCAAUCACAAUUCUACUGCUAUCCUAUCUUUCAAGGAAGAACAGAGAAGAACACUUGACUCACAAAUUCUAACUAACUUUCCCACCCACCUACUUACUUUUAUGUAUACUAAUUUCUAACCAUCACAUUAUUCUCACGUGUUACUUACACACGUGUUAAUUCUUUUUUUCUCUCCUGCUAUAUUGGUGUACGAUGAGUGACGGAUCUAGAAAAUUUAUUGACAGGGGAUUUCAAGUUGUAAUUUAGGAAAAAAAUAAAAAUCUGGAAAAAAACUACAUAGGUAAGACUUGAACUCGGGUUGGAAUCUGGAAAAAAACUACAUAGGUAGAACUUGGGUUGGAAGGGGGACUGACAAGCACAAUUACCACUAAGCUAUCUAUCAAUAUUAAAUAUUAAUUAGUUUUCUUUAUACAUAUUAUAUAAAGACAAUAAAGUUGAGGGGGAGAUCGAGCCCCUCUGGGCCACACUAAAUCCGCCGGUGUAUAUGAUAGGGGGUCUAUCACGAUAUCUCACCACAACGACAAUAUUAGUAUUUACUCUAGCAUCUUGUUAGAGUCUUCAACUAGACUAGGCUUGUUAGCAGCUAAUUAGGAAAAGUUUAGUUGGCUUUUAGUCAAUACCAAGAGAAAUAGUUUGAUACAACACAUUUCAGAGUAACGGAAAUAUAUUGACAACAAGAGAAGCCUCUGAAACUUUCUAUGGGCCAAAUUCUAGUUAAAUAAAUAAAACUCACGAGCAUAAUCUAACCAUCAAAACAACACAUGCAGAUCAUAUUCCAUCUAAUAUCAAGAUAAACAAUCUGAAGAUGCUCCUUAAUUACAAGCACAAAUGUGUAUUAUAUUAAGACAUCUCCCAUUCCACUCUUUAUCAAUAUUGUCAAUUUACCACACAUUUCUCGUGUAUUGGGAUCUCUUACUCUUUAAGAACAUAAAGGCAGAAGACAAUGUAUAGAAGCUAGAGGAAGAGAAUGUUUUUCCCCAUGGUUAAAAAUGUAUUUUGGUUUGUGGAGAGAGCUGGAAAUAUGGGUUAUUGUAAUUUGCGAUUAAAUUGUGAAGAGAAAUGUAUAAAAAAAGUAAAAGUUAUUUUAUCUUCAUUUGAUAACAAAACAAUGGCAAUCAAUAAACAUAAUGGAAGAAAUGGUUACGGAAAACUAAAUAGAAAUAACUGGGACAAUUAAAUUAUUUAAAAAAACCAAGCAAAAUGAGGUAGAAAUGUCCACUAGCAUUUAAGCUACAAAAAUAAGCCACGUUCAACAUUUUUUCACCAAUUAUACUAUUGCAACAAAACAAACACAUACAUUUCAACAUUGAAAACACUUACUUGUGGUGGUGGUGGAAGAAGUCCCACGAGGAUCAAAAUCAUCAAAAUCAUCAUCAGAAUUAUUUGUAGGGGUGCUAGCACUGAAGGAGGAAGUCUGAUUUGCAGAGUCAUUCGACUUCUUUGACGGCUUAGAUUUACCAAAUGAUGUUUUACCCUGAUCCUUGCUGAAAAAGAACUCUCCCUAUUAGAAAGCAAGGCAACAUAAAACUAUAGAGCAAUGUCUAUGACUCUGUCUGUUUUCACAUAACUUCUCCCAACCGUAGAUGCAUUUAAAAAACAUUAGGCAUUGAUAUUUGUCCAAUAUAAACAGAGACCAGAGUCCAAACAAAACUCAACAAAAGAACUGUGCCUAAGGCAACAGGUUUUUUUUUUUUUUUUUUUUUUAAAUCUUCUCCAAGUCCAAGAAUCUAACAUCAAUUUUAUUAAUAAAAAUCGAUAAUGUAUUUCAUCAAAGGAAGGACAAACUAAGAUCACAGGUAUGGGGAACUCCCCACAACAAUGCAUUUUCUGAAUAAAACAUCAUAUUCAGUCAAUAGAAUCUAGUAAAAGGGUAAAUAUUCAACAAGUACAUACCUGUUGUUUUGUGCAGAACCCUUGCCAUCUGGCUUAGUGGCCCAAUCUGACUUUUUAAAGUCAUCCUGGCCAUCCUUUUCCUUUCUAAAUGAAUCCCUGUCACUGCUCCUAUCACGAAAUCUAUCGCCUCUAAUGGUACUCUGACUAUCACUGCUGUAAUAACUACUGCUGCCGUAGGACGCUGUACCUGACUUGUAAGUAAUUCCAGUAGAUGAAAGUCCAAAGUACCUAAAGAAUGGACAAUACACUAGUUAUUCUGAAAAAUCAAUGUGUAUGGUGACUGAGCUCCAAUACAACAACCUAUAUGGUUGGUAUGAAAAAGCUGAGUUUACAUAUAGCAGCAUGAAAAACCAGUGUAUUAACAAGUAUCCUUUGAUUCCCUUCAAAGUGGUAUAUAUAAAGCUCCUAAACUCACUGUAGAUUUUGUUCAACUGCCUACAUCCACUAAGGUUAGUAUAGAGGAAAGUAAAUAUACGAAGAGAGUUAAAUGUAUUUAUCAGAAAGUCAGAGACUCUUAGACAAUUUGACAAAGUCCAACGCCAAAUAAGACGAGAUGCUAAAAACAAGAUAUGAGAGACUAUGGUUCUAGUGAUGGUUGAUUCAAGGGAGGAAAGAUUUACUGCAACACAAACAAGCUAAAACGUAUGAAAUUCAGUCCUCACAAAAUAUUGAUGAAAGUAAAAGAUAAUGACUAUACUUUUCUUCAUUUAGUUAAUGCAAGCUUCUCCAACAUGUUUAAUAUAAUUGAUCUUGCAGCAAAUUACCUUAACUCUGGCUCCCAGAUUAAAGCCCAAGGCAAAUAGGAAGAGUCUAAUGCUGUAGUGUUACAUAGGCUUAUUGUUAAUGUCAUAUAUUUACUACACAGUCAGUAAAGGUUUUAUCCACACUCCUUUUAAUAUUUUAACCAAGGAUCAAUUUGUGAGGAGAAGCUCACAAACGAAACUUUCCAUUCUUAGGUAGUCAAUCUAGAAAAUGAAAAAUGAACCAGAUAGCUCAAAUGUUCACUUACUUUUCACGAUUUGAAGCUGCUUUAUUUCUCACUUCUUGUAUUUUAUCUUUAUCAUUCAAAAGGGCCACAAUGGUUUCAGCCUUCUUCCUGACAUUUAUGCCCAUGUCCUUUCCACUUGGUUCAACAUAUUCAAAACUCGAGAGUGACUAUCCAACAUAAUACAAAACACAAAACAGAAUAAGACUAAGAGUCUCUAAAGUGCUGAACUGGAUCUUAGUGCACAUUUUAAAAACAUUCUUACAGAUAUCUGGAAAGUAUGUUCAAUAAUGUCAUCCACUGCACGUUCAGAUCCAUGUGACACCAAAUACUCUAUAACAGCCAAAGCCUGAAGAAGUUGACAGUGCCACUCAUGAGUAAGAGUGGGAUAUAAAGCAUUAUUUGUCAGAAAAUAAGAAUGUAUUAAACUGGGAACAAAUGAAAUUUUACCUUAUAGACAAGACGCCAAUUCUUACCAGUUUCAGUCAAUCUUGUCCAGAGAACAUUCAUAACCAUCUGAGUUUCAGAACUGAAAAAUCAAAAUCAAAAUCAAUCACCAAACAGAAACAAGUUCUUGAUUAAAGAAGAAAAGAACCAUAUGGGAUGAGUUGAAAUUUGAAAAUGUAACUUUACAAUUUCUUGGUAGCUUGCGCAAUUUCAGCCAGAGCAGAUCCAUGAGGACCCCAUGGUUCAUCAUCUGUUGCAUCCAGCACCUGAAGCAGCGAUGACAACCAGUUAUGAAACCACAUAGAGAAUUUCUAUCCUCCAACAGUAGAAUUAUUAAUACUUCAUGAGAAGCGAGUCAACUGUGAAACUCAAUCCAAUUUAUCUGAAAAACCAAUUCCCUGAGGGUCAUCUGGAAUAUGACCAACCAAAUUGAAAACCCACCUAAAUGGCACUUGGAACUCAAACGAAUGUGAUUGCCCUAUGGAUUUAUAUCAAAUUGAGGACAAAAAAUCGCAUACACCACACGCCUAGAAAAUGCUAACCGCCAUUGAUAGAGUUGAAUGCUACAAUACUAAGCAACAUCACUAUUCCCCGAAAUCCAUCCAAUUGACGCUAUAAAUUAACAGGCCAGUGGUAUGGCAGUUUUUAAACAAUAAUAUAUGCUUCUUUAAAUAUUUAGCAAUAAAUUAAACUUUCGUGGUGUUUGACUGAAUGGAGGUGGAAGUAGAACAGGAGCAAGAAGCAAAAUAGGAUAUGAGUUAUGACACCAUGUAGUAUCCUAAAGCAAAAUAGGAUAGAGAGCUGCUUAGAUCUAUAAAAGCAAAUGCAUUAUUCGAACCUUCUGUUCGAUUUCUGGAACCUUCAGAACCUUCAAAUUCACCUCCCUCUUUCUGUAACAACACGUAAAUAGAUAAAAUGAAAAUGAUACAAAAAAUCGAAGUUAAAGCUAACAGAAGGUCAUCUUCUAUCUAAAAACCUAUACACAUAACAUAGAAAAAAGAAAAAUAAAUAUAUAUAAUUUUAUAUCCAAAUUGAGAAACAUCAACUAGUUGGAGCCUCACAUUUCACGGACAGUUUGAUCGAAAACCUUCAUGAAAUCCAUGACAGAUCUGCGAAAUCUAUCAAACAAUAUUGCAGAAUUGAAAUCAGAUAAUGUGAGGAAUUGGAGAAAGAUGAAGAGAACGGAUCGGGAGGAAAACCAGCAAAAAGAAGAAGAAGAAAAAUUGAAGAGAUGAUAUAUGUAAAAAUGAAUCGAUUGUGAAGAAAAAAGAAAAAUAGAAAACGAGGUGAUGCGCACCUGAGUAGCUAGAAAGGAAGCUUGAGAUCGAGGUAAAGAAGGAAAUCAGGUGGGCGUGAAGAAAUUUCAACUUUCUUUGUAUGCGUGACGGUGGAGAUAAAAGCCGGAAGAACAGAACAGAACAGACGAGACAACGGAGCAAUUUUUCGUAGUCGAAAUUUUCUCUUUAUUGUUUAUAAUUUUAAUUAAAAAUGUGUUUUAUGGUUUGGAGAUCUUUUCAUUUUUAGAACCAUUCAUUUGUGACAAACCGUAUUGUAUCAACUUACCUAUUUUUAAAAAAUACAAACUAUUUACCCUUCAAAUUUUUUAUCAUAAUGUUUUCAUAUUUUUUAUUGGAUUGACUUUUUAAAUAUUUAAAUUAGUGUUUAAAAUGAAUCCAAAAUACCCUUUCAACAGUAAUUUAAUUAUUCAUUUGCUUUGCAAACCAAAUUGAAAACUGUUUUAUGGUUCAUCACUAUAUUAAGAGUUGUUUGAGGUCUUGGUUUGCUUUGAUCCAUUUUGUAAGUGUUUAAAAAUAGGAACAGAACUACAAGUAUUUGGUUCAAUCUUCAGUUUUAUAUAUAAUACAAAAAGCAUACAAAUUUUAGGAUUCAAAUGGAACGGUUAUUACGUAGUAGCAUUGUGUUCAUAUAUUAUCAAUAGCCUACUAAACAACCAUCUUUCCAAUUCACUAUUUUUUUUUUCUUCUUAAAACAACAUGCUGCAUAUCAUGUCUGCUGGGAAAUCACAGCCCCAUGGUUCCAUUGAACUCCAUUGAUCUCUACUGUCACUACCGGCACCCGGUUCGGAAACUGUGGGAAUCUGGAACUGAUCGACUGAGUUGUCUAAUGCAGCAAUGCAUGAGAUUGGUGUGUGGUUAAUAAUUUCAGUGAAGUCUGUUUCUUGUGUAUGUAGGAGUGGGGAUUGUGAGUGAAGAUGACUCUGGGUUUUGGCUGCAAGGAACAGCUUCUUCUUCUUCUUCUUCAGUUUAGUAUUCCAAUGGUUUUUUACAUCAUUGUCUGUUCUACCUGGGAGUUGAGAGGCUAUGGUAGACCAUCUGACCAACAACUUGAAUUUGAUUAAAAGUUCAAAUAUUUCUUUACAGAGAUGUGAAAACAUAUCAUGAAGUUUAGAAGAAAACAAAAGUAUCUAAGGUUUCAUUUCAUAACAAUUUUCUUCUUAAGUUAUUCUUUUCUGAAAAUAUAUGUUUGUUCCCUCUCGGACAUCUUCACUGUUGUUUGUUCUUAACAUUUGUGCAAAUUUCAAAAACAAAAACAACAAAACCUAUCAUCUUUAGUUUUAAAAACUUGUUUUGAUUUUUAAAAACAUUGGUAGGGAAACGAAACUAUGAAAUGUACCAAAAGUUAAAAAAAAACAUAUGGUUAUCAAAAUCGAUCUUUUUAACUUUUAAAUGCUUAAAUUUUGGUAAUGUUACUUUAGAAAGAUAAACACCAUGGUAAAAACAAAUGGUAAGAAAGCAGAAUCAUACAGAGCUACUCAUGACUAUCUUAUAGAAACUAAGAAAUAAUCCAAGAUUUAAAUUUCCUUUUUGUGUAAGCUUUGUAAAGUUCAAAUCUGAAUCCUUGUUUAAGAUUUAUCCUGGCUUGGAAAAAAAAAAAAUACCAAACUUGCCUGCUUCCAUAUUGAUUGAAGAGAUUAAAAAUGACAUUGUCUUCCUCUUCUGUAAAUUCCCCAUGCUUGAUAUUGGGUCUGAGAUAGUUUAGCCAUCUUAACCUACAACUUUUCCCACAUCUCUUCAACCCUGCAGUUUUUUUGUUUCUUUUUUCUUUCAAAACAUUGCAUUACAGAAACAAACAAACGACAGAGAAUACCAAACUAAAAAAAUUGGUGUUAGUUCUGAUAAAAGUGAAGAGAAAAGCAAGAGAUUAAACCAGCUUUAGUAGGCAGAGCAAUCCAGGUACCAGCAAUGCCAUGAGUUUCUACAUAACUUUUGAGAAUGGCGUCCUCAUCAGGAGACCAAGGCCCUUUCUUCACCUUGCCUUUCUCACAACAUGGAGCUCUUCCCAUUGCCCCCUUUGCCUUCCAAGGAUAAAUGGGGGCAAGAGUUCUGUAGCUAAAUGCUUUAAAUUCCAAAACCAGCUCACUCAACCGCAAUAAUUUCCCCUUCUGAUUUUGGCUGAGGAUUGUGAGAGCUAAAUAGAAUCUAGCUUGACUUUGUACGUUUCUCCCUUUCUUAUAAGCUUGUUUAUUGUUUGUUAAUUAAUACAGAAGAAGAGACCUUCUCUGUUUUCCACCCCUAGAAAAACAUACUGUUUUAGGAGAAACUACGAAAGGAAAACGUCAUAUGUGGUUGACAAUUUUGUACAAUUAUAAUUUAUAAAUUUUAAAGAGAAGCUGUAAAAGUACCUCAAAUUUGUAUACGUUAUGGUUAUUACGAAACAACCACAUUUGUAAUAGUUGUCUUGAAUAACUUUCUUAUUUUUAGUGAAUAUUAUUUAAAUAAGUGUACAGCGUCUUGACGAUAUAUAUAGAUGGAAUCUAAGAAAUGUCGAGCAAUACUAAUGCAUCAAGUACGUAGUGUCGUUGUUCAUUAUGAUGGGGUUGAUAUCAGUAGCUUCAAUAUGCUGCCUUAUAGCUUCUCAACGAUGUUCUCAUUUGGCUUGUGACCUUUUGUCGUAUUCAAUCUUUCAAAAUAACUAUUUUGUUCUAUAAGCCCAAUAACUACAAAAUGCACAAAUAUACCUGUGAAUAUCAUAAUUUAAACUUGAAACUGGCAAAUAUCAAGCUGUAGACAUGUUAUCAGUAAACUUUAUAACCAUAUAUUCAAUUACCAGUAAGUGAAGUAUAUAAACUUUUGGAUGUACCACAUAUAAAAUAACUCCAGAUGGACCAUAGUUUUUAACUCCUCUACCUUGUGUCAGAAGCAUUAGGCAAGAAAAAGAAAGUAAGGAAAGGUUGGAAGUUUUUGUUACAAGUUACAAUUAAGUAUAUGAAUGAUUAUAUGAAAUAAAUAUAGCAGAUAACAAUGGGUCCACUCUAUAAUGAUAUAUAUUCCUUGAGGGGAAAUGGCUCAAAUUCAAUGUUUUUUGUUCAAAUUAUGGAAAUGGGUUAUCUAAUUUUGAUGUGGGUGAUGUGAUGAUCUGAUCUGAUCUCUUGUAUCUCACAAGAAUAUUUGCUAAAUCAUCUGCACAUUACUUUAUAAGGAAAUGAUAACAAAACCAUACUCAUUUGGUUUCUUUCAGAACAUUUCACAUGCUAUGCUUUUCCCAUAUUGGACUCACCACUUCCCAUAAUGGGAUAACUCUUCAAGAAUCUUUCCAUAUUUUCUAAAAUAUUUUGGCUAAAGUUGGAAGGAUUUUCUUUUUUUUUUUCCUUUUUCCUUUUUGACAUUGAAAUGAAGGGGAUGGAUGGCCUAGAGGGACUUUAAUGCCAAGCUUAUAUAGUACACUUUUAAUCACCUCUUCCACCUAAUAACUUCUUCUUGGAUAAGUAUGCCUAAAAAUAAUAUUGCUCCAAAUUUUAACUUCAUCCAAAAACAAAUUUUAUUUUUUAACCUAAAAAAAUCAAGAUAUUACUGAAUUAAAUUAAAUUUCAUUUUUAAAAUUCAAUAUAACUUUUUUUUGUUUACAAUAAAUAUUAGGAUCAAAUCUUUAACGUCUAAAAAAAAUAUUACGUUGGUUGAUGUAAACUCAAUCAACUUAAAUAAUUAUCAUUAAAAUUUUCACUACAUUUUUAGUUAUAAUUAAUUCUACUAUACUAUUUGAAUUGAACCAAAAAUUACACCAUUUUUAUUGUUUGAGAAUUUUUUUUUAUUAAAUUACUCAUAUAUAUUUUCGUGAAGAAAAUACUCAUAUAUACACGAUUUGAAAUUUAAAAUUUCACGAUAGCUUAUCAUUUAGUUUAUGAUAAAAAAAAUUUCUCUAUCUCUUUUAUAUUCUUCCAUAAUAUUAAAAAUAGUUCUUGCAAGCUUUAUCUUUGUGGAGAAAAUAAAUAUCUCUAAUUAUUAAAAAUUAUUGGAUGAUAUGAUAACUCAAACAAUUUAAAUUAUUCAAUCUAUAUAGUAAAAGCUUAAGUUGAGUUGACAUUUUUAAUUAUAUAUCGAGAGAGUUAACCCAUCAAACUAAAAUUACAUAUAUUUCUUUUACAACGAAUGAAUUUAUAAAAUUGUUAAUGUUUCUAUUUUAGGAAGGUUGACUAUGAUAAGAUUUUUUGAGAGGUAGGAGAAAUUCUUUAUUACUUAACAUUUGAGUUUUACAAUAUUAGAUUUAUGUUAAAAGAUAAAUUGAAGUGUUUUAAUAAUAAAUGGAAUACAAAACCAACUAUUCAACUCAAAACAAAAAAAAAAUUGUUUGAAUGUUUGAAGUUGUUGUGAAUCCAACGAAUCCAAAUAUUAAAUUUGAUGUAUAAAAAUCCAAAAUGCAACUCAGCCAAAUUAUGUACACACCAUUGAUCACAAAGAUGAAUCAACCAUCCAUUCUUAUCCAUUCCAAUUGUACGGAAGAUCCAUCAAAGUAGGAGCCGACAGCAAAUAUCUUAUGUCAUUAUUUGAUGAAGCCAUUUGGAUUUAUUUCGAUUUUUUAACUUUUCCAAAACUUAUUAAACACAAGCAUGUACAUAUUAUAUCAUAUGAUCAAACUUCCAAUUCAAUCAAUCAAUAAAUUUAGUUUCUCAAACCCAGAGAUUUGAGGAAUAAGCAUAACAAAGAGUUGAAAGAGGCCGAAGUGAAGAGUGAAGGAGAUGUUUAGGAACUGGAUUAGCUAGUGGUCUAAAGAAGACAGAAGAAUGAAGCAGAUAGAAACAAGGAUAUUGAUUGAGUGAGCUGCCACCGCAGCAGCAGCAGGAUUGAAAAGCAAGUUUUGGAUUUUGUACUAAUAUUCAAUAUAAAUUCCUUCAUCUUCACUAUUUAUCCUUUGUUAAACUUACCCUUUUUGACACUGUUCUUCAAGAAAGAAAUUUUAUUAAAUUCCCAUUCAGUUUCUGUACAAAUGGGGAAAUUGUAACUCACUCACUUGCCUCCACAAAUUAAGAUUAAACCCAUUUACAGAAAUUAGUAGAACUAAAAAUACUAGAAAAGAAAUGGGAGAAAAAGGAUUUGAUUCACAGAAAAUUAAAGUAAAAAUUGGAAUCCAUGGCUUCUUCUUCUUCCUUGAAUUAGUUCAGAGAUCCGGCCGAUAUCAUUGGCCGGACACGGUCCACUGAAUUCUCUCUCAUUAAUUUGGCAUACAUUUGGGCUCGUAGAUUUCUUCCUGAUUCCACUCUUUCCAUUGCUGGUUCUUCUUCAUUUUCUCUAUCCCAUAGAUCAAAUGCUGCACCGGAGCUCCGACGGAGAUUUGGACUGAAGCUGGAGACGCCAGGAUUCGUUUUUAAUUCAUCUAGGCGGAGACUGUGCAUCAAUGCGACUAAUCUGCUGAAUGAUUCGCCGCCGCUGAUUACAGGGCUGAUUGGAGACAAAGGUGGCGAGUCCGAAGACGGCGAUAAGAGGAUCGAUGUCGGUGACGACACAGCAGGGAUAGCCAUUUCUCUCGCUCGUGGAGACCUGACACUUUGUUUCCCCGGAAUCCGGAGUUGCUCCGACGUGUGAGCGAAGAAACAGACCCGCCGGCGACAGCCAGUUCCAUCACGGCACGGUUGAGUCCGGUAUCGGUCUGGGUGGAGCCAAAUCUCAAAAGUUCCAUGAGCGUACUCGCAGGCGUCUCCCUUUUUACAACACCCAUGGCGUAAAUCCGGGCACUCGGCGCCGGAAUAGUUAAACUUCCUCGGAUCUCGACGGCGAGCCUUCUCGCCGGUGUGAGCGUACGGACAUUUGGUCCAAUCGUGCGACCUGCCACGUGCGCAGGAGCGGACUUUGAACUCAUACAUCCGGAACUGGUCGCAGGAGUAGGCGUCCACAGGCGCUGGCAAGUCAGGAUCUUCCCAUAAGGAGGAAUCGAAGUCCAUGAGCGCGGCCGUAGGUGAAUCGAGGGGGGAGACGUGGGCGGUGGAGAAAUAGGAAGAGAUUGCGGGGGAGGGAUCGUCGAGGGAGUCCCAGGUUGAAAUGUGAGAGGUGGGAUUGAGGAGCAUUGAUUCAGCGAUCAUGGUGAAUUGUGAGAGAGAAAUGGAGUGGAAGGGGUUUUUGAAGAUGAGGUGGGAAGUGCCAGUUUUUGAGACGGAAGCCGGAAGAGAGGGUGGUGGGAUUUU
rnacentral:lncRNA from 1 species